rnacentral:lncRNA from 1 species
GUAAGUGAAUGCAUAAUGUAGAGUCUAAUCAUGCUCUAUGAGGAUAAAGCCCCUUGUACGGUGGAUAUUGCCAUGGAAUUGUGCCAGGAGUGAGAUGGCAUAAUGAUUGGCAAUGUUAAAAUUAUUUUUUGUCUAACUGCCAAUCACAGUUUGCCUAGUGUGAAUUUAAAAUUCCAUGGCAACGUAGCAUGAUCGGCUCUUUGUUAAUUUCGUCAAUUGCAAAUAAACGUAAUAGUAACGCUUAUACAAGGAUUUUCAAUUUUAUUGGUGGUAAUUUUGUUUCACAACGUGCUUCUCCAAUUGAGCGUGAAACACUGAAAAUUUCUGUUUGGAUACAACUUAUAAUAUGCAUAAUAAACCUAGUUAAAGUCAAGCAUUAAUUUGAAUCACGCAUUCAUAAUUCCUAUUCAUUAGUAUAAAAAAUUUAGUGGGUCCCAGUACUAUUCCUCUUUAUAAAUUGAUUUAUAAAUUUGUCAAAUGGAGGCUAUAUGUUUUCUAAUUUUGUUUUAGUAAAAGUUGCAAUCGCAAUUGAGAUUUGGGCUUAAUUCUCUAGACACGUUUACCUAAUUCUAGUUAUUUUCUUACUGUAGAUGUUGCUUUCUUGCUAUUGGAAAAGUAUCCACAGCUGGGUGUUAUCCCCGAUGUUCAUGACAAUUACGCUCUCAAAAUAUUGGCUCAAAGGCCUUCUGCAUUUCUUAGUGGGACUGAACUUUCAUUUUGGGAAAAAUGGAUCUACUACUGUAAGUAUGUAAUUGGUCACAUAUUAAUUUCAUUCACAAACAAUGUACCACAAGGGUACAUUUAGGUAAACUUUAGUUUCUUAUUCGUACUGUCUAAUACAAUAUACAAUUGUGCCAUGCACUCACUUAUUGAACAUGAUCGUUUUGAAAAGUAUUCCUUGUCUGAACUUUUUACACAAGGUGUAAGAGUACACGAAGAGCAUGUAGAAAUGCAAACAUCAAGUACUAGUCAUGAUCACAACAUUCAAAUUCCUGAAUCAAACAGGGAAGAUUUGGGAGGAAGGAUGGCACAUGGUAGCCUAACUAUAACUACUCAAGGUACAUCAGAUUACGUCACAUGCCUAAGCCUUUUAAAAUUUAUUUUGAACACGUGGACCCAUGUGUUAACUGUAGAUUUGGGCUAACUGCACCAUGUCCUAGUCCGGCUAUGCUUUCAUGUGUCAAGUGGCCCUAAGCUUUGAUAACCCACUACAUUUUGACACCUCUAAAUAAAUUCUUGUUGUACAGCUCUAGAGUUGGUGCGCAAAUUGGGUUGGGGGAUAUUGCGAUCCAUUGGUAUGUAUUAUCUUCCUAUAUAUAUAGUUUCUGCUACACAUAUGUACUGAAAAUCAAUUACACAUGAAACAUUAUUUAACAUUAGUUUUAUUAAUUUUCAGUUCCAAAGAUCCGUUACAUAUACCGAAGGAAGUCAGUCCAUGUCGAAGUCAGGAAAUUCCAGAGGGUCGCGUUUAAAAAAAUGGCACAAAUGAGCAAACCAGAGCUCGAAAAAAUGGACUUGGAUAAAAUAAUAAAUGAUGCCAUAGAGAACGGAAUUUUUGAAUUUAUAGAUGAAAUGAUUAAAUGUGCACCAGAAAUUAUAUGGAGAAAAGAUAAAAAGGAGAGAACAAUUUUUUCAAACGCAAUUAUAUCGCGUCAAGAGAAGAUUUUUGGCCUUAUAUUUACCUUAGGAAAAGAGAAGUGUCUAAUGGGAAUGAGGUAUGAUAUUUUUGUCAACAAUUAUUUACAUCUUGCUGCAAAAUUAUCUCCUCCUUCUCGACUUGAUAUUGUAACUGGAGCAGCACUACAAAUGCAAAGGGAACUGCAAUGGUUUAAGGUAAUGUAUUUUGCUCAGUAACAUGAGUGUGUGUGUGUGUGCGUGCGUGUGUGAAUGCAUGUGUAUGUAUACCGUUAUGAUUGUUAUUCGAGCCAUUGCAUCUGCAAACUUAAGCUGAUGAAAGAUAUCAUAAAUUUAUUUAUUUGAAUUUUAUAUUAAACGUGUUCCCUCUCUAUAACACUUGCACAGUUCUCAUAAAUUGGUGACAAUUAUCAAAGACAGAAUUCACAUAAAUAAAUUUGUCUUUUUUCUGAACGUUUAAACUUUAGAUGAGAUGAUUCAAUAUGAUAUUAUUCUGAAUAUAAUUAAAGACAUAAUUCAAGUCUUGUCACCAUCUAUUUAUGAAAAAUUGUGCACUUGAUUUCGUCCCUAAAAUUCACAAUAUUUUGUUUACUCUAUUGCUGCACAUUCAUCUAACUUAUCUAAAAUUGAAUCGUCAUUCUAUGUCAUUUCUUCCAAUAUGCAGGAAGUUGGGAGCUUGGUACAACCCAAACUCAAAGAGGAACUAAACAGCCAUUACAAAACACCGAAGAUUUUAUUCACUGAUGAACAUGAGAAGUUAGCCAAAAAAGCAGAGGACUGGAUGAAAAAUACAGCAGGGUCAAGCAUGAUAGUGGCAACUCUAAUUGCUGCUGUAAUGUUCACAACAGCUUUCACAGUACCAGGUGGUAAUAAAAAUGAGACAGGAAUGCCAACAAUGCUGGAAACUCAAAGGAUUCCAUUCUUGAUUUUCAUGAUUUCGAAUGCCCUGUCGAUGUUCAGUUCGAGUACAUCACUGUUGAUUUUCUUGGGAAUUCUUACAGCGCGUUAUACAGAAGAUGAUUUUCUCAAGUCCUUACCGACAAAAUUAAUAUUAGGACUGACGAGUUUGUUCCUUUCGAUUGUUACCAUGAUGGCAUCCUUUGGCUCUGCAUUGUAUUUGAUUCUUCAUGAGAAUUUGUCUUGGGUCACCAUUCCUAUCAUCGUCCUUACAACGAUUCCAAUAGUUCUUUUCUCCAUCUUGCAGUUUCCUCUCUUGAUUGAGAUGACCCAACGCACUUAUGGAGCCGGGAUAUUUGAUGAAUAUAAGAAUAAAUCACGUUUUGCUAAGUUCAGAGCAUAUUUGAUAAGGAGGAAUCCAUUGAGGAAGAAAAGACAUUAAAAAUUUUAUAGGUCUUAUUAUAGAGUACUAUUGAAUAAGGUGUCCCAAAUGUGCUGUUAGCUCAUUUUGGUUUCUGUCAUUUUAAGUAAUGAUGUAUCCAUGUUGUUUUUUCUUAUGAAUAAUUCAUGUAUUGGAUCUAAUUGAGUGUCUCGUAGAAUUCCGUUGUUUGAAGUCAUCUUGAAUUCUUAGUAUGUACAAAUAGAACCACAUGUAGCAAUAUUUUGUAAUGCAAAUACGAAGUGAAUUUCAGAUUAUAUAUCUCCAAUUUAUCUUGCCUUCAAACUGGUAUUAAAGCCUUGAAAAAGAAAAAAAUAAUGUCCAACAUUCUUGUUUCUCUUGUGCCUCAUUUUAAUGGAAAAAAUUUGAUUAAUAUUUCAUUCAUCAACCAUCCAUAAAUUUAUUCAUCCAUAAAUAAAUCCAAUCAUUCAAAUAAACGUAUAAAACAACCCUAGGAAUCUCUCGACUAUAAAAUCAUGCAAUAAAUCAAGAAUUAAAAUUACAACACACGAUUCUAGACGAACCCUCUAAUACCAGUUUUUGGAAACUGGUCCAUUAGGAUUAGGAAAAACAAAAAUCAAAAUAAGUUUAAUGGCCGUGGUCUUUACUAGAUUACUAUGUGUUGCAUUUCUAAUUAAUAGCCACACAAGUGUUUAGAUGUUACACCUAUUCCGAGCAAUUAAUUUCAUUAUCUUCUGUCUCGAGGUUUAUUGAUUUGCAAGCUUUUGAACUAGAUCCCAUCCAAUAAUUACUCCUUCCUUGAUCUAAAAACUUCUAACACUUGGAUCUUAUCUCUGAUCUUCUCCUCAACCUGGUUGCACCUGAUUUAUGGCAGCAAUUAUCGAAAUCCUAAUCCUCAAGAACUCACAAGAAAAUAUUAUGAUAUCAAGAACUCUUUGAAGUAAUGGAAGUUGUAUUGAAUAUGUAUGUUCUUUUACAGUCCAUUAGAUUUAUACAUAUAGAACUAAAUAGCCUUAUUCAUUGUUCCAACACAAUUGGGAUUCAAAUUAUAAAGGAACCAAGUUAUAUACACAAUAAAAUUCCUAAACAAUCCCGAAUUUUAACUCAUCAGGUCGUCUUUGCUUUUGAUCAAUGGCUGACUUUGGUAAAGUUUGACCUAAUCAACUAUGCAACCUGUCAAUUCAAUUAUUACCAUAAUUAAAUCAAAAUUUUUAUUUGAAGCUAUCAAAGGCACCUAAUUGGACCUCUAUAAUUCAAGCUUCAGAUAGUUUGGGCCCAAUAACUUGGGAGAAAGAUCGGAAAAUAGAGAAAAAUUGCGAAAUUCCAAGUUCUUGGAUUACUGUGCCGUAAAUCCUAGUCCCUUUAGUCAAGUUAUAAUUGUAAUACUUUGGUCAACCUUUAUCUGUUGGUCAAAUAUAUCAAGCACCAAAAAUGAAAAAAAAAAUAAAAUAAAUUUAGAUGAAUAAGUUCAGACGGUGGAUGGAUGGUGGGGGACCACCUUUAAGCAUUUGUAUGAAUCCAAAUUUUUGUCAAUACAAAUCCAUUACCUACAAUUUAUAGAGAGAGAAAUCGGAGCUAAGAGUCCGUUUGAUUGCAAAGAUGAAAUUUGGAUGAAAAGAAAAUGAAUUUCAAGAAAUUGAAUUGCCUAGAAAUUAUUUUACUGGGAAUUGUCAAUUAUGGUGUUUGAUUGAUAUAAAUUUCCACUUGAAAAUUGUUAAAAUAAAGGUGUAUUUUGAAGCUCGUUUAGCUUUGUUUUUCAUGGAAAUCAUCAAUUUAAAGAAUAUAAUCUUUUACAAUUGUUCCUAAAAUUUGUUCCCAUUGUCCAAAAAAAAAAAAAAAAUGCAGCCAAGAAAAGAAAUUCCCACCAUUUCAUAAAAAACCAAGAAAAUAGGCGCGUGAAGGGCAAGCCAAGAAAACCAUUUGCUUAGAAAAUUUUGGCUAUCAAACAAACAAAAAGUGGGAAACGGAAUUUGUUUUCCAUUUUCCAUGGAAAAUUUGUGGCUAUCAAACAUAGCCUAAGAGAAAAAAAGAGAAAAAGGAAAAAAAAAAAUCAGAAAAUUGAAAAGAAGAAGAAUUGCUUUAACCAUGGACUCAUUUUAAUCUGGUUCUUGAAGUUGAUUCCUCUUUUGGCUACAAAAAUGAGGUAAGAAAUGAAAUUACAAAUUUCAGGAAUCUACAAUAUUUAUGAGUUUAGAUGUCUUAAGGGGAUGUAUUCAAUUGAAACUUUUAAUAACUUUUUGAAAUUUAAAAAAGUUUAGGGUAUUCAAUUGAGACUUUCUCUAAAAGUCACGAUCUAUUUAAUUGAGACUUUUAUAAACUUUUAAAAAGUCUCCCAAAGUAACGGUGUAUUUAAUUAAAUUUUUUUAGAUAAAUCUUGAGGUAUUCAAAUUUUAAUGACUUCUAGGGUUGUAGAGUACUAAUUUUUAAGCAGAAAGUACUCAUAUAAAAUCUAAAAAAGUCUCUCAUUAAUCGCGAGAUUUUGGGAGACUUUCACAAUUUUUUUCAAUCCUUCUUUCUUUUAACCUUCUAUGGACAUAUAUGAUUAAAAUUUAUUUUUUUCUAUUGAUUAUAUUCCAUUUAUCUUUCUUUCUUUCUCUAAUUUAUUAUUUAUCUAUAUUUUGUAUGAAAAAGUUAAAUUGAAUUCUUGUAAUUUUUUUAAAUUCAUUUUUUGUGAAAAAUAUCUAUUUUUAUUAAAUUAUAAAAUUUUAUAUGAAAAAUUUAUAAUUAAAUCUAAAUAUGAUUUUUAUUUAUUUUUAAAAGUAUACUAUACAAUAAAAAGUAUACUAUACAAUAUAAAUAAAAAUCAUAUUUAGAUUUAAUUAUAAAUUUUUCAUAUAAAAUUUCAUAAUUUAAUAAAAAAUAGAUAUUUUUCACAAAAAAUGAAUUAAAAAAAUUAUAUAUAAUUUUGAUUAUUAUUUAUUUAAGUAAGCUCUUAGAUUUUUUAUGUUUUAUUAUAUGAGAAAAAGAAGGGGAAGGAAAAGGGGAAUUGUGAGAACUAACACCUCGUAUGUGAGAAUUUUUUACACGAAAUCCAUGUAAAUUAUAUUUCAAAUGAAAGUCUUCAAAAGUCUUUUGAAUUCCACAAAAAUCUAUAAAAAAUUUAAAUAAAAAUCCAUAGAAUUCUACGAAAUACUUUCAAUAAUUCCAUAUAAAUCUAUAAAAGAUCCACGAAAUCCACAAAAGUCAUCACUUAAAAAAAAGGUUAUCAAAGUUUUCAAAAGUUCCAAUUGAAUACACCCCCCUUAAUUUCUGUUGAAAAUUUAAAUGGGAGAAAGAGAUUAAGGUAAUGAAGGACUUCAAAUUAAGUGAUGAGAAAUGAGUGAAAAGGCUUUGUGUGUGUGUGUGAGAGAGAGAAUUGCAAAGAUUAAGUUUGAAAUUGGGAAAUUAAGUGCUAACAUAUAAGGGAAGAUGUUUAUGAAUACUUUAAAAAGAAAAAAAUCAUGGUGGGGGAAUAGGUUGUGUAACAGUCAGAAAAUUUAUUUAUCCAUGGUUGAAAAAGGACUUAUUUGGGAUAUACUCGUGUUUCAGGAAAUGACGAGAAGAUCUUGGUAUAGUUUAUCAAUCAAGUUAAUCUACCUUACAUAGUUCUGUGAGUGACAAAAAAUUUUAAUUUUCUAAUAUUAAUAAGGUACUUAUUUUAUUAUAUUAGGUGAGAUUAUGUGAAUUAUUUGUUUGAUUACAUGAUUAAUAUGGAAUGGUUCUUUCACUCUGAUAUAUGUGGAAUUUAAAGUUUUGGAUAUGGAUUCUUUGUGAAUUGGAAUGCGAGACAGAUGUGACAUUGAGAUCGACCGAAAAAGUACCCAUAAUUAUAUAUUUCUUCUAGUUCACUGAGGGGCAUUGGCCGUGUUCUAUACUAUAUUGAGGGGUUUUUGAUCGUGGAUGAAGGGGUUUUGACCGUGUACAUAUAGUUCACUGAGAGGCCUUUGCUGUGUUCUAAAAUUGAUUAUCAGAGGUUUUGAGACCCACUUUCGUUCACGGAGGGGGCCAAAGGCUCAUGGCAAAAGUUCUUAGCCCAAGAGACGGAUUACAGAUUUCAGUCAGAGAGUACAUUUUUUGUGAAUUUUUCAGUACAUUUGAUGUGAUGAGAUUAUAGUAUGAUUACCAACUUGUGUUCAUAUCAUGACUUGAGAUGAUAUUUUACAACGUUAUGUGAAUAUCUCAAUUUUUGGUUGUAAUUAUAUAUUGUUAUCUUGGGGAUUAUUAAAUGAUAUGAACUCAAUUUCGAUACAAUGUAUAAAUGAAAAAGUAUCAUUAUUUUCGAAAUUCUUUACUCACUGAGGUAUGAACUCAUAUAUUUUCUCACGAUUAUUCUAACCAAGUAGCAACUGAGUUUUGCCAGCUUGAAUAGCCUAUUGAUUUUAGAGCCACAACCACAUGACAGUUUAGGUUAUUAUGCCAUUUGAAUUGAGCAUGUAAAUAUCACUUUGGGCUAACAUUAUUUUGACAUAAAAUAGUUUUUUUUUUUCAUUAUUUAUAAUGAUUGGUAAAAGGUCAAAGAUAGCCUCGGUGGUAGGUUUGGCGUCUAGCUGGAAUCAACAAUUAGCGUACAUCAUGUUUCGGAUCCGCUGGAGUGAUUCAGGACGGGUCGUAUCAGUUGGUCUCAGAGCAUGGUUCAAUAAUAUAUAUUUUUUAUUUUUUUAAUAGCUUGAGUAGUUUAUGAAUUUUUUCUUUCACCAUAAUAUUUUCAUUGGGAUUGUUAAUCAUGUGGUGUGGUGGCAAAGUUCACGGGUUCUAAUAUUUUGUUGCAAAAUUCAUAUUGCUAUCGAAAUAUAAAGAAGAAGGCAUGGAAGUUGAGAUUAUGUAAGCAUUUGUAUCAUAGAUUGAGCCAUUGAGGAAUAACCCCGACAUGAAAAUGUUGAGAAGGACCCUACUGUUGAAAGGAUUACUAUUGGAGUUGAUUCUAUAUAUAUGUAACAUAAAAUAGAUGAAAAAUACAUUGUUGAAGAGACAAUAAAUUUGGCUGAAGGAUUUUGAUUAUUUUGGCAUAUUUCCAGUAUACAUUUGAACUAAUGGUGCGAAGCCACCUAAAUAAGUUGUCUAUUGGAUUGCGGAUUCUUUUACGAGUGUGCUGAGGAUUGAAAAAUCUUGUCAUACUUGUGUACUUGGAGAAGAAUCUGUGAUGGAAUUAUGAUUAUCUUGAGGAAUUAAAUAUGGGUUACUAAAAUGAGAAAGAUAAGUAGAGACAAAUGGAGGUUAGAGAAGGAAAAAUUAUUUGGCAGGUUACUUGGAGGUGUAGAAAAUCUGAAGUAAAGAGAUAGAAAAUGAUUAGUUAAAGAGAGGAUGAAAUUGAGGGCAAUGAAAUCAUAAAUGGCAGUAUAGCAACUAAGGGAAUGGUGGGAAAAAGUAGAAGAAUCGGUUAACCUAGGACUGAGGAAAGGGGAAGAGGAGUUUUGAGCUUGGUUCUCUUCCGCUCUUAAAUUCUGGCAUAAGUUAAGGAAAUUUUACGAUUUCAAGAAUCUGUUAAUGUUUUACGUGUACAUAUAUGUGUGAAACCGAAAAAAAAAAUGAUAGGGGGAAGAGACGAUAAAUUGAUAUAAUGGAGAAACAAGGUAGAAUUAUAUUGAGGAAGAAUUUAAUUGUGGUACUAAGUGGGGUUGCUUCAUUUUCAAUGUUAAUCCAAUAUUCAAUUUUUAAAGUAUUAUAUAGGCAGGCUUUUAUGUAUAGUGAAUAGAGAAGGAAAAAAAAAAUGUUGAAUUGGGUUGUGAUUCCACUGAGUAUAAUGAAUUAAGGGAGUUCUGAUUAAUGGAUAUGGACACUUGUAAUUGACGGGUAUGUGCAAUAAUAAUAAUAAUAAUAAUAAUAAUAAUAAUAAUAAUAAUUGGGACUCAUCCUUAAGUUUCUUGUUUCAUCUUCUAAUUACAGUAAUUAUUUUCGAUUAGAAAGUGAUUGCAAUUGAAUAUAAAUUAUCCUUAAUAAAAGAUAACGUGAAAGGAGAAAUGGGAUGGAAAAUGGAAACACAUACGGGUUCUCUGCAUCAGUGGACUGGAAUGGGAAAUUGAUAAGAAUGAGCAAUAGAUGAAGUUAUUGUUAGAAUAUAGUGGUGUUAAUGAAACUGGAUUAUCACAUACCGUAUAUGUAGUUUAGAUACCGAUUUUGAGCAUACCGUAUAUGCAAUAUACUGUAUAUGCAGCUUAUCAUAUUUGCAGACACCUUACUGUAUUUGCAGCUUACCGUAUAUGUAGCCUCCUAUAUUUACAACUUACCGUAUAUGCUUUUAUCCGUAUUUGCACAUAUUUUCUUUACACUUUUCAUAUAUAUCGUAAUUUCACUUACACAUAGAAAUACAAUAUGUGUAAUAUACAUAUACCGAAUUGCAUAUACCAACUGUUAGGAAGAAAAUUCAAAUAUAUAUUUUUUUUCUUUUACAAUUUUUAUUUCUAACAUAAAUAUAACAAACAAGUAAAUUGCAAAAUAUAUGAAUCAAGUAAAUUACAAACGUGUAAAUCACUUAAAUAAAUAAAUAACAUGUAAGAAUAAAUUGCAAAUAUGUAAAUUGCAGAAAAUAAAUAAAUUUUCAACCGGAGGCCAGUGUGAGCAUAGUUUUCUUAAAACAAAUUCGUUCCCUCACAGUAAAUGCUUGAGAUUUAAUCCGAGCGUCUAUUUCCCAGGAUACAAUGGUGACAGUAGAAUCUAAACACUGCAGAAACUACUGCUGCAAACUAAGUUUGUAUUGAACAAUAUCACCACCAAGACGAUGUUAAAAAAAUGCAAUAGAUUAUGUAUGCAAACAACACUAAUUUGACAUAAUAUUUUCAUGUGAAUACAGUAUUCUCGUGGUUAGAAUUGCUGGAAAAUUGAGACUUAAUAUAAGAUUAAAUUUGCCUAUUAACUCCAUAGCAAUAAACACUAGAGUUGCUUUAAUUUCUGGGAGUUUUGGUAGUUUUCGAAAACUCAAAGGUCAGUUGAAGAAAGCAAAAACUUGCAAAACAUGGACAUUCCAAACGGGGCAAUUUUUGUUCCGUUCGGUCCGACAUUGUUGAGAGUUAGCUCUUUUCCCAAGGUUAUCUUUAGAACCACCUUUCCUUGUCCCUUGACUUCAGAAGUUGCUGAAUUUCUCAUGAACAACUUCUCCCCAUUCUCAAUUGCUUCAAACGCAGCAAAUAGCUCCUUAUCAGAGCACACAUGUCUCGUAGCACCAGUGUCAAUCCACCACUCCUUAGGGUUUGAACCCACCAUGUUCACUUAAAAAAUGACAGCUAAGAGAUUCAGCUCCGACACAUCUUGUGCCAUGUAGUCAACCACAUUUGCUUCUUUCUUCUUCUUUAGCAAUUUGCACUCCGAAGACUUGUGGCCCACUUUAUCACAAUUGAAGCAUUUUCCUUAAAAUUUCUUCUUAAAAAUUCCACCUUUCGAUCCUUACUUGGUGCUUUUGCAACCGGAUGGCCCAGACUUAUUUUUUGUAAUUCUUUCUCUUUGACCAUACCCCCACAACAUUAACUUUAGCAGUACCAGGAUCGAACCACUUCUUUUAGAACUCUUGUUGUCUUCUUCAAUUAGAAGUCUAACUAUUAGUUCUUCGACGUUCAAUUUCUUUCGUUUGUACUUCAAAUAAUUCUUGAAAUCUUUUUAUGCGGGAGACAAUUUUUCAAUAAUUGCAGCCACUUGAAAAGUUUCACUCAAAAUCAUCCAUUCGGCAUGAAUUUCGUGAAAAAUCACUUGGAGUUCUUGCACUUGACUGAUAACUAUUUUGGAGUCUACCAUUUUAUAAUCUAGGAAUCUGUCGAUAAUGAACUUUUUAGCCCCUGCAUCCUUAGUUUUAUAUCUUCGGUACAAAGACUCCCAUAGUUCUUUAGCAGUUUUCAUUGUACUAUACACAUUAUAUAACGUGUCUGCUAAGCUGUUCAUAAUAUAGUUUCGGUACGAAAAAUCCGAGUGGUUCCAAGCAUCAAGUGCACUGAUUGCUUGAACAUCUCCCUCACUCUCAUUGAGUUUUGGAGCAGUCUCAAUCAAAAAUCUUGCAAGAUUCAACGUGGCCAGAUAAAAUAACAUUUUCUGUUGCCAUCUUUUAAAAUCCGAGCAUUGAAUUUCUUCAAUUUUUCUCCAUGAUUAACUGGAAUACUAACAGUGUGGCCAAUUGUUGGAACCAUAGCUUGACUCACAACAUGACUUGGCAAUCUAGCCACAGUCGAGCCACAACAGAACUUGGCCCUUGAGCCACAGCUGAGCCCAUAGCUUGAUUUCCAGUAUGCACAAUAUGGGUCACAUCCAUGUUGGUUGAUUCAGUUGUCAUUUUUAAAAUCAAACCAAAAAAAUUAGUUUCUAAAAAUUAACAGUAUAAGAAAUCAAUUUUUUCUUUUAGGAAUCUGUUUUAAAUUUGUUAUAAUAUAGUGGUGUUAAUGAAACUGGAUUAUCACAUAUCGUAUAUGUAGUUUAGAUACCGAUUUUGAGCAUAUCGUAUAUGUAAUAUAUCAUAUAUGCAGCUUAUCGUAUUUGCAGGUAGUUUACCGUAUAUGUAGCUUACUGUAUUUACCACUUACCGUAUUUGCAGACAGCUUACCAUACUUGCAGCCUACUGUAUAUGCAGCCUACCGUAUUUGUAGCUUACCGUAUAUGCUGCCUACAGUCCUACCAUAUAUGCUUUAAACUGUAUUUGCACAUAUUUUCUUUACCCUUUUCAUAUAUACCGUAUUUCCAGUAACACAUAGAAAUACCGUAUAUGUAAUAUACAUAUACCGAAUAGCAUUUACCAACGUUAGCAAGAAAAUUCAGAUAUUAUUUUUUUACGACUUUUAUUUCUAACACAAGUAUAACAAACAAGUAAAUUGCGAAAUAUAUGAAUCAAGUAAAUUGCAAACGUGUAAAUCGCUUAAAUAAAUAAAUAACCUGUAAGAAUAAAUUGCAAAUAUAUAAAUUGUAGAAGAUAAAUAAAUUUUCAACUCGAGGCCCCUGUGAGCUCAGUUUCCUUAAAACAGGUUCGCUCCCUCACCGUAAGUGCUUGAGAUUUAAUUCGAGCGUCUGUUUUUCCCAGGAUACAAGGUGAUAGUAGAAUCUGAGCACUGCAAAAGCUACUUUGACAAACUGAGUUUGUAUUGAACAAUAUCACCACCAAGACGGUGUUGAAAAAAUGCAAUAGAUUAUGUACGCAGACAACACUAAUUUGACAUAAUAUUUUCGUGUGAAUCUAGUAUUCUCGUGGUUAGAAUUGCUAGAAAAUUGAGACUUAAUAUAAGAUUAAAUCUACCAAUUAACUCUAUAGCAACAAACACUAGAGUUGCUUCAAUUUUUGGGAAUUUUGGUAGUUUUCGAAAACUCGAAGGUCAGUUGAAGAAAGCAAAAAAUUGCAAAAUGUAUACACUUCAAACAGGCCAAUUUUUGCUCCGUUCAAUCCGACAUUCAUGUACGCAGUUGUGCCUGCACACAAGUUCAAGGUCUAAAGGCAAUUUCGGUCCGUGAUUUGCACCCCUUGCGCGCAUACAUGGAGAGAGCCUCUAUGCUACACAUGAUUACCCCAUUCCAAAGUGUUAUCCUAUAUAAAGUGGUUCAUACUUUCUUCAUUUUCCUAUGUGGGACUAGUUUUAUUUUCCACAUAAACCAUCUUCCAAUGGUCAUCUUUGAUCUCCAAUUUCUCAUUCAUCCAUUCAUCAGUUUUGGCAAAUGAAUAUAUAGUUUCGAUGCUCUCAUGGAUGAGAACAAGGAUCAACUUUGUUCUUCCAAAUUUGACCAAUGGAUCCCACACAAAUUUUAUGCCAAAAUCAUCCAUUAGCCCAUUUUUUCCAAAAGUUAUGAAAUCUGCUAUUCAUUUAUUAGUUAGUGUAUACUAAAAGCCAGGAUAAUCAAUAACUGUGGACCUUGAUUAGACGUGAUGGUAUUUUUAGUUUUUGUUGUUGCAGAACAGAUUGUAGAAACUUAUAAGUAGGAUAUAGAAUCAUCUUAUGAUAACAGGGAAUGAAGUCUAGUGGCGAGAAACAAAACAAGAUUAAAAUAUUGACAAGGAAGCAAAGAUAGUUUCUUGAUGUUGGUUGUUGUUUUGUUUUGUUUGAGCAAAGCCAAAUAAACUGAAACAAAGAAGUUGUUGUGCUCAAGCUUCGUAUUUCGUUUUCUGUUAUAGUAAGGUAAAAAAUUUAGGAUUUAAGCAAGACAUAUAUAUUUUCUACUUAUAUGAAGCUGUAGUGCUUGCAAGUAUUAAAUAUACAAGGAAAAAUGAUGUGAAAGAAAAAAAAUAAGGAAGUGAAGACGGUAGUGGUAAGUUGUAUGGUGCUGAGAAAUUAGAUUAGUAUAUGCAUAUGUAUAUGUGAGAUAGUGAAAGUAAUGGAAUAGAAGAAAGAGGAGCAGGACCAUAUGCCUUGGCUAUGUUCCUUUGUUUAUCUGAGGCUACUAAGGGAUUUCGAUUAUUAAUAGUUGGAUGGAAAUAAUCUAAAGGGCACUGACAAAGGAUAUGUGAAGAAGAGAAGGGAAAUUACAAGUUCAAGAGUUUGGUUGUUUACAUGUAUAUAUAUUUAUAAAACAAAAAAAAAAAGAGAGAGAGAGAGAUGUUAAAUAGAUGAAAUGGAGAAAAAGCCCUUAAAUUAAUUAAAGAAAAGAGGGAGAAGGGAUAGGAAAUGGGUUCAUGUGAUAGCUGUGACUAUUUUUAUGCUUUUGGUUAUGGAAAUUGGGCCACUAAUAUCGGUAUAUAUAUGGGCAGACAUAUGGUAAAUUCAAUUUCUGGAGAAAGCAUUAACACUUCAAGCUAAAAUUGAAAUUAUUUCGAUAUAGCAUAAGAUGAGAAGACAAGGUUCAAUAUUGGGGUGUAGUGAGCGAACUAAUCAAGGAAAGGAAGAUAAUUAGAAAUAAGACUAGCAUGGUAGUUACAGAGUGCAUUAGUAUGUAAAUUUAGUAAGUAGAUUAGCCUUAAUGAAAUCAUGGAAUGGAUUAGUUUAGUUACUCCUAGUUAGCCUUGCUAGCUUGCUUGUUUAGCAUUCCUGAUGAACCUUGGCCAAUUGAAUUUGGAGGACGAAAUUCUUUGAAGGGCGUGAAUUUGUAAUAUCCUAGUCCCUUUAGUUAAGUCAAAAAUCUAGUUGUAAUUGUAAUACUUUGGUCAACCUUUAUUUGUUGGUCAAAUAUGUGAAGCACCAAAAAUGAAAAAAAAUAAUAAUAAAUAAAUUUGGAUUAUUAAGUUCAGCCGGUAGAUGGGUGGUGGGGACCUCCUUUAAACAUUUGUAUGAAUCCAAAUUUUUUUCAAUACAAAUCCAUUACCUACAAUUUAUAGAGAGAGAAAAGGGAACUAAUGGCUUGUUUGAUAACCUUUUAAUUCCAUGGAAUUGGAAUUCCACCAAUUGUCGCCACAUCAACAUUUUCCUUCUAAUGAUGGAAUUUCAGUUCUCACCAACAUAGUGAGAAUUUGAAUUCCAGCUUUUUUUUUUUUUCCUUUUUGUGUUUUUGGCAAUGGAAACAAAUUUUAAGAAUUAUUGUAAAAAAAAAAAAAAUUCCCUUUAAUUGACAAUUUUCAUCUAAAACAAAGCCAAAUAAAAACCAAAAGAUAGAUGAUUUUCUUGAUUUUUUUUUUUUGGAUUUUGGCAAUGGAAACAAAUUUCAUUCCCAAUACCAGUAAAUUCUAUCCCUUUAAUUAAUAACUUUCAUGUAAAAUAAAGCCAAACGAAUACCAAAAAACACAUUUAUUUCAACAUUUUUCACGUAAAAAAAUUAUACCAAUCAAACACAAUAAUUUACAAUUCUCAGGAAAACGAUUUCUAGGCAAUUUAAUUCCAUUUUUGCAAUCAAACGGACCCUAAGAGAAAAGAAGAGGAAAGAAAAAAAAAUCAGAAAAUUGAAAAUGGACUCAUUUUAUUCUUGUGCUUGAAGUUGAUUCAUGUUUUGGCUACAAUAAGAAAUGAAAUUGCAAAAUUUUGCUCCGUUCGGUCCGACAUUCGUGUGCAUAGGUCGUAUCCGCACACAAGUUCAAGGUCCGAAGGCAAUUUCGGUCCGUGAUUUGCACCGUCCUGCGCACGCACGUGGAGAGAGCCUCUAUACUACACAUAAUUACACCAUUCCAAAGUAUAAUCCUAUAUAAAGUGGUUCAUACUUUCUUCAUUUUCUAUAUGGGACUAGUUCUAUUUCUCACAUAAACCAUCUUCCAAUGGUCAUCUUUGAGCUCCAAUUUCUCAUUCAUCCAUUCAUCAAUUUUGGCAAAUGAAUAUAUGGUUUCGAUGUUCCCAUGGAGUAGAACAAGGAUCAACUUCGAUCCUCCAAAUUUGACCAACGAGUCCCACACAAAUUUUAUGCUAAAAUCAUCCACUAGCCAAUUUUUUCCAACAAUCCUCCACAUGAAUAAAAAUUGGGAGAGAUAUGAAACCAUGAGACACGAGACUAGGUGAUAAAGUUCAACGGUUGAAGCCUGCAUAGGAUAGGUAGGUAUUACUCUUUGAACCUUCUCCUGUGAAAGCAUAUUUAUUUUACGAGCUGGCCAGUAGACGUGUUGUCAUUGAACUGUUCUGCCAUUUAUGUAUACGAUGAUAUACUCCACACAGGAUUCUUCCUGACACAAUUCAGUUCUCAUUAUUAUGUUUGUUUUGACCAUGAACAUAUGCCUAGUUCUAUGAGAGUUCUUAAGAAUUGAGCCCCACCUAAUUCUCUUAGAAGCUGCUCCACUUCUUUAUCACAUAGGUGAUUUCUUAUUACAAAUAACCAGCAUUUCUUGGCUCGAAUAUUGACCCUUAAGAAUUAAAAGUCUAUUGCUUAUCCUUCAUCUUUACGGGCAUCAAUGUUACAUCAUAGGAAUGGACAGGAGGAAACACCCCCCACUGUGAUUUUAUUAAGCUUUUACAAUUAGGUUGUCCCUUUGAACCUAGAUCUUGGGAUCUCCAGUCAACUAGGUUGGGUUUUCUAUGUAAUGUCUUAUUCAUUUAAGGGCUUAAGUCACAUCCAUUUUAAUGAUUUCCCAACUAACUCUCUAUUUAACCCUUAGGUUAGCGGAUCCGCAAUGUUAUCUUUUGACCUUAUAUAGUCAAUAGUGAUCACUCCAGUUGAGAGUAGUUGUCUUAUGGUAUUGUGUCUACGACGUAUAUGUUUAGACUUACCAUUGUACAUGUUACUCUGUGUCCUUCCUAUUGCUCAUUAACUGUCACAAUAUAUGCAAAUCCCUGGCACAGGUUUUGACCAUCUUGGAAUAUCAUCUAAGAAGUUGCACAACCAUUCGGCCUCUUCACCACAUUUAUAUAGAGCUAUAAACUCAAAUUCUAUCGUAGAUCUGGCUAUAACUGUUUGCUUAGAGGAUUUCCACGAUAUGGCAGCACCUCUCAAUGUGAACACAAAUCCACUAGUGGACUUUGAGUCUUUUAUAUCAGAUAUCCAAUUAGCAUCAUUGUAUCCUUCAAUAAUUGCCGGAUCUCUGGUAUAAUGUAGUCCAUAGUCACGAGUAUAUCUUAAGUACCUUAGUGCUCUUACUAUUCCUUUUCAGUGAUCAGCUCCUGGAUUACUCGUGUAUCUACUCAGUUUACUGAAUGUGUAGGCUAUGUCUGGUCUUGUACAACUCAUCAAGUACAUUAGACUUUCAAUAACUCUCAAGUAUUCUACCUGAGAGACACAUUCACCUUUGUUUUUAGAUAGAUGUUGACUUGUAUCUAUCUGUAUUCUAACCAAGCUAAUAUCAUCCUUCUUGAACUUUUUCAAAAUUUUGUCCAUAUAAUGUGACUGACUUAGAACAAGCCCAUUUGAUGUUCUUAAGAUUUUUACUUCAAGUAUAACAUCAGCUGAACCCAUUCUUUCAUAUCAAAUCUUGAAUUUAACGUAUUUUUAGUAGAUUCAAUCAUCUUAUUAUCACUACCAACAAUAAGCAUGUCAUCAAUGUAAAGACAUAAAAUGACAUAACCAUCUUUAGUGUCUUUGACGUAAACACAUUUAUCACACUCAUUGAUUUUAAAUCUACUCUCUAUCAUGACAUCAUCAAAUUUUUCAUGCCAUUGUUUGGGUGCUUAUUUCAAGCCAUAUAGUGAUUUCACCAAUUUAUGAACUUUCUUUUCCUGCCUUGUGAUGAAAACCCCUUGGGUUAUUCCAUAUAGAUUUCUUCUUCUAAAUCUCCAUUUAAAAAGGCAGUUUUAACAUCUAUUUGAUGUAUUUCAAGAUUUCGCAAAGCUACAAUCGCAAGUAUCAACCUAAUAGAUGUUAUUCUCGUCAUUGGAGAACACGUAUCGAAGUAAUCAGGGUCUUUAUUUUGUUUGUAACCUUUUAUUACUAAUCUGGCCUUGACUUUUCGAUAGUUCCAUCUGCUCUCGUUUUCUUUUUGAAAAUCCAUUUAUAAACUAGUGGUUUGCUUCCUGGAGGAAGAUUCGUUAGCUCUCAAGUAUGAUUUUGCAGUAUGGAAUCUAUUUUACUUUUAAUGGCAUCCUUCUAUUGAGGUCCUUCCGAGGAAUUCAUAGCCUCUUGAUAACUUUGAGGUUUACUUUCUAGCAUAUAGCUUAGAAAAUCAGGACCAUACGAUUUUUCUGUCAUUUCCCGUUUGCUACAUCUAACCUUAGUCUCCUCUUCUAGUUCUUCGUCAUGACUCUGUUCAGUCAUACUCUCAUAUGUUCGUUUGAAGGAGCUUGCUUCCUCUUUGGACUUGUACGGAAAUAUAUGUUCAAAGAAUGAAGCAUUUCUUGAUUCCAAUAUCGUGUUUUUUUGUAUGUCUGGGAUUUUAGAAUCAUACACAAGAAACCGACAAGCACUACUAUUGUGUGCAUAGUCAAUGAAAAUGCAAUCUACUAUUUUGGCCCGAUCCUUACCUUCUUUGGUGUUAGAAUGACCACUUUAGCAAAACACCCUCACACUCGUAAGUAUUUAUAGGAAGACUUUCUUCCUUUCCAUAACUCAUAAGGGGUCUUUUCCAUUUCUUUCGAGGAACCUUAUUUAAAAGAUAAUUUGCUGAUAACACAGCUUCUCCCCACAUGUUCUGAGGUAACCCAAAACUUACUAGCAUUGCAUUCAUCAUUUCCUUUAAAGUACGAUUUUUUUGUUCAGCAACACCGUUUUGCGGUGAAUAAGGUGCAAUGAUUUCAUGUAUGAUUCUGUGUUGUGCACAUAAUUUCGCAAAUAGUGCUUUAUACUCACCACCUCGAUCGCUUCUUAACACCUUAAUUUUCUUAUUAAGUUGAGUUUCAACUUCAUUCUUAUAGAGAAAUUUUUUUUCUAUAGCUUCAUGUUUAUUUUUAGCAAAUACACAUAAUAGUAUUUGGUGCUAUCAUCGACAAAAGUAAUGAAAUACUUGUUGUCACCUCUUCUUUGUACGAGUUUUAAAUUACAUACGUCACUGUGAAUUAAAUCAAGUGGUUCUGUGCUCUGUUCAAUUGAUUUAAACGAUGACAUUGUCAGUUUUGUCUUAACAUAGGUUUCACACUUAUGUUUUGAAUCAAUGUGGAACUCAGGUAUGUAAUUCAAGUUAACUAGUCUUCAUAAAGUAUCAUAGUUAACAUGUCCUAGUCUACCAUGUUACAAAUUGGAAGACUUAAGCAAAUAAGUAGAAGAGUUUGCUUUAUUCAUUUUUAGUUUAACAAUCAUUACAUCGAGUUUAAACAUACUAUCGGAAACAUAUCCUUUUAUGACAAACAUUCCAUUUUUUGACAAAAUAACUUUGUCUGACUCAAAUACAAUGCAAAAGCCAUGUUUAUUCAAAAGCGACCCGGACACUAGAUUCUUGCAAAUUUUCGGCACAUAUAGCACAUUGUUGAGAGUCAGCACUUUUCCCGAGGUCAUCUUCAGAACCACCUUUCCUUGUCCCUUAAUUUCAGAAAUUGCUGAAGUUCCCGUGAACAACUUCUCUCGAUUCUCAAUUGCCUCAAAUGCAACAACCAGCUCCUUAUCAGAGCACACAUGUCUCGUGGCACCGGUGUCAAUCCACCACUCCUUAGGGGUUGAACCCACCAUGCUCACUUCAAACAUGAAGGCUAAGAGAUUCAGCUCUGACACAUCUUGUGCCAUGUAGUCAACCACAUUUGCUUCUUUCUUCUUCUUUGGCAAUUUGCACUCUGAAGACUUGUGGCCCACUUUAUCACAAUUGAAGCAUUUUCCUUGAAAUUUCUUCUUAGAAAUUCCACCUUUCGGUCCUUGCUUGGUCCUUGUGCCACCGGAUGGCCCAGACUUAUUUUUUGUAGUUCUUACUACUUUGACCAUACCCCACUACAUUAGCUUUAGCAACACCAGGAUUGAACCACUUCUUUUUAGAAUUCUUGUUGUCUUCUUCAAUUAGAAGUCUAACUAUUAGUUCUUCGACGUUCAUUUCCUUUUGCGGGGGGCAAUUUUUCAAUAAUUGUAGCUACUUGAAAAGUUUCAAUCAAAAUCAUCUCUUUAGCAUGAAUUUCGUGAAAAAUCACUUGGAGUUCUUGCACUUGACUGAUAACUAUUUUGGAGUCCACCAUUUUAUAGUCUAGGAGUCUGUCGACAAUGAUCUUUUUAGCCCCUGCAUCCUCAGUUUUAUAUCUUUGGUCCAAAGACUCCCAUAGUUCCUUAGCAGUUUUCAUUGUACUAUACACAUUGUAUAGCGUGUCUGCUAAGCUGUUCAUAAUUUAGUUUUAGUACAGAAAAUCUGAGUAGUUCCAAGCAUCAAGUGCACUCAUUGCUUGAACAUUCCCUCACUCUUAUUGAGUUUUGGAGCAGUCUCAAUCUAGAAUCUCGCAAGAUUCAAAGUGGUUAGAUAAAAUAACAUUUUCUGUUGCCAUCUUUUAAAAUUGAAGCAUUGAAUUUCUUCGAUUUCUCUCCAUGAUUAACCGGAAUACUAACGGUGUGGCCAGUUGCUGGAGCCACUGUUUGACUCACAACAUGACUUGGCAAUCUAGCCACAGUCUGAGUCACAACAGAACUUGGCCCUUAAGCCACACCUGAUCCCAUAGCCUGAUUUUCAGUAGGCACAAUAUGGGUCACAUCCAUGUUGGUUGAUUCAGUUGCCAUUUUUGAAAAUCAAACCAAAAAAAUUAGUUUCCAAAAAUUAACAGUAUAAAAAACUAAUUUUUUCUUUUAGGAAUUUGUUUUAAAUUUGUUAGAAUAUAGUGGUAUUAAUGAAACUGGAUUAUCACAUACCGUAUAUAUAGUUUAAAUACCGAUUUUGAGCAUAACGUAUAUGCAAUAUAUUGUAUAUGCAGUUUACCGUAUUUGCAGGUAGCUUACCGUAUAUGCAGCUUACCGCAUUUUCAGACAGCUUACCGUAAAUGCAGCCUACUGUAUUUGUAGCUUACCGUAUAUGUUGCCUAUCGUAUAUGCUUCCUACCAUAUUUCCACUUACAUAUAGAAAUACCGUAUAUCUAAUAUACAUAUACCGAAUUACAUUUACCAACGUUAGCAAGAAAAUUCAGAUAUAUAUUUUUUUCUUUUACUAUUUUUAUUUCUAACAUAAGUAUAACAACGAAGUAAAUUGCAAAAUAUAUGAAUCAAGUAAAUUGAAAACGUGUAAAUCGCUUAAAUAAAUAAAUAACCUGUAAGAAUAAACUGCAAAGAUGCAAAUUGUAGAAGAUAAAUAAAUUUUCAACUCGAGGCUCGUGCGAGCAUCGUUUCCUUAAAACAGAUUCACUCCCUCAUCGUAAGUGUUUGAGAUUUAAUCCGAGUGUCCAUUUUUCAGGAUACGAAGUUAUAGAAGAAUCUGAGCACUGCAGAAACUAUUUUGACAAACUGAGUUUGUAUUGAACAUUAUCACCACCAAGACGACACUGAAAAAAAUGCAAUAGAUUAUGUAUGCAAACAAAACUAAUUUGACAGAAUAUUUUCGUGUGAAUGCAGUAUUCUUGUGGUUAGAAUUGCUUGAAAAUUGAGACUUAAUAUAAGAUUAAAUUUGCCUAUUAACUCUAUAGAAAUAAACACUAGAGUUACUUCAAUUUUUGGGAGUUUUGGUAGUUUUUGGAAACUCGAAGGUCAGUUGAAGAAAGCAAAAAAUUGCUAAAUGUAGAUACUCCAAACGGGCCAAUUUUUGCUCCGUUCAGUUCGACAUUUGUGUACGCAGGUUGCACCUGCACACAAGUUCAAGGUCUAAAGGCAAUUUCGGUCUGUGAUUUGCACCACCUGCGCGCAUACGUGGAGAGAGCCUCUAUGCUAUACAUGAUUACACAAUUCCAAAGUGUAAUCCUUUAUAAAGUGGUUCAUACUUUCUUCAUUUUUCUAUGUGUGACUGGUUUUAUUUUCCACGUAAAUCAUCUUCCAAUGUUCAUCUUUGAGCUCCAAUUUCUCAUUCAUCCAUUCAUUAGUUUUGAGAAAUGAAUAUAUGGUUUCGAUGCUCUCACAAAGGAGAACAAGGAUCAACUUUGAUCUUCCAAAUUUGACCAAUGGGUCCCACACAAAUUUUAUGCCAAAAUCAUCCACUAGCCCAUUUUUUCCAAAAGUUAUGAAAUCUGCUACUCAUUUAUCAGUUAGUGUAUACUAAAAGCUAGGAUAAUCACUAAAUGUGGACCUUGAUUAGAUGUGAUGGUAUUUUUAGUUUUUGUUGUUGCAUAACAGAUUGUAGAAACUUAUACGUAGGAUAUAGAAUCAUCUUAUGCUAACAGGGAAUGAAGUCUAGUUGCGAGAAACAAGUUAAUCAAGAUUAUAAAUAUUGAUAAGGAAGCAAAGAUAGUUUCUUGAUGUUGGUUGUUGUUUUGUUUUGUUUGAGCAAAGCCAAAGAAAUUGAAACAGAGAAGUUGUUGUGCUCAAGCUUCUUAUUUCGUUUUCUGUUACAGUAAGGUAAGAAAUUUAGGAUUUAAGCAAGACAUAUUUAUUUUCUACUUAUAUAAAGUGCAGUGCUUGCAAGUAUUAAAUAUACAAGGAAAAAAUGAUGACAAAGAAAAAUAGUUAGGAGUUGAAGACGGCAGUGGUAAGUUGUAUGUUGCUGAGAAGUUAGAUUAGUAUAUGCAUAUGUAAAUGUGAGAUAGUGAAAGUAACGGAAUAGAAGAAAGAGGAGCAGGACCAUUUGCCUUGGCUAUGUUCCAUUAUUUAUCGGAGGCUACUAAGGGAUUUCGAUUAUUAAUAGGUGAAUGGAAAUAAUCUAAAGGGCACUGACAAAGGAUAUGUGAAGAGUAGAAGGGAAAUUACAAGUUCAAGAGUUUGGUUGUUUACAUGUAUAUAUAUUUAUUAAAAAAAGAGAGAGAGAGAUGUUAAAUAGAUGAAAUGGAGAAGAAGCCCUUAAAUUAAUUAAAGAAAAGAGGGAGAAGGGAUAGGAAAUGGGUUCAUGUGAUAGCUGUGACUAUUUUUAUGUUUUUGGUUAUGGAAAUUGGGCACUAAUAUCAGUAUAUAUAUGGGCAGACAUAUGGUAAAUUCAAUUUCUGGAGAAAGCAUUAACACUUCAAGCCAAAAUUGAAACUAUUUCGAUAUAGCAUAAGAUGAGAAGGCAAGGUUCAAUAUUGGGGUGUAGUGAGCGAACUAAUCAAGGAAAGGAAGAUAAUUAGAAAUAAGACUAGCAUGGUAGUUAUAGAGUGCAUCAGUAUGUAACUUAAGUAAGUAGGUUAGCCUUAAUGAAAUCAUGGAAUGGAUUAAUUCAGUUACUCCUAGUUAGCCUUGCUAGCUUGCUUGAUUAGCAUUCCUAAUGAACCUUAGCCAAUUGAAUUUGGAGGACGAAAUUCUUUGAAGGGGGUGAAUUUGUAAUAUCCUAAUCCCUUUAGUCAAGUCAAAAGUCUAGUUGUAAUUGUAAUACUUUGGUCAACCUUUAUUUGUUGGUCAAAUAUUCAAGCACCAAAAAUGGAAAAAAAAUAAAAAUUAAUAAUAAAUAAAUUUGGAUUAUUAAGUUCAGGCGGUAGAUGGGUGGUGGGGACCACCUUUAAACAUUUGUAUGAAUCCAAAUUUUUAAAAGGGAACUAAUGACUUGUUUGAUAGCCUUUUAAUUCCAUGGAAUUGGAAUUCUACCAACUAUCGUCGCAUCAGCAUUUUCCUUCUAUUGAUGGAUUUUCAAUUCUCACCAAAAUGGUGAGAAUUUGAAUUCCAGCUUUUCCUUUUUUGUUUUUUAUUUUUUUGUUUUUUUGUUUUUUUGGCAAUGGAAACAAAUUCUAAGAAUUAUUAUAAAAAAAAAAUUUCCUUUAAUUGACAAUUUUCAUAUAAAACAAAGCCAAAUGAACACCAAAAGAUAGAUGAUUUUCUUAAUUUUUUUUUUUGGAUUUUGGCAAUGGAAAUAAAUUUCAUCCCCAAUACCAGUAAAGUCUAUCCCUUUAAUUGAUUAUUUUCAUGUAAUUUAAAAUCAAACUACCAAAAAACACUUUUAUUUCAACAUUUUUCACGUGAAAAAUUACACCAAUCAAACAUAAUAAUUUACAAUUCUCAGGAAAACGAUUUCUAGGCAAUUUAAUUCCAUCUUUACAAUCAAACGGAUCCUAAGAGAAAAGAAGAGGAAAUAAGAAAAAUCAGAAAAUUGAAAAUGGACUCAUUUUAUUCUUGUGCUUGAAGUUGAUUCAUGUUUUGGCCACAAUAAGAAAGCAAAUUUCAAGAAUCUGCAAUAUUUAUGAGUUUAGGUGUCUUAAUUUCUGUCAAAAAUUUAAAUGGGAGAAAGAGAUUAAAGUGAUUAAGGACUUCAAAUUAAGUGAAGAGAAAGGAGUGAAAAUGCUCUUUAUAUGUGUGUGUGUGUGUGUGAAUUGCAAAGAUUAAGAUAGAAAUUGGGAAAUUAAGUACUACCAUAUAAGGGAAGAUGUGUAUGAAUACUUUAAAAAGAGAAAAAAUCAUGGUGGGGGAAUAGAUUGUGUAAUACUCAGAAAAUUUAUUUAUCCGUGGUUGAGAAGGGACUUAUUUGGGAUAUACUCAUGUUUCAGGAAAUGACGAGAAGAUCUUGGAAUAGUUUAUCAAUCAAGUUAAUCUCCCUUACAUAGUUCUAUGAGUGGAAAAAAUUUAUAUAUUUUCAAAUAUUAAUAAGGUGCUUAUUCUAUUAUAUUACGUACGAUUAUGUGAAUUAUUUGUUCGAUUACAUGAUUAAUAAGGAAAGGUUCUUUCACUAUGAUAUAUGUGGAAUUUAAAGUUUUGGAUAUGGAUUAUUUGUGAAUUGGAAUGCGAGACCAGAUGUGAUAUUGAGGUCGACUCAAAAAGUAUCUAUGAUUAUAUAUUUCUUAUAGUUUAUUGAGAGGCCUUGACCAUGUUUUAUACUACAUUGAAGGGUCUUGGACCGUGGAUGAAGGGGUUUUGGCCAUGUACAUAUAGUUCGCUGAGAGGCUUUGAUCGUGUUCUAGAAUUGAUUAUUAGAAGUCUUGAAAUCGGCUUUCAUUCAUGGAGGGGGCCAAAGGCCCGUGGCAAAAGUUCUUAGCCCAAGGGGCGGAUUAUAGAUUUUACUCAUAGGGGUACAUUUUUGGUGAUUUUUUCCAUACAUUUGAUGUGAUGAGAUUAUAGUAUGAUUGCUAACUUAUGUUCAUAUCAUGACUUGAGAUGAUAUUUUACGAUGUUAUAUGAAUGUCUCAAUUUUUGGCUAUAAUUAUAGGGAGAAGAAGAUAUUGUUUAUGAAGAUUUGAAGAUAUUUUCUAAUAUUACUGAGAAAAGGACUUGGUCGAGAUUAGAAAAAGUUCAAUAUUCCGGAAGCUAUCAAGCUAGUAUGUUAGAAACAAUUUCAGAUUGUCGAUCAUCUACAUUGCGAUUGUAUUUCUGUUCAUAAGAAUUUGAUAGAUAUAGGACUUUGAGUUCUUUUUUCAUAAUAUCUUCCACGAGGUUCUUAGCUCUUUCAAACUUGCUCCCACCCUGCUUACUCUUAAUGGGUGGGCUCAUAUGGUUGACUCUUUCCUUUUGUGGACCAUUACAAGGUUAGUAGUAGAAUUAUUCUCUAAUAUUUUCAGGUCAAACUAUCACCCAAUAAAUGCCAAUAACAAAGCUAAUCCUUAAAAUGACUUUUAUUAUCUUUCUCUUUGCUCGCCCAAAUUCUGCCCCAAACUUGUAAUUACUUCAAAUAAGGUGCAUAACUUGAAAGAAAGUUUCCUCUCCUUUCGAGUAGCAACAUGCCUUGUUCUUACAACAAAUACUGCAAGUAAUGUUAAUUUACUCUUUGCACUCAUUAAAUUUUCUUUUGAUUUUUAUUAAUGUUUCCCCUUCUAUGAAAGGAAAAAAGUCUGCUAGGGGUUCGAGCACUUGUUGACCUUCAAACUUUUGUGACUCUAUUUCUUACUUUGAAUUCAAAACUUUGCAAAGCGGAGAGAAUGCUUCAUCCUUCUAAUUAAAACUUUUACAACAAUAGGAUAGAAACUACGAUAGGUACAUGUGCAUACUAAAAGCUUCUUUUGGUCUUUAAACCCUUCUAACUUUAAUUUUUGCUUCAUAGCGAGGAUUGAUUUUGAUGCAAUUCCAACUGAAAACUACUAGAAGAAAAGUUUUCAUGUGCUCACUUCUCCUAACGAUGUUUUCUCACUGUCGGCCAGAAGAUCAAAGGUUACGUCCUUGCAAGGGGCCUAGGAGAUCCAGAGGCAUUUCUUUGAAGAAAACAAAAACUCUUCCUCAAUUGUCAUGAAUGAUUCUACUUUUAGAAAAAUGAAGGUGUUGUGUACUAAUAAUCAUCUGGAACAUCAAGUCCACGUUGUCUUUUGGACCUUUUUUAAUAUUGUUUCUUAUGGUUCAUUUUGUGCAAGUUUAUUAAUGAAAACUUCAUUGUGAUGUGUUUGAUCAUUAAUUUGUUGUUCUUGUAAAUUGUCUAACAUCCAACAGUUGGAAGAACAACAAUAUUAGAAGAAGUUGAGGAUAAAAGAAUUUGAACUAUUACUUCUUCAAUUUCCAUCAUAAGUGGUGCUACAAUCCCACAAACUUCACUAUUCUCAAUCAAUUUCAACAAUUCUAGUACUAUGGUUAGGAUACUAAAAUCUAAAACCCUUCAAUUUUUUUUGGAUAACCAAUAAAGUUCUAUGGGUCUUUCUUGGGUUUAAUUUUUUUUUCCAUGUGGAUUACAAAUUCAUACUUCUGUCUUAUAACCCCAAACAUGCAAGUGCCUUAUAAUGAGUUACCUUCUCGUCUAGUAUUUAAAUUGAGUCUUUAGAGUUGCCUUACAAGGAACAUCUUUAUCUAUAUUCACAAUAGACUUCAAAUCAUAUAUCUUCAAAAAGAUGGGAAAAGAAAAAUUAAAUAACAUACACUUUGGAGUAUUGUCUACUUACAUCAUACCCUCUGAUCGUAUUAAAUUUUGAAAGUGUCUGGUAUCAUGAAUAAGUAAUAAAAUGAUAAGUAAAGAAUCGUUCCCAUGAAAACUAAAUCAUUCCCACUAAAACUAGAUACUUAACCUAUGAUCAAUAAAUGUUAACUUUAAUCAAAUAGCCAAAUAUGUUUGAAGAAUUAAUACUAGUUAACUAAUUAAACUAUUCUAAUGAUAAAAUUAUGAAAGCUUUGUAAAUUUAGAUAAGAUGAUUACUAAGACUUUGAAUCCCCAUUCUUAGUCCAUUUUAAUGAAAUUCAAUAUCAUGACAAUAUGUAUGUGUUCUUGUUGAUCGAUGCUCCUAAAUUAUUUUAUAAUCUCUCUCGAGUAUAAUUAAAUCAAUCCUCUCGUAUGACCUUUUCGUAUCUCUAUGACGGAUGUGAACAUGGGAAUAUUCAUUAAGAGCGUGUUUGAGUCCUUUACAUUGCCCAAAAUGUAUUUUGAAAUAAUAUAUUGAUGGAGAAUGUUUGGUUAGGAAAUAAGAAAAACUUCUGAAUUUUUGUGCAAUAUUAUUUUAUUGAAGGAUGUGUAGUUGAAAAUAAGAGAAAAAUGUAUUUUAAAUAUAAAGGGGACCAAACAAGGACUAAAAACACUAGAACAUCGAUUGGAAUCAUACAAAUCAUAGACGUAUAUCUCUUUCUCUUUUAUGAACCUCAUAAUGGUUGUUAUAAGCGCAAUCUUCCAAUUAUUUCUCUCAAUAACAAUAAAUUUCACAAAUAAUCCAAUUAGUGAUCAAAUAAUUGAAAUGCGUCAAACAUAAUAACAAUAAUUUCAGAAUAAACACAUAUUGAGCAUCCAAAUAUUGAAUUUUUAUUCAAAGCUUCAUAACAAGGGUUCAUCUAUAUCUUAGUAAAUGAAAAUCUAGCUUAACAUUACAAAAGUACAAGAAAUCAUAAUAAUAUGUAGAACGUCACCCGAUUUAUUGAUAAAUUAAGAAGAAAAAGAAGAAGAAGAAGAUAAAUCUUGAAAUUUUGAAUCUCUUCAAUGAUUUCUCUAUUGAUCUCCAAUUUCAUCUUCUCUUUUUUGCCCAAGAAUCAAAAUUGGAUCUUCAAUUGAUUGAAAAUUUUCAAUUUCCUCUUAAUUUUUACAAAAUUUUGUUGAAUUGGCCACACUUUUCUUGUAAUAAUUCAUGAAAUAUAAUGUAUGAGGGGUCCCUUUAAUGUUUGCCCAUGUUCUUGAUUUAUAGAAUGUGAAAUUAGGUCAAGAAACGCGUGUAAAUUGGGUUCCAAAUUAAAAGGUUUCAAUCAAAUAAAGAAAGUUGCCUUUGCGUUGCGCAUGGUUAUGUCUCAGUUUAGCCGUUAGUAUUUUUAUCAAAUUUUGAUAUUUGGUAUUCGAUUGAUGAGAUUUAAAUUGCUUUAGAACUCUAACACAAAGAAAUAAAAUUAUUCUAGAAGUAUCAUUUUUCCAAUUCAGACUUUUACUAUAUGAAAAAUGGGUGUCUCGAUCUAUGACUGAAAAUUUGGACUGGUGAAACUACUUUGACUAUAUUUUAAUACUUCACUUAUUUGACUUCUAAUCACAUCUAGUUGAUCCUAUGUGAUCUCCGAUCAUCUUUUUCUGGUCCGAACUAAUUACUAGAUAUUUAAAAUUAGGUCCCCAAACUUUGGAAAUCCUCAAUUUUCGCUAAUUUUCGCCUCUUUCUUCCAAUUGCACUUUCAAUCAUUGAGUUUUUACCUAACAAACAAAGUAUACAUAAGUAUUAAUUUUACCUUUAUUUCCUAACCUACAUAAGCAUUAGGCUUACCUUUAAUUUUGAACAAUGCCUUACAUUUCCAGCAGCCUUUUUGAUACUAAAAUGACACAUAGCUUUCUUAUGCAUUUGGACACAAGAUUCAUUUAUCUUUGUGGUCAAUGCUUAAUGCCCAUUUCAAACUUCUUUUUAUAUUUCUUUUAAGCUCUUUGAUGACUUUACAUGAUGAAUAGAAUUAGUUCCUUUAAUUUUAAGCCUUGUCUCCUCUUGCACAAACAUACUAUGCAAUUUAUUCACAUGCCACUUGUACUUUGAAGUAUUGUAGUUCAUUUGUAGUGGACCUUAUUCAAUAAGAAAGGAGUUGAUAAUAUAUUGUAUCAUUAAGUUGUCAUCUGAAGUCAUUCCUAUAAUCUUUAAGACUUGCUACAAUAUUAGACAUCUCAAUAACAUGCUGAUGCAUGAAUCAUCAAAUUUUAUGGUGGUUAGAGUACCCAUUAGUGUGUUAGCAAGCGACUUAUCAGGUGUUUGAGUAUGAUUUUCCACAAAUUUAUAUAGUCCUUAGUCAGUUUGAUCUUUCCUAUAACUUAUCAAAAGUCUUUUAUUUGUGAUGCUCAGUGAUGUGAGAGAUCAACAUAUUUUUCUACUUGAAAUAGAAAACAUAAGUGAAAUCAAAGAAUUGAGCCCAUUGAAUAGUUGAUUAUCUAAAGCAUGCAAAUGUAGAGAUAUACGGAUGCAUUAUUUCCUUGAGUUUUAAUUUAAGCAUUUAGAACAUAUUCAAAAGAACCGAUUUUGGGUGGCACCAUUUAUGAAGGGUUGGAAGAACAGUGAUGGCUAGUUCCUUUGACAUUGGUUCUAGGGUGAUUAAAAAUCAGCCAAAAAUAGUGUAGCGUAAUUUUGAUCGACUCUCUCAUCCCAUCAAAUCAAUGAUAUUUUGCUUUUUCUUAAAUUCUCUUCCAAUUUUACUCUCUGUAAAAUAAUUAUUUCCAACAAACGUACUUUGUUUGAUACUAACUUAUAACUAAAAUAAUUAUUUGUAAGCAAAAAAAUUUCGUUAAAAUUAAAAUAUUACUUAUAAGUAAAAUAUUACUUAUAAGAUGAAAAAUUAUUUUUGUGUAAAAAUCUUACUAAUAAGACAAAACAUUACUUAUAAAAUAUAAAAAGUUAUUUAUGAGGUAAAAAAAAUCAUUAAUGAAUAAAAAUUAUUUAAAAAUACAAAAUUAACUUAUAAUUAUAAAGUUUGUAUACAAAUAAGAAAUAGUAACAUAAAAUUUUAAGUAAAUAUUUAUGUCUAUUUAACUUUUUAAGUUAAAUAUUAAUUAUAUGUAAAAAAAAAUUGCAUAUAAGUAAAAUAUCCUUUAUUAUUAAAAAAAUUUCAUACAAGAAACCAUAUAUUCAAAAUUUCACAAAGGGACGUAUAUGUGACUUUACUCUUAAAAAAAAUUUAGAAUCAGUGAAUAAUAAAUUCUAAAGCCUGGGUUACACUAUUUUAAAAAUCACUACUAAAACUACUCAUAAUCGGUCCAUUCAUAAACGCUAAAAAAAUUGGUUCUUUAAAAAAGGCUCAUAACUAGUACGAUGGAACUACUAAGCGGCCCUUAUGAGAUUUACUUAAUCAUUGCUUAAUGGUAAAAUAUUAACCAUCAAUACCAGUUUAGCCAAUUAGAAAAGAAAUUUUGUCAAAAUAUGUAGUCCCAGUGGAAACAACAGUUAAAUAAUUUAAAUCAUCGAAAUAAACUAUAAUUGAGAUGAACAAUAAUUGGAAAAUCACAAAUUCCUUAACCAAGCUCUUUACCUAUGUAUAAGAAUUUAUUUAUUUCUUGUAAAAACAUAAUUUGCUUAUACCUUAGUUUCCAAAUCUUAGAAAUUAAUGAUUUUAACAUGAACAUUCAUCAAUUAAGAUGUAUACCUUGAUCCAUAACAAAUUAUUGAAAGAUUAAACUUGCAAAACAAACCGAAUGAAAGAUUGAAAUUGUCCACUUACUGUCAAAGUGUGCAAUUAUCCUAAUAAGUUGUCCUUGAUAUUGCUAUUUGAUUUACGAUGGUAAUAAUAAUGUAGAACAAAGCAGUAUCACACAAUAAAAGAAGAAUACAAUCAAAUAUUCGUUGAUAAUGUGAAUACUUGAAUAUUUAGAGACAAUAAUUCUAAAGAUGAAUACCAAAAUUGACUCCUGAAAGUUUAAAUACAAAAUAAAUUAUACGUAAUUUCUUAAAAGUAAGGAACGCUAAUUGCUUUUAUACCCUCUACUUAUAACAUAAGUUAUAUCAAUAAAAUAAAAAUGUAACAACUAUUUCUUAGGAUACAUGUGCCAAGAAUGCAAAGUACAGUGUAGCGCAUCCUAUAGGACUCUUUUGUAGUCCUACAUAGAGGUGACAAUGGACUGAGCCGACUCGACCUUUAGACAUCUAAGCUGGGGCUAGACCUAUGCUGACAAGAGCUGAGCCAAAUUCCGUUCGUGUCCACAAACAAUGUUUGACUCAACCCUUUGGCCCAUGAUGACAUGAGUCAAGCACUAGCCGGCUCACGAGCCACUCAUUUUUAAUAAAAUAAUACGAAAAUGAUUCAAAAAGAGAGUUGAACCCUGGUUCAUGAAUAUUUUUUGAACUCGACUUGGUCUACGGCUCAUCUCAAUAUGAGCCCGAGCAGUCCAUGGACCAAUACGAGGUGAAUUGACAAGCGGCUUGGCCCAUUUGCCACUCCAAGUCCUAGAUUUUUCUUCUACAAUUUUAAAUUUGCAGCUGAAGUCCUUAAACUAAAGAUAUUUACAUACAACCCUAGUUAACUUUAGUUAGCUUAUGUUUAGUACAAAUUCUUUAAAAUUUAUUUUAUAAAAAACUCAUUUUCAACCACAUAUAGACCUAUAACUUUUUUCUAUUUUUUGGUCACACAUUCUAAAAUAAAAUUAUUUUUUAUAGAUUUUAUUUUCAAAAAGUUUAUAUCAAUCAGACCCUUAAUAUAAUUAAAUAUGAUUGAUAUAUUAUUCAAUAACCAAUAAUAAUCCAUUAUUUCUGUAUCCCACUACAAAACACGACACAUAAAUACUUUAUCUCCAAUGGGUUUUGUCUAUAAUUCAAAUUUGAGCUUUAGUGUAUAUUUUAUAGGGGAGAGAAAAGAAGUAAACAUGAGAGACAAGAAAUAAGGAACAAGAGACACAAAUAUUAAAUCAUGGUAGUUCAUCCCGUCUACAAGAGUUCCAUAUGUUUCGCCUAGAUGUGGUGUAGCAAUAUGACUUAAGAACCUCAUCUCUGGUGGCAUUACAUCUCCAAUGGUCUUCACAUGAAUAAUGUCUUCAUCAAGCAUCGGCUUUUGUCGAACCUCGCGUAAGCUUAAGGGGUCGAUGCACUCAAUGGGUUCAUCAUACAAGGGCCAGUUAAAAAGGACCUUUGCUUUCAAUGAUCAGCUUCUGUGUCAUGAUGAUUUGGACAACUAGACUGUGGGAUUAGGCUGAUAUGUUCUACAAGGAAACCACUUUAUUAUUUUUAAAUAAUCGCCUAGAAUCAUUUGUGAUCAAGAAGGAUCUGGGAGAAUGGUCUUCAAUAGGGUAAUUCAAUUGGGAAAGGAAACAAUAUUUUAAUAGUCACAAUUCCCCAGCCAAUGGAGGCGUUACAUGGGUGAAUUAGGGUUUGCAACAUAUAAACACAAUUUAAUCUCGAAACUCACCCAUGAAUAUCCUUCCAUAGGUUAAUAACACAUUUACGUCAUUUUUUCAUUGUAGCCAAAACUCUACUUUCUUGUCUCUCCCACAUCCCAUGUCUCUAUGUUCUCCUUCUCAAUUGAAAGUUGACUUGAUCAACAGAUUAACAACGAUCACUUGUCCUUUUUUAUGGAAUGAAGAUCUUGGUACUUAAAUAUUUCUCCAAAUGUGCGGAUAAUAUAUAAGUUAGCAACGGGUGACAAGGGAUAUGUUGACAGCAAUGUCAUUCUAAAUUUUGAGAUCAAUGAAGAUAAUACGACUUUAUGAGGAAAAAAAAAAAAGAGUCCAACUUUACAUUCAAUUAGUUUUGAUCACGUUAUAAAUUGAAUUCGAGUGCACCUAACAACAUAAGUGAUCAAUUUAAAAUAAUUAAUGUGACCAAUGACUCAACAAUUUAAGUGAUCAGUUAAUAGUAAUAAAUGUGACCAAUGAACAUUUAAUUUGAUUUUAUAAAAAAUAAUAUGAUCAACAAUUUUUUAUAUCAAAAUCACUAGUAGUUACAUGUUUUAUUAAUAGUAAAACAAAAAGAGUACAACUUAGAAGGGGGCUGGACUUAACCUCUAGCAAGUGAUGAUCAAAGCGAAUGAGACUUAUUGCAACCAAUGCAAGAAUUAUAUUAAAAAUAUAUUGAAUAGAACUUAGUCAAAUCUAGAAAUAUCUCCGCCUUUCAUGUGUUUUCAUGCGGCUCGUGAUAUAAUUGUGAGUCAUCAACAUAGUCAACCCACUAGAAGGUGACUUCUGAUUGUAACCAAAAGGGAAAGCCCCAAUUUCCAAAAAAUCAUCACGUAGAUAGCCAUAGGCAUCUCUUGCAUAAUUAGCAGAGCGGUGACAGAACUGUUGAACAUUAUAGUUAAAAUCAUGUGUUCAUCCAAAAAAUAUGGAUCAUCCUCAACAAUAACAUUGCAAUCGCCAAGCCCCAUGUCGUCAAUAUUACUUUGAAUGUUUUCUCAUAUUUUAUCUGUACUGUUAAGUUCUUGAACCUAAUUCACCGAUGAGGAGUUAGCUUGCUCUUAUGAUGUUGGGAGUCCUAAAAAUAACAUGCACUAAAUCCUCCACAGCUUCCCUCAAUUUUGGACCUACAUGGACCCAGUGAUUUUGAAGUGAUCGGUAAGUCCCUACUUAACAAAAGAGUCGUUGAAAAUGCCAAACACGCACUUAUCUUUAUUUAUGCAUGAGUCCAGUGAUUUUUCAUCCAUUUGCAAGUUAGUCCCUGUAUUUUCUACAUUUUUCAAUUUGGUCCCUAAACUUUUCAGAAUCUGCAAAUCAUUCCCUACAUUUUUGGAAUUGUAGCUAUAGUCGCAGCCUCUGAUGCUCAAACUCUUGGAAAUAGUAGGAGUACCCUUAUCGAACAUGACACAACAUGGUUAUAUGUAUAAAAUAUGUAUUAGCUCCUCCAACUUUCAAUAGGACGCUUCGCCAUUUUUACUUCUUUCUUCUUCUUCUUCUUCUUCUUUUUUUUUUUUUUUUCCUUUUCCUUUUCUUUCCAAUUUUUGUUCUCUGUAAACUUAGUGCCACCUUUGAGAGGGUGAAAAAGGGCGAUAGCGCUAUGUUUUCUCUUCUUCUUCUUCUUCUUUCUUUUUUCUUUCCAUUUUCUUCUUUUUAUCCUUUUUUCCCUCUCUAUAUUGGGGGUUUAAGGUUUUGUUGGUAUAAAAUGAAAAUGGGUUUCAUAUAGUGCUGCUUAGUACUCCGCUAAGUCUAAAUUACAAUCAAGUCCCUCAAUUUUAUUUUAUAUAACAUUUAGUAAUUAACUUCCAAUAAUUAAAAACUAAACCCCAAAAUUUAAUUUUAUUUGUGUUAAUCCCUUAUUGAAUACUUAUUUCCUUCUUUAUGAAUAAUUAAUUUUGGUUUAUUCAAAAUGACAUUUUUGAUUAGUAAAAAAAUUGAAUCUUGAAAGAUUUACCCAUGUACCCGUAUUUGAAAUUUGGACUCUUUUUAGAAAUGUCUCCAUAUCCUACAUUUUAAAAAAUAAAAGAUCCGACAGUUAGAUACGUACCCGUACCCGAUAUCUGUACUCGAGUCUGAGCAUCACAGGUCGCAGCAAUUUGCCCAUCUACCCACGAAUUUAUAUUGAUCCCUUGAGUUUCUGCAUAAUUCAUUUCAAUCCCUUAGGCCCACUUAAUAAUAAGAUAGGCUUCGUAGUUAUAAGCUCAGGGCCUAAAAAAGAAACAUGGCCCUACAGAUCAUGUUCCAAUGUAGCCCAAUCAAAUUUAUCUUGUCUAUUAGGCCCAAGUUUUCCAUCAGUAACAACAGUGGCCCUUCUCUCAAUUUACCUUCAAUUAGACUCAUUGGGCCAACUAUCCACAAUGAAUUGCUCCAUAAUCUGUUGGUUAGCACUUGACCCAGCAUGAUUAGGCCCAAUUAAAUCCACAUUGUAAUGCGGGAAAAAUUUAUAUUUCAGGUAUAUUCUUACACCAUUUCAAAAAUCUGGUAAGAAGUUUGAAAAUUCAAAAUUCAGGUUUGUAUUUAAUUAAUUAAAAAUAUUUAUUAAAUAAAUAUAUUAAAGUCACGAUUAAUUAAUUAAUGGUCAUAGAUUUAUUUACUGGUCAUAUGUCAUCAAAUUAAUUAAUUUCAAAUUUAUUUAUGGUCACAUAUAAAUUUUUUUUAUAGGUUACAAAUAAUUUCGAGGUCACGGAUCAAAAUUUUUAGAGGUCAUGGAUUUUUUUUAGACACGGAUUAUCAAAUUUCAAGGUUACAGACCAAAUCGUUGAGAUCACAGAUUGUCAAAUUUUAAGGUCACAUGCUAAAUCGUUGGUCACAUAUACCAAAUACUCCAUUGCCGAACCCAAUCCACCACCAACGAUUAGUCACAGAGCAACCAAAUGGUCACCACCAACAAUGUCGCCACCACUAGAUCCAACAUAUUGCCAACAAAAAUCACCACAACUACCACAAUCAGAUUUAUACACACAGAACUCACACAAAUCAGCACAAAUACACCAUAGAUCUACCACCUGCGCCAACGACCAUCGUCACCACUGUAGCCACAACAAUAAUCCUAAAACCACCAAACACAUAAAAUCAUUGCAGCCUCGAUCUGUGCCAUCAUCAUGUCGCUACAGCCAUCAUGCACAGCAUCGCGUUGAGAUCUUCGUUCCCUCCACAGAACCGCACACCUCCACUACCACCGCAAUCGCAAAACUAGAACACCAUCAUAGCGCAUCGCUCCACCUUCCCCGAUGGUGUCACUGCAAGGCGCCGAUCAACCAGCUAGAAUAGAGAGGGUGUUGGUAAGGAAAGGGAUAAAGAUGGAAUGGAAAGAGGGAGGUAGAAGGGAGAGAGAUCUAGGGUUUGCUAUAUGAGAGUUGAAAUCGGCUUCUAUUGUGUUUUAAUUUAAUAUUUAAAUAUAUAAUAACUAAAUUGAAACCUGAGAUUUACAUAAACAACUUUGGAACCUGACUCUUGCAUUGGGAUCUACAAAUACCUGAGAUUUUGUAAUUUCCUCUUGUAAUGCCCUAAGAGCCUUAGGUUCAUUUAAAGAAGUUGGCCCAAACUACCAUUUUCUUGUAACAUUUCAGUUAAAUGAUUGAUGUAGACUAUAGUAGUGGGUCCUAAAAACUUCUGACCCAUUUGAGAUGACCUACUUAUGUAAUUUGUCUAAAUAACAUUUUAUUUAGAGCAAAUAUGCUUCUAUUUGGCCCACAUUAAAUUCUAUUAUAUUGUAUUCUAUUUUCUCUCUCUUAUUUUUAACCAUACAAUUUUUCAUAAAAUAAUAUUACACGUAAACAGAAAACUUUUCUUUCUUUUUCAACCACUCAUUUCUCAAAAAAAAAAAAAAAAAAAAAAAAAAACACUAUCCACUCAUUUUUAUUUCCAUAAAAUGGGGGCCAAACGUGGGAUAUAUAAACUUUCCAUGUUGUUGUGUAAAUUUUCUUAUUUUACUCGAAAAAUUUAAAAAAACUUAUUAAGAGGUGUAGCAUAAUCCCUUGUACUCAGUAUUAUUUGUAUACUCGAAAGAUUUGAGAUUUUACCCAUCAGAAAAUUAAUUAGUCCGAAGAUAGGUUACAUGUCUUCUUCCUAAAUUUGUAUUUUAUUUGAACUUUCAGUAAAUAAAUACUUUUACUUUGUUGUGGUGGGAAAUUUGAAAACACUUCAAUUAGGAACUUGUUUUUUCUUAUUUAUUUAUUUAUUUAUUAUUAUUUUUUUGGGUAAAUUUUUUUUGUCUACAAAAUGUGUAGCACAUUGUCGGCCCUCCAAGUAGUUGAGAAUAAUUUCUCAGGAAUGCACCAGUUUUGUAGAAACAAAGAAGAUUAAAAGAGAGAGAGAGAGAGAGAGUAAAAUAAUAAUGUACCUUAAUCAUAGAGUUAUACAAUAUUGUUCAUCUAUAAAUACUGCAUGCCCUUCUUGAUGAUCAUAGCAUAUUUACAAUUGACUUCCUCGCUAGAGAAAAUGACAGAAUUAGAGUCAACUAAGCUGCUUUAACUUAUUUGUGUUGUUAUUAUUAUUUAUUUUUAUUUUAAUUUUUAUUUUUUGUGUUCGUUGUCUCAAGUUUCCUUAUCUUCUUGAGCUCUAUUAUUCAAUUGCUAGUUCAACUAGCAUCAUCUAUUAUUCAAAAGCUUUGAUGUAGCUUUUCUUGACUGUUAGUGUAUGUAUGUACAAUGUCUAUUUUUAUUUAUAUAAAGAAUUAUGCUGCUGAAAUUCUUGAGCCCGUUGAUGAUCUGCAAUUGAAUGUGAGACCCAGCCUAAUGAUUGGAAUAUUUUAAUUGAAGGUUCCAUAUUUAACAAAGUCAUGUUUUUUGGAAAUACAAUUUUAACACAAACGCAUCCUACACUGGAUUUCUUACACCUGGCACAACUGUGACUGUUGGAUUGGUCUCUUGGAUGCGCCCCAUAUAAAUAGGGUUAGGAGGUUUUUGUCUAACCCUUAUCUCUUUUGACUGCCGCUUUUCUUCUUCGUUUUCUUCAUCUUCUAGAUGAUUUUCUUUGUGAUUUCUGAGUGAAAUAUUGUAAUAGAACAAUAGAAGUGAUGAGAUUCAUCUCUUAGUGAGAUUAGUGUAUGAUUUUCUGAGGGUCUGAUUGAAAAACGGCAGAACACUUUCAUCUUUUGUAACUUGUUUUUGCCCAUUUAGGGAGCGGUGAUAGUGGAUUUGAGCGUAAUCUGUAUGUAUGGAUGCUCAAUGGGGAUGUAGGCGUUAGUUGGUCGCCGAACCUUGGGGCCUUUCGGCCAAAAAUCCCUUCGUGUUCUUUUAUUUUCUAUUAAUUUGUAUUUAUUAUUUUUACUGUAAAAUACUCAAGUCACAAAAGAAUUUGUAAUACUAGGAAUUACAGUGGUAUCAGAGAUACUAUCAAAAUCCUUUUUCAAAAUAUUAUUGUUCGAAUCUUUUCUGUGACUUGGUUGUACUAAAAAUUGCCAAAACUGAUAGAUCUAAUUUUAUUGUACAGGAAACAAUCUUCGAUUUGAAUCUUGAGUAGAUCAUCGGUAUCAGUUGGUACUUUCAGCAUAAGCUGCAGAUCUGGUGAAAUCUAUACCUAGCCCCAACUUUAAUACUUGUCGAAUCUUGAUUAGGAAUUAAGUUUAAGGAUUUUUCGAACCCCCUUUAAUUUACCUUUGUCUAGGGUUUCAUGAGAGAACCCCUAAAAUCUGAGGAAAUUAAGGAACAUUAAAGAAAAUCCAUUAGGGGUUUAUUACUUUGUGUUCUGCAAUUUUUGUUAUUGUCCUUGCAUAACCUAAUUCUUGUGUAUAGGGUUGACAAUACUAAUCAUCUAUCUGCAAUUGAUAUUAUUCAAUUGACUUUUGUGUCAGUACUCACGUCUGUAUAAUUUUGCAAGAAAGUGCUUUAUUUGUUACUGUAAGGAUUAAUUUGUCAAUUGUUAAGUUUACUGAGUGUGAACUAUUCUUUAUGUUAUAUACCUCUGUUGUGUUCUGCAUAUAGUGUGAUCUGUUUAGCUGAGAUUAGAUCUUGUCUGAAUCAUCUUGAACCUUACUAUGACAUACUUGCACAAUAUGUCCACUAAAAUUGAUAUUCAACAUUGGGAUGGCAAAGAAGAUUUUACUCUCUGGAGCCAGAAGAUGAAAGGUCUAUUAAUGCAAUUGAAAUGUGUUAAAGCAAUUGAUGAAUCUUGACCAGAAACUUUAUCAAAAGUUAGGAAAAUUGAGCAAGAUGAAUUAGCAUGGAGUAUCAUAUUUCUUCACCUAUCUGAUUUUGUGAUUAGAAAGAUAGGAACCACCACUACUAUCAGUAAAUUAUGGACAGCCUUAGAAAAACAAUAUGUUUCUAAGUCUCUACCAAAUAAGUGUUUUCUUUGAAAACAAAAUUUCAACCAUAAAUUUGAUCCUACUGCAGAUCUAGAAGAAAAUAUGGAUAUAUUUAAUAAGAUUAUACAAAAUUUCAAUUGUGGGGAAAAGAUUUCAGAUGACCAGAAAGUAGUUGGUCUACUAAAUGCUCUGGGUGAUAAGUAUAAAGACAUAAAGAAUGCCUUAGAAUAUGGUAGGAGUGAUCUAACUGUUGAAAUCAUUCAGACUCACUCAAGAAUAAAGAUCUAGAACUUAAAUUUGAACAUAAAGUUGCCUUACAUGUUGAAAAAUCCAUGUCCAAUCCAAAACUCCCUACAAAAGGCUUAAAUAACUUGAGUCAAGCUAAUUACAAUAGAGAUAAAAAUUUCUCUAAAAAGAAAUGGGGGAAUAAUAAAGGAAAGGAUAAAAAGGUAUACAAGGGAAAGGCUAAUAAUAGGAAAUGCUAUUAUUGCGGUAAAACUGUCAUUUGAUAAAAAAAAAAAAUUGUUUCAAGAGUGCUAAGGAUCUAGGAAAUGGCCCUAAGCAUGAUAAUGGCACUUCAGCUAUUGCUGUUUCCUGUAAAAGGGAAGAGAAUGCUGAUAUUAGGGUAGCUUAUAUGCUCUCAUUAGAAAAAUCAGAACAUGAUUGAGUUCUAGAUUCAAGAUGCUCCUUUCACAUGAGCCCUAAUAUUAACUAGUUUACUGAUUUCACAAGCCUUAGUGGUGGGUGUGUAAAACUGGGAAUAAUGAUUCCUGUCAUGUAAAAAGGAAUUGGAAAUAUUGUUUUAAAAUUGAAAAAUUGUCAACUCCUAAGGCUAAACCAUACUAGGUAUGUUCCAGCACUUAGAAGGAAUCUUAUAUCACUGGGGGUAUUAGAUGAUGAAGGGUAUCAAAUUGAAAUUAAUGAUGGUUUUACCAAAAUAAAUAGAAAUCAGUUACUUAUAUUCAAAUCACCCAAAAUUAAUGGUAUCUAUACCCUAAACCAUGAUUUUGUCAUUUAGAAUACUGCUGUGAAUUUGGUCACACAACUAGAUAAUUAUGAAUUGUGGCACAAAAGACUAGGUCAUCUAAGUGAGAAAGACCUAAAGAUACUUUCAAAGGCUGAUGUUGUUAGGAAUGACAAUGUUCAGAAGUUAACCUUAUGUGAACAUUGUAUUAUGGGAAAACAUAGGAUGCCCUUUAAUCAUGGUAUACAUAAGUCCCAAAAUAUACUUGAAUACAUUCAUAGUGAUUUAUGGGGGCCUGCACCUUUGUCCACUGCAUCUGGAUAUAGAUAUUAUCUCCUUAUUGUUGAUGACUGCUCUAAGCGUUAGUUGGUUGCCGAACCUCGGGGCCUUUCAGGCAAAAAUUACUUAGUGUUCCUUUAUUUUCUAUUCAUUUAUAUUUUUUAUUUUUACUGUAAAAUACUCGAGUCACAAAAGUGUUCGUAAUACUAGGAAUUACAAUUUAUUUAUUUAUUUAUUUUUAAUACAAAAACUGUUUGCCACAUGUUGCAGUAUUAAUUUUGGAUUACAUAUCUCCAAAUUAUCUUGCGUUCAGACUAGUAUUAGAACCUUGAAAUAACAACAACAACAACAACAACAACAACAACAAUAAUAAUAUCCAACAGUCUUGUUUCCCUUGUGCUUCAUUUUAAUGGAAAAAUUUGAUUAUUAUUUCAUUCAUCAACCAUACAUACAUUCAUCCAUUCAUGAAUAAAUCCUAUCAUUCAAAUACACGCAUAGAACAACUCUGGGAAUCGCUUAACUAAAAAAUCAUACAAUAAAUCAAUAAUUAGGAUUAAGACACAAGAAAACUUUAGACCUACACUUUAAUACCACUUUUUGAGCUGAUCACUAGAUUUAGGAAAAACAAAGAAAAAAAAUGAAAAUAAGUUUAAUGGACCAGGUCUUCACUAGAAUCUAUGUGUUGCAUUUCUAAUUAAUUGCCACAGAAGUGUUUCGAAGUUAAACCUAUUCCAAGCAAUUAAUUUCUUUAUCUUCUUGCUUGAGGGUGAUUGAUUUGAAAGCUUCCUUCUCAAUCCCAAAAACUAGUUUAAGAGGUGAUGCUUUCCUUUACAUUUAUAAACUCACCAGCCCGUUUCACAAUCGAUGUGGGAUAACUUCAACAAUCUUUCCCUCACACAUCGGGUCAUACUGGAGAUCAAACACGUCUAUCUCUCGCACAAAUUCACAUCUUCUAUGACUGUUGGGCUUGAGUCGUGUUGAUAACCUGAGCUCUAAUAUCAGUGUUGGGUGAUAUUGAGCUUCUCAACCCUAAAAGUUAAUUCAAGAAGUGACGUUUUCCCUCACACUAAUAAACAGACCAUCAGUUCCUUUCACAAUCAAUGUGAGACAACCCCAACAAGUAAUUGUUCCUUCCUUAAUCCACAAGCUUCUAACCCUUGGAAUCUUCUCCAAAACCUUGUUGCACUUGAUUUGUGGCACCAAUAAUCAAGAUUUCCAAUUACCAAAUUCCUAAUCCUCAAGAAUUCACAAGAAGCUAUUACAUAUAUCAAGAACUCUCUUAAGUAAUGGAAGUUGCAUUGUAUGUUUGUGUUCUUUUUUCACGUCCAGUUAGAUCUAUAUAUAAAACUAAAUAGCCUUGUUCAUUGUUCCAACACGAUUGGGAUUCCAAUUAUAAAGAAACUUGAUAACCAAGUUAUAUUCAUAAAAAAAUUCCUUUUAGGACUUGGUCAAAUUUUAAUUCGUCAAGCUCGUCGUUGCUUUUGAUCAAUGAAUGACGCGAGUUAAAGUCUGACCCAAUCAACUAUGCAACCUGUUAAUUAAAUUAUUACCAUAAUUAACUCCAAGUUUUUAUUUGAAGCUAUCAAAGGCACCUGAUCGGACAUAUAUAAUUCAAGCUUCCAAUAGUUUGGUCCCAAUAACUCCAAUCCAUAUUGUCCGGUCCCAUUAUGAAUCUAUACUUAUUCCACCUAAGGCCCACAAUUGCACUCUUGAAUUACAUAGAUUUGCAUAAGCAAUAUUAUUUCAAGUCUCCAUAGUUACAACCUUAUGACUUGCUAUCUAUAUGUUCGACGGACAUUUAAGAAGUGGUGCAGGAUCAAAAUGAACUUUUUCUCUUUUAAUUAUUAUCUCACUUAAGCUAUCAUUUUCUUCAACGGUUUCUUUGCGAACAGAUCGUGGGAUUAUUCGGGCAUCCACAAAUGGUGAGUUCAGAUCAAACAACCCAUAAGAGAAUACUUAAGUUGGUUCAUUUGCAUAUUUGAAUAGGGGCAGGUAUCAAAAAAGAAUAUCCAUUCCUUUGUUUUCAGCUCCAAAUUUAUUGAGAUGUUUGACUAUAUAUAGAUCUUACUCAUUGGCACAUCAAAUAUAAAAGUUCACAAAUAGAGAACACUACCUCUGUUUCGAAUUCUGUUAAUCUAUAAAAUAGUUAUUUAGAGUUCAAUUUUUCGCACGAUCAUUCGGUAGACUUAAAAUCUAUCAAGAGGUCCUAUCUAAUGCACUUCAAGAUAUACUCAAUGGGCCAAUGUUAUGAAUCCUGAUAUCGUCUCGCCACGAUCAAGACAAAUCGUGAAUUCCAUGUAGCCGAUCCUAUGACCAUACUAGAACAAAGUAUUAAUCUUUGCUCAUUCGCCAACAGUGAAUAUUCCAAGAUGUGGAAUUCGAGUAACAUAUGGGUUUAUGAUUCGGGGUUUUAACAGCAUUGAUGUGCAUGGGUUGGCUAUCCAUUGCAGGACUAUUAAGAGAGAGAAGAAAGCAUAAAAAAUUCAACUCAAAAUCAAAUUCUGGAGUUCAUUAUUCGUCAUAUUAUGUGAGAGGAUCCAGGAUUAAUUAGUCGGGUACCUUUUUGGCAUAAACCAUAUAUCUUUGAGAGAUCGCAUUUCUUAGGGUUGGUAGUAAUGGAAUGCUUGCAAGUUUUUUUUUAGAAGAUUUUCUCAAGUCCUUACCGACAAAAUUAAUAUUAGGAUUGACGUGUUUGUUCCUUUCGAUUGUUCCCAUUAUGGAACCCUUUGGUUCAGCAUUGUAUUUGGUUCUUCAUAUGAAGUUGUCUUGGGUUACCGUUCCUAUCAUCGUCCUUACAAUUAUUCAAAUAGUUAUUUUCUCCAUCUUGUAGUUUCCUCUCUUGAUUGAGAUGACAAAUCGUCUUAUGGCUUUGUGAUAUUCAAUAAACCUAAGAAGAAAGUCUGCCAUUGCUAUGUUCCGCUCAUGUUUGAUAUGGUGGAAUAGAAAGUAUAUGACACUAUUGCAGAAGAAAAAGAAAUUAAAAUCUUAUCAAUCAUACUAUAAAGUAUUAUUGAAUACAACGUCAUAUUGUUCUCUUCCUUCAUUUUGGUUUCUGUCAUUUUAAAUGUUUAUGAUAGAUUCCUGGCAUUUUUUCAUAUGAAUUCCAUUGAUGAAAUCCGUUUCUCCAUUGUUGAGGCAUUUAAUUAGACGAUAUGUGCCUGUUAAUCCAAGGAAUAGAGGUUUUCUUUGUACUUGUUUGUACCUUUUAUUUUUUUAUUUUUUUUGUUAAUGUUGGAUUUUGAGACCCAAUAAAUCCGGGUGAUGAUAUUAAAACGAUGUUAGGAAAUUUAUAUUGGCGCCUUAGCAAUUGGUUCGACCUGAAAACGACUUCGGCCAUUUGAAGAAACUUAAUUAAGAUUGCUCGUGGCCCAACACUUUAGUUGGCCCAUGUGAGUGUUAGCCCAAUUGGUGGUGACAUGAGAGUUAGCCCAUUUUGUGGUAAGUUGAGACUUUGGUUGUGUGGCCCAUUUACAUGUCUUUGGCCCAAAUUCGAAGGUAGCCUAAUCGAAGGCUUUAUAUCCAUCCUCUCCAGCCGUGUGUUUUGUGGGUUAAUUUGGCAUAGUGGAAAGAAAACGUGAGGCAGCCGUCUUGAGGGGGGGAAAAUAGGAGUUCAACCAUUACUUCUUCUAUUCUCUUUCGCCUUUGUUGGUGCAAGUUGUUCACCAUGCGAGCAUGGGUGUGUGCAAUAGAGGCAAGAGAAAUAGGUAGCCGUUAUGGGAGACUUUGUAUUCAACAAUUGCUACCCUUUUCUUCUUCAUCCCUUUGUAAUAUUGCUACAACCACCACUGUAUCUCCACCUCUUACUAUGACUAAGUUGCUUCGGACAUAGAACUUUGGAGAUGCCAAUAUAAUUAUAAUGAAAGUACCAAAAUGCUCGUUAACUUACAAAACGAGGAUAGUAGGUGCAAUUUUCUUCGUUUAAAAGUUCAUGUUGCAUGCGUCAUUAAAUUAGUUGAUAGCGUGACCGUUAGAUAGAGCUAAGAGAAAUCUUCUAAGAAAUGAGGCAAUAUCACCAUUUCACCAAUUUUGCAUCAUGUUGACCUCGAAAUAAGAUUAAUAAUUUUUUUUUUUCACUAUCUAGAAUUUUCUCCUCCUGGUUUUAUGAUCAAGCAAGAGCAAGAAAAGACAAUGCUAUUUAAAAGGAGAAUAUUUUGAUAUUGCAUUCCUUUCUUUGUCGCCAAUUAUGUUAUUUAUAGAUUUCUAAUGAGGUCUUAGAGGUAAUUAAGUGCCUUUCACUAAUAACGUGGCAAUCAUUCACUGGUUGAUUUCUAACCGAAUUUGCUAACUUUUCACAUUUUAUUCACGAGUCUCUAUAUUUCUCAUUCAUUGGCUCUGAAAUCAUACUUUAUAUUUUUACUCAUGUGUGCUUUGAUAAUGGUUAUUGUUGUUGUGGAAUAACUAAUGAAACUAGUUAAAGAACAUUUGCUCACUUAUGUUAGCUUGAGUUCGCAUGUGAUUUGGUUUGCUUUGAAAAUGUUUGCGGGCAGAAAUAUAGGUUCUCCGCUAAUCCUUUGUAAAUUUUAAUUACAACAAAUAUCUUCAAAGUUAGAAUCUAAUCAUUUAUAUUAAGUUUAAGACUUUAUUUAAUUUCUACGACAAAUAUUUAAUUAUUUUAGAAUUUAUUUCGGUAUUAUGAGCCCUUAAAAAUAUUUGCGACAAACGAGCCUACAACAUGGCUUGUUUUGUGUGGUUUAACUGAUUCCGAGUGAAAUAAGGUUGGAUGAUUAACAAAUGAUCCUCGAAGUUCAGGCUUAACUAUUUUUGUUAAGUGCUGAACUUGUGAACUUAAGGCAAGGAUUUUAAUACUAAAAAUACCUAAGGAUAUUCCACUCACCAAUAGCAGUUGAUGUAUGGCAUGAUGAAGGGACGUGUAAUGAUUACUACGGUUCUUUACAUAUAUCAAUGGGGAUGUUGCAUACUUCAAGGUACAUAGGCUGUUAGGGGUGAACACGGUUCGAUUUGGACAAUUUGAAAAGUUUCAAACCAAACCAUUUAAAGCGGUUUGGAAUUUUUUCAAACCAAACCAAAUCACUUCAAUUUCUAAACCAAACCGAUCCAAACCAUUUUUUUCGGUUCGGUUUGAUUUAAAACCAUGGUUUAACAAUGAAAAAUUUUUAUAUCAAAUAAGUUAAAUCGUUUAGUCUAAAAUUUCACAUUAAAACAUAACUUGUAUUGUUAAAAAAAUUACAAAUCAAAAUUAUAUAAUUAUAAUCAUAAUAAUGCAACAACAUGAUAAAAAUAUUUUAAACUCUUAACCAAUACUAAUGACAUCCAUUUACAAUUGUAAUACAUAAUUUAUUCUUUUGAAUUCAUUGAUUAUAGUUAAAUGAUAUAACUAAUAAAAGAAAAUGAAUAAAAAAUAAAAUACAAUAAUACCUAGCUACUGUGACUUUUUGUGAAUCAUUCAAUACUUCUACUCUAUCCAAAUAUUAGGAAUUAAUUUAAGGAAGCCUGAUAAUUAUUAGAACAAAACAACACAACUACCAAUAAAAACAUAGAGCACAGUUCUUUACAUAUAUCAAUGGGUACGUAGGCUGUGCUCAUUUAAUUCACGUGUUGCUAACACAUGAUUCGAUUUGAAUUAUUUUUGGAUCAUACUAUAUGUAGAAAUUUUUUUUACAAACUCCCUUACUACUUACAAUGAGGGUGUGGAUCAUAAGUCGACAUUGUUUAAAUUCACGUGGGGUCUGCUAAUUUUGUGAGAGUGAGUACACCAUUUUGUCAACAAGACUUUAUACAAAUAUUAUUAUUCAUUAUUUUUAGGCCCCUUUUUUAUAUCCAAUGCUAAUAUCUUUCAUCAGAAAAUAUAAAUACAACACCUCUAUUAUUUGUUUCUAGAAGUAAGUAGCGUAGUCAGAUGCAAAAAUAGCAUAUAUUAACGUAGAUUGUUUUCAGAGGUUGGAUGAUGUUGUAUGAUGUUUUAAUGAAUGAAGUUUUUCAAAAAAAAUAAUUUGCUUUUCUUUAACUUUGUUGUUAUAUGGUGUUUAAAUGAAUUAUUUACAUAAAUGUAAUAUUAGAAGGUAAUAUGGAUUUCAAAUAGUAUUUAAAAAAAAAGAUAAAUUUUAAUAAGAAUAGAUCUAGAGUGGGAUAGAUAUAUAAAAAGAAUUGGUAAAAAAAUUAGCGGCUCCCUUGACUGCCCAACAGGAAACUUAACACUUUCCAUUUGCUAAUAUGGUAUUAAAAAUUUCAUUUAUAAAAUGGAGAAUUGGGAAAGUUUCAGUUACAGUAUUUUAUGUGUUUGUUUUUACAUUUUUAAGUAUACUUAGCCCUUGGCCCUGUUUUAUCAAAAACUCAUUUUUAAUUGCAUAUUCUUCAAUAAAAUAAUUCCAUACGUAAAUCAAUUUUUUUUUUAGCCGCACAUUCUCCAGAUAACGCUAUUUCCACCAAAAUGGGGGCUCAAAUAAGUGCUUAUUUGAUUCUUUUUAUUUUUAAAAUAUAUAUUUCUCUCUCUUCUCUUCAACAACAUAUUUUUGAAUAAAAUAAUAUUACACAGAAAUCCAAAAUUUUUCCUUAUUUUUUAAUUACACAUUCUCCAUCAAUCUACUGUUCUAAAAUAUAUUCUUUAGAAAUAAUGGAGCUCAAACAGUAGGACAGAUUUUUUUUAGUAUUUAAUGAAAUGUUUUAUUUUUAAUGGUACAUAUAUGGUUUUUCCCCAUUUAUCUUGUCUAUUAAACCAAGUUUACCAUCACUAACAACAGCGGUCCUUUUCUCAAUGGCCAAAUAUCCACCUUCAAUUAGACUCAUUAGGCCAACCAUCCCCAAGAAAUUGCUCCAUAAUCUGUUGCUAAGAACUCGGCACAGCAUGAUUAGGCCCAAUUAAAUCAACAUUAAAAUGCCCAAGUAACUUAGGUUCACUUAGAGAAGUAACGUAUUUUUGUCAAAUAUUUUUUUUUGUUUAUUUACAUUUUUAUUAUUUUAAUUAUUAAUAGCAAUUCAACCCAAACUACUAUUAUCUUGUGAAAUUUGAGCUAAAUGGCUUCUGUAGAUGACCCGUUUAAAGAUGACCCACUUAUGUAAACAUUUUAUUAUGGCUUUAUUUUGUGAGUAUUAAAAUUAAAUUUUUAGUAAUUUUUAUAAAAGUUGAUAAAAUGUACAGUUGAAAAGUUGUGAGUCAUAUAAAAUAUGUGAUUAAAAUGAAUUGUUGACUUCCACUUAAAUUAAAAUCUGAAUUUUAAUUUCUAUCAAACAUUGGCUAUAUAAACUUUCCAUGCUAUUGUGCAAAUUUUCUUAUUUCACUCGAACACUUUUAAAAUGUAUUUUGAAGUGUAGCAUAAUCCCUUAUACUUUGAUUAUUAUUUGCAUAUCUAAAAGAUUUGAGAUUUUACCCUUUUAGAAAAAAUUAAUUUGUCCAAAGAUAGGUAACAUGUUUUCCUUCAUAAUUUGUAUUUUAUUUUUAUUUUUAGUAAAUAAAUACUUUUACUUUGUUGUGGUUAAUUUAGUUAAAAGCACUAUUCUAAAAGGCUAGGAGCCGCUAAUGUGCAAUGCACGGUCGAAAUGCCAAAUCAAGUGGCUUGGAGCUUCAUUUAGCUGUCAACAGCCAUCGUUGACCUCUAAGGUACGGUUAUGCUCAUCUAGGCGGCAUAAUUAUAUAUUUUAUUUAAAUUAUUAUUAUUAUUUUUAUUUUUUUCCCAGUUCUUCUAAAUUAAAACUUAAAUGUUGAUUCUUCACUUCGUUGGUUCUAAAUCUAAAAUAGUCGCUUGAAAUCUUGAACAAAAGAAAUCUCUCAAAAAUUCCUAUUUAUUCACUAUUUAAUAUUUACAAUUGAAACUUAUCUUUUUGUUGAAAACUUUGAAAAAAUGUAUAAAUUUAUUUUAAAUGUUUGGCAGGUAUUAAUUUUAAUUAUUAAAGGAUUUUCAAUUGAUUAAAAAUUAAAAUAAAAAGAUGUCUUUUUACGCUUAUGCCUUGCCUAAGCUUGCCGAGCCCAUAGUUUGGCCUCCACGUAUCGUCACGCAUUAUGUUUUUUAGAACAUUGGUUAAAAGAACAAAAAAGGAAUCAGAAAACAUUUCAAUUAGGAACUUUUUUUUAAAAAAAAAUUUUUUGGUAAAUUUUGUUUGUCGGCACAAUGUGCAUACAUUAUUGGCUCCAAGAAUAAUUGCUUAGGAAUACACCAGAGUUCUGUGGACAGCAAAGAAGAAAAAAAAAGAGAGAAGACAAAAAGUAAAAGCCAAAAAAAAGAAAAAGAAAAAGUAAUGUACCUUACUUUAGCACAGGGUAAUAAUAUAUUAUGCAUCUAUAAAGACAGCUUGCCAUUUAUUUAUGGUCAUAGCAUAUUUACGAGCGUCCUUCCACGAGAAAGAAGAUGACAAAAUUAAAGUCAAGUAAGAUGAUUUUAAUUUACUUUGCAUUAUUUGCUGAGUUUGUGGUUAGUUCUCAAGUUUCCUUUUCAUUUGGAACUCUAUUAUUAAAUUGUUAGUUCAACUAGCAUUCUCGAUAUUAUGCUUUGAAUGAGCUCGUGAAGUAACCAAAAACGUGUUACUUUUUGUGAUCCUUUUAAAAUGCUCGGCAAUUCAACUUUCGUGUGCAGUUUGAAAACACUAUUUAUCACCGAUGUCACGAAAUUUUUUUGAUUUAAGUUAUCGUAAGUACACAGUUCGUUAAUAAGUAGUGAAAUGGAUUUUGAGUCGAGUAUCUUACUCACAGAAAUUGUACUAAUUUAAAUUUAAAUUAUCUUCGGCUUAUUUGAAACAAUGAAACUUAUAAUUUUUCUAUACUCAAAAUGUAAUCACUUAAAUUAUGUAUCAAUGCAGAAUCUAAACUAAUUAAAAUCAAUGCAGAGUUAUAAUUAAAUUAAAUACUAUUCAAUUAUGAAGAUCAAUAUUUCUAAUUUUCUUAACAAUCUCUCUCGAGUAAAAUUAAACAUAUUCUUACAUGUGAUCUGACUAUAUUUCUAUGACAGAUGCAAAUAUACAAAAAUGCAUUAAGGAUUUGGGAUUUAUGAAUACUUAAUGAUCAUAUAGAGUAUAGCAAUAUAUUUCUAUUAUCCUAUCGAACUCUACAACAAUUGACAUUGUGUUUAACUUAUUUUCAAUCUUUCAAAAGUAAAACAAGUCACAAAACUCAUACAAUUAUUGUGCAUAUAAUUGUAGAAAAAAAUAAAUACAUGUCAAUAAUUCAAUAAUUGAGAACAUAUUUUGAAUGUCAAAAAUAAAUAAGGUUAAAAAAUCAAAGGUUUUUUAUAUAAGUUUGAUCAUGAUCAUAGCACAAAAAUCAUAUAAUUAUUCAUAAUAUCAGACUUAAACAAAUAAAAGUGAAACAAUAUCACCAAUAAAUUGAUGGAACGUAAUUAAUUUUCCAAAUUGAGAUUGUCGUGUUUUUCCUAAUAUUUGGCCGAAUUUCUCUUGUGCGUUUUUCUAUCUUCUGCCUCUCUCAGCACGUGUCCCUCUCAUUCUUUUUUUUUCUUUUCUAUUUUUUCAUUUCCCAAUAUUUGGGCCUUUUAAUUCUGUUAAUUCCAAUUUUUUUUCUUUUUUCCCCCCAUUAGGAGUCCAUAUGCCAUUGCCAUUCUCUUCUCUCUCCAAUUCUGCCCUUAGCCUUAAAAUAAAAAAGGAAGUCCAAUUGUGAGUCUAGCCUGUUUAGGUUUUCCAAAUAUAAAUUCUUCCUAAAGUGUCGUUCAUGCGACCUCGAUGAACUAGCGCAAUCAGCAACUGAUGUGAUUGAAAGGGCCAAGGUCAGCGUGACUGCAACAGUAGUGAGAACCGGAGACUGCUCUGUGUAAAGAGCUGUAGCUGGCGAGCUCGACUGCACCAAAGGCAAGGUUGGGGAGGCAAGCUUUUAAAGGACAGCUCAGGGCGGUACCUCUUCAGAGGUUGGACAUCCUUCCCUGUCUUCUCUGAAGCUAAGCUCACCACCGAUGGAACCUCUCUCUUGUUCCCUUUAAAGCAGUUGCUACCUUAGUUGGCUUAUAUCCCAGCAUUUCUGGAUUAUGAGCUGAAAAACACAAAUAAAUACAACAUUUAUCAUUUUUAUAAAAAAUAACCAGCUCUCCCAUAAAAAGUAACUUAAUCCUUACUUGAACUAGCUGGGAUGGAAGUCAAUGUUCCAACUGUGGACGGACUUAGGACUCUUGUUUGGAUUAAACACACUCGAAAGAGGUUGGAAUUCGAGAUCACGUACUUACAGGAACUCUGUCUCUUCAGCAAGGCCCUUAUCUCCUCAGCUCAUCUCUGAGUGUCUUUUUUCAAAGUUGCCUUCUUGUAAUCUGCAAAACAAGGCAAAGUUUAAUAUUACUUCACCAGUUACUUUAACCAUAGCAUCAAAAUAUAGUUACUUACAUAAAGAAUGGUAGAGUGUGGGGACCAUCCUCCCUAUUCACUUCGACAGGGUGAAACUACCACUCCCCUGACACAUAAAAGAAUUUCUCCUUCCACUUCUCGAUGGAGGAGGGAGUGUCCAGCACUAAGGAAUCACCCAUCCUUAGCCUAACACUGGUAUGCCAACAGUCGAAGUUCUUCCCAUCCUUCUUGAAUGUGAAAAGGGAAUUAAACUGCUUUGCACUCAGCUCGGGAUUUCCUAACCUAUUACAUAAGAUUAAGGGGACGAUUAAAGUUCACCACCUGUUGGGGCAUAGCUAAGUGGAAGCUAUACCCCAAAAGGAUAGGAACUUACGAAUGACUCUAGAAAUGGGCAGUCUAAGCUCGGUAUGUAAAAUGGUAGAAUUUAGAGAACACAUCUCCCUGGGGAAGCGUUAGUGCGGUCAAAAGGUUUAGGGAUUAUCAUUAUUAUCAAGCUCGAAAUGUCAUACCUAGCUUGCCAGCUCGAUAACAAAUCACCCGUUACAACCGACUUAUAAGGGUUCGCCUCCCACUCCUCAGGGUUAUUCCUCUCACUACCCCCGUAGGAGCCGACCUCCUCUCCACUCGAACCAUCACGAUCUGAUUCCAUAAUCACAAAGCGCUCUAGAUCUACUGGGUUAACUAUUGAAAUAGGAAUAGGGGUUAAGAUUUCCUGGCAACUAGACGAAGAACUAGAAAUGGGAGGGACCGACUCUUCUUUCUGGUUUCUCCAAGAAUAUACCCUAGACUUGUCGGAGCUUAUGAAAAGGCUGAAGAGAAAAGAAAGGAAGAGAAGAAGCAAAGGAAUACCUAGGAAUUGUGCUGGUUUCCCAGAAGUGUACCUUAGACUCGUUGGAGCUCAUGAAAAGGCUGAAGAGAAGAAGCAAAGGAAUACUUAGGAAUUGAGAACAGACGACCUCACUCAAAAGAAAGAAAGACGCAAUAAAAAAUUUUCUUGCUACUUUGGAGAGAAUGAUUGCAUAGAGUAAAUGGUGAAAUGAAAGGUAGAAAAGGAUUUAAAAUGAAGGAAAACCAAAAGACUCCACCUUGACCAUUGGAUGAAGAAAAUGAGGGAAAAUGGACGGAUCCGAUUCACCCAGUCAAAACUACGUCGUUUUGACAAAACUUUCCAAAGAUUUCAUGAAAGGUGCGGUGCAGCUCAGCCCCAAUAGAAGCAUGACACCUAGUAUUGCAAUAAUGACACUUCUAGGAAAAGUACCAGCUGAGUCUAAAGGCCAGUCGUCUUCCAAAGUAAUAUUGACUUGUGGGGUAUCUGUUGACCACCGACCUACAAUCUCACAUUUAAUGUUCGCAAGACCCAUCUCAUACAUAAACCAGGUAGACUACAUAAGUUCAGCUCAGUCCACUAUCACCAUAAUCCCAAAAGACAUAAUAAUUGAAGAUUCUUUACUCUUCUCCUAUCACCCAAUCAAUCACACACACUUGCUAGAGAUGACAUCAGCACUGCCCAAACCUACCAAUUAACCACCUUGGCUCCCUUAUCCCUUGCAGGCCAUCAUCACCUAAAGAAAACAUUGACAUGAUGACAAACUGACCUCAUCAACCAAUCAAGGUAGAGUGCGGCGACGCAUUGUUCGAGCUCAGUACAAGUUGCUGAUUUGAUUGACAUGACAUAAUUUCGGCUAAGGGCCCCUAUAAAUAGUGGGAAAUGGUUCCCUUUUAAGGCAAGCUAAGCCUUCCACACCUACACAUUGUACAAUUUUACCUUUCAUUAUCAAUACAAAGUGUCAUUUUUCUUAAAGUUGGCUCAAGAAUAGUCCAUAAAAUUUUUGACGUCAACAAAGUCCAAACCCAAUUAAAUUUGAGUUCCAAUCAAAGUGUAUGUCAAAAUUCAUUUUGAUAACAAUUUUCAAUUGGUUCUUGCUAUAUUAAAUUGUAAUUUGCACCAUUGUCCAACAUUAUUUUAGAAUGUGCAUUCUGACCCUCUAGUCCAAUUAAUUGCACAAUCAAUUCAUUUUUUAGUUCAAUUCAAGCCUUUCAAUUUCUAACAUGGAGGGCCCGUUUGAUUCCCCUUUUUCUAAGAAUGAGAAUGAAAAAUAUAGCAGUUACGGGACCCACACAAGAGAUAGAUAGUCAAAUAUAGUAGCUUGAUGUGAUGGAUAAUGGUAAUAUUUUUCAUUUUUAUGGCUAAAGAGUGGGACCAAAUGGGGGCGUAGAAUUAGUAUCCAAACUUCCGUUCAAUGGCCAAUUUAUCCUUUUUCUCUUUCCAAUUGCUUCAAAAUGAGCCUGUAACUAAACAUAGAAGUAAAUUAAUCCAAGUUAAGUAAAAUUCAAUAGUUUCAUGACAUAAAAACUUAGUAGUAUGGUCCGAAUAAGUGCACGAAAAGCACUUAUCAACCUUAUGAGGAACUAGCCCAUCUAAAAUCUUAUCAUGUUAUAAGAAACAUGAAAUUGCACUAUUGGUUCUCAAUUAGUAGAAAACGAGCAUGUUAGUUAUCAACCUCUUUAUAACAUUUGCACAAAAAGUUUUCAAAGAUGAAAAUCGUUCAAAUCUCUAUUAAAUUAUCAUGCAAUCUUGGGUAGCUAUCCAAAAAAUUUAACACUUGGAGUGUGUUUGAUUGACAUGGAAAAUAUCACCUAGAAAAGAAAAUAUUUUCCUUGUUUUAGGAAAAUAAAAACCACCUCCACCCAAGGAAAAUAUUUUUCAUGGAAAAAAAUAGGAAGCAAAUACCCCAAUUAUGAAUUUGGAUGGAAAACUGAAAUUUUCCAUGGAAAAUAAAUGUAAUCAAACACACCAUUAGACAUUCUUCCACAAGAAUAAUGUGGUGGCGCCAAACUUUCCUUUUAUUUAAUGAACUUUGUAUUCGACACAAUCUCCUCACAUACAGGUCGGUGUCAUUGUUUGCAGGUUCGGUAAAGUACAUUGAUUAUGAGCCCUUAUACAAGGCAAUUGAAGAAGGGAAGUGGCAUUCUAUAGUAGAUUUCAUUCGAUGAAAUCCAGAGACCAUUAGGGCAAGAGUUUGUUUUGGACACAAACACACAACUCUAUACAUUGCAACUUUGUUUUGGACAGACUGAAGUUACAGAAAAUCUUGAAAGCCUUGUCCCGUGCUGAGAUGUGUGGUGCGACGAAACUAGCCAAGAAAAUGAUAUAUAAGAACAAAAAUUUAGUUAAAAUAGCGAAGUAGAUUAUGAAAUGAGCAACUUCCUAUGAUUAUGGCUGCAUUGCAUGGAAAAAAGGACAUGGUUCGUUAUUUAUAUAGAGUGACGCCGAAAGAUGAGCUGAGUCCUGAAAAGAGUGAAAAUGGAGUCACACUGCCUUAUUAAUGCUGAAAUUUAUGGUAUGUGGACGUAUAAUUUGUGGAGUCUAAUCAUAUUGUGUAAAAUCUAUCAAUUACAAAUAAAUAUAAUGUUCACGCACAUGUAGAAUAAUUUGUAGGCAGUCAUUUUGUUUCACGUUAGUGAAGACUCAGUUCUCACACUGAGCGUGAAAAUCUCUGUUUGGAUACAAUUUAUAAUAUGGUUAAUAAAUUUGUUAAAGUCAAAUAUUAUUUUCGAACAAACAUUUAUAAUUACUAUUUAUUAUAAUCAAAAAAUUUAGUAGAUCCCGCUAGUAUUCCACUUUACAAAUUGAUUUAUAAAUUUGUCAAACGGAGGCUAUAUAUUUUCUGAUUUUAUUUUAGUAAAGUUGCAGUCGCAAUUGAGAUUAUGGCUCAAUCCCCAUGACAUGAUACCUAAUUCUGGCUGUUUGCUUACUGUAGAUAUUGCUUUUAUGCUAUUGAAAAGUAUCCAAAGUCGUGUGUUACCCCAGAUCAUGUUGACAAUUUGCCUCUCUGAAUAUUGGCUCAGAAACCUUCUGCAUUUCCCAGUGGGACUAAACUGGCAUUUUGGGAAAGACGGAUCUAUUAUAGUAAGUACAAAAAUGCUCUCCUAGUCAUUUCAUUCACAAACAAUGUACCAUGAGAACACAUCUAGAUAAAUUUUAGUUUCUUUUUCAUGCCGUCUCGUACAACAUUACCAACUUGCUAUAAAUGUACAUGUUGAACGUGAUCGUUUUGAAAAGUAAUCACUGUCUGUACUUUUUACACUAGGUGUAAGAGUACAUUCACCUUGGGACGGUCAUGACAUAGAGCAUGUAGAAAUGCAAACCUCUAGUAUUAUUGUUUGUGAAUCAAGCGAUGAAGAUAUAAUGGAAACGAUGGAACAUGGAUUUGGUAUAAAUUAAGCCAUGAUGACUCCUGGACCAUCCCUCUAUCAGCUCAGCCAGUCCAUCCUGGACCUAAGUCUCUUUUUAAAGACAUGUGGACCCAUGGGCCUUCAAAGUUGAGCCCAGCCAACUGUAGAGGUGGGCUGAUCAUGUCAUGGCCUGUGAUGGGACUGGCUGUGCUUUCAUGCGUUAGCUGGCUCUAAGCUUUGAUAACCCAGUUUAACACCUCUAAGUAAAUUCAUGUCGGGCAACUCUAGAGUUGGUGCACAAAUUCGGUUGGGAGAUAUUGCAAUUCCUUGUUAUGUAUAAUCUUCCUACAUAUAUAAUUUCCCACUACGCAUUUUAAUUAUAUAUAAUUUCUGUUUUGAUAAGGUCAGAGACGUUUAAUAUGGUGGAAUAAAUAGCAUUUGACACUAUUGAGGAAGAAAAAAAAAUCUUAUCAGUCAUUCUUAGCAGUAAUAUUGAAUAUGGUGUCCCAAAUGUGCUCUUAGUUCAGUUUUGUUUCUGUCAUUUAAAUGUUGGCGUGUCCAUGGUGUUUUUUUCCAUAUAAAUUCAACUGGGUGAAAUGUUUUCCUUUUAGCCCCAUGUCAUUGAUGAAUUAUAUUUCUCCAGUAUUGUAUUAGACCAUAUGUGCCUGUUCUGCUGGAAUAAAUCAAAUUUGAUCCUCACAUUUUCUAGAAUAAUUCCAUUAUUUGAGGAAUAAUCUUGAAUUUUUAGCAUGUAUAAAUAGAACCACAUGAUGCAAUAUUUUUUAACUCAAAAUAAGUAGUGAAUUUCAGUUUAUAUAUCUCUGUGUUAUCUUGCAUUCAAACUGACAUUAGAGCUUUGAAAAAAGAAAAAAAACUUAUAGAUAUUUAAUGGAAAAAAAAAUUAUGUACACCAAGCAUAACGUGUCCAAUAAUCUGGUUUCCCCUAUGCCUCAUUUCAAUGGAAAAAAUUUGAUAAUUACUUCAUUCAUCAACCAUAUAGACAUUUAUUCAUCCACAAAUAAAUCCAAUUAUUCAAAUUUAUGCAUAGAACAACCCUCGGAAACACUCAACUAUAAAAUCAUGCAAUAAAUCAAGAAUUAGAAUUUCAGAAAAUAAACAAUUCUAGACCUACACUCUGAUAUCUCUUUUUGGGGUUAGGGAACACCCAAAAAAAAAACACCUAUUUAUUGUAUUUCUAACUAAUCACCACAGAAGUGUCUACGACUAUUUCAAGCAAUAAAUUUGUUUAUCUUCUUGCUUGAUGUUGAUUGAUUCACAAACUUCCAAACUAGAUCCCAUCCAAUAAUUGUUCUUUCCUUGAUCUACAAGCUUCAUACCCACUUAGGUAAUGGAAAUUGUAUUUUAUUCAAAUUAUAAUGGAAACUUGAUAACCAAGUUAUAUUCAUAACAAAAUUCAUUUUAGGAGUUGGCCAAACCCAAAUUUUAACUUGUCAAGAUCGUGUGAAAUUUUAACCUUCAAUUAGACUCAUUGGGCCAACUAUCAACCAAUAAAAAGAGGGAAAAAUUCAUAUGUCACGUGUAUUAUUUACACCAUUUCAAAACCCAGGUUGAAAAUUCAAAAUUCAGGUAUGAAUUUAAUUAAUUUUAAUAUUUAUUAAAUAAAUAUAAUAAAGUCACAGUUUAACAAUUAUUGGUCACAAAUUUAUUUAUUGGCCACAUAUCAUCAAAUUAAUUGGUCACAAAAUUUUUCGAGGUCACAAAUCAAAAUUUUUUCAGGUCACAGAUUAUUUUUCAGUCACAGAUUAUCAAAUUUUAAGGUUACAAACCAAAUUUUAAGGUCAUGGACCAUCGCCAACAAAAAAAAAAAAAAUCGGCAAUCAACCCGAACCACCCCACCUUGAUCUCGAUCCACCACUACCUCUAUCAAAUCUCCAACCACCAACCACCACCUCGAUCAUUGCUAGAAACCACCAAGACCGUCACCACCAAUCACACAACACCCCCAACCCACAACCUCACCAACAUAACCACGUCUCCUAACACAACCACUAUCAGAAACUUCAAACAAUACACCAACGGUACCUCCCAACCUCAACAUCACCACCUAAAUCAUGACACCACCAACACCACUAUACUCACGAUGCCCCACAAACCAGAUUCGAAGCCACCAACCCACCACAUCACAUUUGAACCACUGCAAAUUGAUCAACACACCACUACACACCAGCAUGCCACCACCACCGUAUCCUCACCCACCAUCACCGCAACCAGCCACACCACUAUCUCACAGCAUCGAUUUAAGAUUGAAUGUCGCUGCAGCGACUAAGAUCUGAGCGUGAGCAUAGUUUGCUGCAGCAGCGCUCAUAUCCAAGCAUCGCCACAACAUAUCGUCAGGUAAAUAUGGUAGACUAACUGGAGAUUGAUGGAACCGACGACGGAUGAUACACAACGGGGAUGAAGAUGAAUCGAAAUGGGUGGAGAGAAAAUAAAUGGGUACAGGGAAAGAGGGCUGUGAGAGAGAGAGAGACGAGGAUAUGAAUUUGUUUAGGGUUUCUUUGGGUGGGGUGUGUAUAAAUAUAUAAUACCUGAUUUCUGAUUAAAAAAACUUUCAACCUAAUUUCUGUAUUGUCAUUUUUAAAUACCUAGAUUUUUGUAAUUUCCACAUAAAAAGAUCCAUAUUUUGCUGCUUAGCACUUGGGCCACCACUACUAGGUCCAAUUAAAGUAGGCCAAACUACUAUUAUCUUGUGAAAUUUAAGCUAAAUGGCUACUGUAUACUAUGGUAGACCGUGGGCCGUAUAAGCAUCUAACCCAUUUAAAGAUGACCCACUUAUGUAAUUUUCUCUAAAAAAAAUGUUUCCUAUCUAUGAAAAAAACAUUUUAUUUGAGUAAAUUACACAAACUCUCUAGGCUGCUCUGUUGUAUAAAUUUUCCUAUUUAACUAGAACACCUCACAAAAAAUAUUAAAAGGUGUAGCAUAAUCCAUUAUAGUUUGAAUAUUAUUUGUGUAUUUAAAAGAUGAGAGAUUUUACCCAUCAGAAAACAAUAUCCCGAAGUUAGGAUAAAUGUUUUCCUCCUAAAUUGGUAUUUUAUUUUUAUUUCAGUAAAUAAAUACUUUUACUUUGUCAUGGUGAAUUUAACCAAAAGGAAAAAAAUGGAAAAACUGAAAACAUUUCAAUUAGGAACAAAUUUUUUUCUUUUUCCUUUUUUUUUGGGUAAAUUUUGUUUGUCUGCACAAUGUGAGGCACAUUGUUGGCCCUCCAAGAAGUUGAGAAUAAUUUCUUUGGAAUACACCAGUUUUGUGGACAACAAAGAAGGUUAAAAAAAGGAAAGAAGACAAAAAGUAAAAGUAAAUAAGAAAAUAAAAAAAUGUACCUUACUUAAGCAUAGAGUAAUUCUAUAAUAUGCAUCUAUAAAGACUGAUUGCCCUUCUUGAUGAUCAUAGCAUACUUACAAGUGUUAUCCCAGUGAGAGAAGAUGACAAAAUUAAAGUCAAGUCAGAUGAUUUUAAUUUACUUUGCAUGAUUUGUUGUGUUUAUAGUCCCCCCCCCCNNNNNNNNNNNNNNNNNNNNNACCCCCCCCCCCCCCCUCAAGUUUCCUUUUCAUCUUGAGCUCUAUUAUUGAAUUGCUAGUUCAAUUAACAUUCUCGAUAUUGUGCUUUGAAUAAACUCGUGAAGUAAUCAAGAAUAUACUACUUUUUCUGGUCCCUUUACAAUGCCGGGCACUUCAACUUUCUCGAACAAUUUGAAAGCACUGUUUGUCACCCAACUUAUAGCACUGUUUCAUUUAGUCAUCAAUUCUUUUUUAAGUUUACCACUGAACUUUCAUUUUGAUUGACAAGUAGAUAGAAGGCAUAAUCUAGCGGGUCUAGGAAUUGUGCCAGAGAAGCUAACUGAGGAUAACUUUAAAAGAAGUUGAGAAUAAAUUCUUUUUGAAUAAACCAGUUCUGUGGACAACAAUGUGAAACACAGUGUUGGCCUUCCAAGAAGUUGAGAAUAAUUUCUUUUGGAAUACACCAGCUCUGUGGACAGCAAAGAAGAAUAAUACACCAGUUCUGUGGACAACAUUGAGUGAAGUACAUUGUUCGCCCCCAAAAAGUUAAGAAUAAUUACUUCGGAAUACACCAGUUCCGUGGACAUCAAAGAAGAAUAAUACACUAGUUCUAUGGACAACAUUGAGUGAAGCACAUUGUUAGCCCUCCAAGAAGUUAAGAAUAAAUUCUUUGGAAUACACCUAUUCUAUGGACAGCAAAGAAGAAUAAUACACCAGUUUUGUGGACAACAAUGUGAAGCACAUUGUUGGCCCUCCAAGAAGUUAAGAAUAAUUUCCUUGGAAUACACCAAUUCUAUGGACAACAAAGAAUAAUAAUACUCCAGUUCUAUGGACAACAAUGUGAAACACAUUGUUGGCCCUCCAAGAAGUUGAGAGUAAUUUCUGUUGGAAUACACCAGUUCUGUGGACAGCAAAGAAGAGUAAAAAAAAGGAAAAAAGAUAAAAACUAAAAGUAAAUAAAUAAAAAAUGUACCUUACUUAAGCAUAGAGUAAUUCUAUAUUAUGCAUCUAUAAAGAUUGAUUGCCCUUCUUGAUGAUCAUGGCAUACUUACAAGUGUUAUCCCAGUGAGAGAAGAUGACAAAAUUAAAGUCAAUUAAGAUGAUUUUAAUUUACUUUGCAUGAUUUGGUGUGUUUAUAGUGUUUUUUCUCAAUUUUCCGUUUCAUCUCGAGCUCUAUUAUUGAAUUUCUAGUUCAUUUAACAUUCUCAAUAUUGUGGUUUGAAUAAAACUCGCGAAGUAAUCAAGAAUAUAUUACUUUUUGUGGUCCAUUUACAAUGUCGGGCACUUCAACUUUCUCGAACAAUUUGAAAGCACUGCUUGUCACCCAACUUACAUCACUGUUUCAUUUAGUCAUCAAUUUUUUUUAAGUUUAUCACUGAACUUUCAUUUUGAUUGGCGAAUGGAUAGAAGGCAAUCUAGCGAGUCUGGGAAUUGUGUCGGAGAAGCUAACUGAGGAUAACUUUAUAAGAAGUUGAGAAUAAUUUCUUUUGGAAUACACCAGUUCUGUGGACAACAAUGUGAAGCACAUUGUUGGACCUUCAAGAAGUUGAGAAUAAUUUCUUUUGGAAUACAAUAGUUCUGUGGAUAGCAAAGAAGAAUAGUACACCAGUUCAGUGGACAACAUUGAGUGAAGCACAUUAUUGGCCCUCCAAAAAGUUAAGAAUAAUUUCUUUAGAAGCACAUUGUUGGCCCUCCAAGAAGUUAAGAUUAAUUUCUUUGAAAUAUAACAGUUUGGUGGACAGUAAAGAUGAAUAAUAUACUAGUUCUGUGGACAACAAUGUGAAGCACAUUGUUGGCCUCCCAAAAAGUUGAGAGUAAUUUCUUUUGCAAUACACCUGGACAACAAAGAAGAAUAAAGAAAAGGAAAGAAGACAAAAAGUAAAAGUAAAUAAAUAAAAAAUGUACCUUAAGCAUAGAGUGAAUUACGUCUAUAAAGAUUGAUUGCCCUUCUUGAUGAUCAUAUCAUACUUCCAAGUGUUAUCCUAGUGAGAGAAGAUGCCAAAAUUAAAGUCAAGUCAGAUUAUUUUAAUUUACUUUGCAUGAUUUGUUGUGUUUAGAGUUUUUUUCCCCUCAAGUUUCCUUUUCGUCUUGAGCUCUAUUAUUGAAUUGCUAGUUCAAUUAACAUUCUCGAUAUUGUGCUUUGAAUAAACUCGUGAAGUAAUCAAGAAUAUAUUACUUUUUGUGGUCCCUUUACAAUGUCGGGCACUUCAAAUUUCUCCAACAAUUUGAAAGCACUGUUUGUCACCUAACUUACAGCACUGUUUCAUUUAGUCAUCAAUUCUUUUUUAAGUUUGUCACUGAACUUUCAUUUUGAUUGACGAACAGAUAGAAGGCAUAAUCUAGUGGACUCGAAAAUUGUGCUGGAGAAGCUAACUGAGGAUAACUUUAUAAGAAGUUUAGAAUAAAUUCUUUUUCAAAUAAACUAGUUCUGUAGACAACAAUGUGAAGCACAGUGUUGGCCUUCCAAGAAGUUGAGAAUAAUUUCUUUUGGAAUACACCAUUUCUGUGGACAACAUUGACUGAAGCACAUUGUUCGCCCCCAAAAAUUUAAGAAUAAUUACUUUGGAAUACACCAGUUCUAUUGACAACAAAGAAGAAUAAUACACUAGUUCUAUGGACAACAUUGAGUGAAGCACAUUGUUAGCCCUCCAAGAAGUUAAGAAUAAAUUCUUUGGAAUACACUAGUUCUGUGAACAGUAAAGAAGAAUAAUACACCAGUUCUGUGGACAACAAUGUGAAGCACAUUGUUGGCCCUCCAAGAAGUUAAGAAUAAUUUCCUUGGAAUACACCAAUUCUAUGGACAGCAAAGAAGAAUAAUACUCCAGUUCUGUGGACAACAAUGUGAAGCACAUUGUUGGCCCUCCAAAAAGUUGAGAGUAAUUUCUGUUGGAAUACACCAGUUCUGCGGACAGCAACGAAGAGUAAAAAAAAGGAAAAAAGAUAAAAACUAAAAGUAAAUAAAUAAAAAAUGUACCUUACUUAAGCAUAGAGUAAUUCUAUAUUAUGCAUCUAUAAAGAUUGAUUGCUCUUCUUGAUGGUCAUAGCAUACUUACAAGUGUUAUCCCAAUGAGAGAAGAUGACAAAAUUAAAGUCAAGUAAGAUGAUUUUAAUUUACUUUGCAUGAUUUGGUGUGUUUAUAGUGUUUUUUUUCUCAAUUUUCCUUUUCAUCUCGAGCCCUAUUAUUGAAUUUCUAGUUCAUUUAACAUUCUCGAUAUUGUGAUUUGAAUAAAACUCAUGAAGUAAUCAAGAAUAUAUUACCUUUUGUGGUCCAUUUACAAUGCCGGGCACUUCAACUUUCUCAAAUAAUUUGAAAGCACUGCUUGUCAUCCAACUUACAUCACUGUUUCAUUUAGUCAUCAAUUCUUUUUUAAGUUUAUCACUGAACUUUCAUUUUGAUUGGCGAACAGAUAGAAGGAAAAAUCUAGCGGGUCUGGGAAUUGUGUCAGAGAAGCUAACUGAGGAUAACUUUAUAAGCUGGAAAAAUUGCUUGACAAAUUAUUUAGUUGGGAAUGGGCUUUGGGGUGCUGUCUCUGCUCAGGAGAUUGAACCAGAUAAGACAAAUAAACAAGAGCAUGAAAAAUGGAAGAAAAAGAAUGCUUUGGCUUUGCAUGCAAUUCAACUUUCAUGUGGACAAGCAAUAUAUUCGAAGUUUAAAAAUGCCGACAUUAAUGCUAACUACGUAUGGACUCAGUUGGCAGAACAAGGAGAUCAUGACAAAGAAAGUCGAGUCGAAGAUAAUGGUAAUUUCUCAAUCUUUGUGAUGAACUAGGCCGUCUAAAAUUUUAUUGUGUUAUAAGAAAUGUGAAAUUGCACUAUAGGUUCUCAAUCAUUAAAAAAUGAGCAAAGAACAAUGUGGUGGUGCCAAUCUUCUCUCUUAUUUAGUGAAAUCUGCAUUUGACACAACUCCGUCACAUUUAGGCCGACUUCAUUGUUUGCAGGGUUGAGCGAGUACCUUGAAUAUGGGCCCUUAUACGAGGCAAUUGAAAAAGGUAAUUGGCAUGAUAUAGAAGGUUUCUUUCAGGAAAAGACACUACCAUUUACUGAAAGUGUUUCAUCACACAAAGAGACAGCUCUACACAUGGCAACUUUAUCUGGACAAACUGAAAUUGUGAAAAAACUUGUAAAAUUGAUGGGCCCAAAAGAGUUAGAACUGAAAAAUGAACAUGGAGCUACAACCUUAUCUUUUGCUGCAAUAUGUGGUGCGACAGAACUGGCUAAGGAAAUGGUAAGCAAGAACGAAGAAUUAGUUACAAUAGAAACUGCAGGCCAAGAAUAUGGACAACUUCCUGUGAUGGUGGCUGCAUUGUAUAGACAGAAGGGCAUGGUUCAUUAUUUAUACAAUAAGAUGGCAAAAGAUGUGCUGAGUCCUGAAAAGGGUGCAAAUGGAGUCACACUACUUAAUUACCUUAUUAGUGCUGAUAUUUAUGGUAAGUGAAUGCAUAAUGUGGAGUCUAAUCAUGCUCUAUGAGGAUAAAGCCCCUUGGGAUAUUGCCAUGGAAUUGUGCCACGGGUAAGAUGGCAUAUUAAGAUUGGUAAUGUUAAAAUAGUUUUUUGUCUAAUUGCUAAUCAGAGUUUGCUUAGUGUGAAUUUAAAAUUCCAUGGCAAUGUAGCAUGAUCGGCUCUCUAUUAAUUUCGUCAAUUGUAGAUAAACGUAAUAGUAAUGCGUAUACAUCGGAUUUUCAAUUUUGUUGGUGGUAAUUUUGUUUCACAACGUGCUUCUCCAAUUGAGCAUGAAACACUGAAAAUUUCUGUUUGGAUAUAACUUAUAAUAUGCUUAAUAAACCUAGUUAAAGUUAAGCAUUAAUUUGAAUCACACAUUCGUAAUUCCUAUUCAUUACUUUCAAAAAUUUAGUGGGUCCCAGUACUAUUCCUCUUUAUAAAUUGAUUUAUAACUUUGUCAAAUGGAGGCUAUAUGUUUUUUUAUUUUGUUUUAGUAAAAGUUGCCAUCGUAAUUGAGAUUUGGGCUUAAUUCUCUAGAGAUGUAUACCUAAUUCUGGCUAUUUUGUUACUGUAGAUGUUGCUUUGUUGCUAUUGGAAAAGUAUCCACAGCUGGGUGUUAUCCCAGAUGUUAAUGACAAUUACGCUCUCAAAUUAUUGGCUCAAAGGCCUUCAGCAUUUCCUAGUGGGACUGAACUUUCAUUUUGGAAAAAAUUGAUCUAUUACUGUAAGUAUGUAAUUGGUCACUUGUUAAUUUCAUUCACAAACAAUGUACCAUAAGGGUACAUUUAGAUAAAGUUUAGGGGCUGUUUGAUAGCCCUUUUUUUUUUUUUAGGGAAAAUAGAAAACUACUUCUAACUUCCACUUUUGACUUGUUUGAUUGACAAAAUUUUUCAAGGAAUUCAUUUUCCACCUUUGGCCACCACGUUAGCAUUUUCCAUCUUUUUCUUGAAUUCGAAUUCUCACCACAUUGGUGAGAAUUCGUUUUCUGGGUUACUGUAGCAAUUUUUUAAUUUUCAUUUAUUUAUUUAUUUAUUAUUAUUAUUAUUAUUAUUAUUAUUAUUAUUAUUAUUAUUAUUAUUAUUAUUUUCGUUUACAAUGGAAACAAAUUUUAAGAAUUAUUGUAAAAAAAUUUAUCCCUUUAUUUGACAAUUUUCAUGUAAAACAAAGACAAACGAACACCAAAAAAAUAGAUGAUUUUCCCAUUAUUUAUUUAUUUUUUGGCAAUGGAAACAAAUUUUAUCCCCAAUACCAGUAAAUUCUAUCCAUUUAAUUGACAAUUUUCAUGUAAAACAAAGUAAGACAAACAUCAAAAAACACUUUUAUUUUAACAUUUUUCAUGUGGAAAAUUAUAUCAAUCUGACACAAUAAUUUACAAUUCACAGGAAAACAAUUUCUAGACAAUUUAAUUCCCUGAAAUUUAUUUUCUUUCCACCCAAAUUCCAUCUUUGCAAUCGAACAGAUCCUUAGUUUCUUAUUCGUACUGUCUACUACAAUAUACAAAUGUGCCAUAAACUCACUUGUUGAAUAUGAUCGUUUUGAAAAGUAUUCCUUGUCUGAACUUUUUACACAAGGUGUAAGAGUACAUGAAGAGCAUGUAGAAAUGCAAACAUCAAGUACUAGUCAUGAUUACAACAUUCAAAUUCCUGAAUCAAACGACGAAGAUUUGGCAGGAAUGAUGGCACAUGGUGGCCUAACUUUAACUACUCGAGGUACAUCAGAUUAUGUCACACUCCCCCUUUUUUCAGGUUUUCUUCACACAUCCUAAAUUUAGUUUAGAGGUAUAAAUUAGGCGAGUAUGACUCCUGAACCUUCACUAGCUUGGAUCAGCCAGUGCAUCCCAUGCCUAAGCCUUUUUAAAUUUAUUUUGAACAUGUGGACCUAUGUGUUAACGGUAGAUUUGGGCUGACUGCACCAUGUCCUAGUCCGACUGUGCUUUCAUAUGUUAAGUGGCCCUAGGCUUUGAUAACACACUACAUUUUGACACCUCUAAAUAAAUUCUUGUUGUGCAGCUCUAGAGUUGGUGCGCAAAUUGGGUUGGGUGAUAUUGUGGUCCAUUGGUAUGUAUUAUCUUCCUAUAUAUAUAGUUUCUACUACACAUGUGUAUGUGUACUGAAAAUCAAUUACACAUGAAACGUUAUUUAAUAUUAUUUUUAUUAAUUUUCAGUUCCAGGGAUCCGUUACAUAUACCGAAGGAAGUCAAUCCAUGUCCAAGUUAGGAAAUUCCUCAGGAUCGUGCUUAAAAAAAUGUUACAAUUGAGCAAACCGGAGCUCGAAAAAAUGGACUUGGAUAAAAUAAUAAAUGAUGCCAUAAAGAAUGGAAUUUUUGAAUUGAUAGAUGAAAUGAUUAAAUGUGCACCAGAAAUUAUAUGGAGAAAAGAUAAAAAAGGGAGAACAAUUUUUUCGAAUGCAAUUAUAUCGCGUCAAGAGAAGAUUUUUGGCCUCAUAUUUACUUUAGAAAAAGAGAAGUGUUUAAUGGGAAUGAGGUAUGAUAUUUUUGGCAACAAUUAUUUACAUCUUGCUGCAAAAUUGUCUCCUCCUUCUCGACUUGAUAUUGUAACUGGAGCAGCACUACAAAUGCAAAGGGAACUGCAAUGGUUUGAGGUAACGUAUUUUGCUCGGUUACGUGAGUGAGUGUGUGUGUGUGAAUGCAUGUGUAUGUAUGCUGUCAUGAUUGUUAUUCGAGCCAUUUCUUCUGCAAACUUAAGCUGAUGAAAGAUAUCAUAAAUUUAUUUAUUUGAAUUUUAUAUUAAAUGUGUUCCCUCUCUAUAACACCUGCACAGUUCUCAUAAAUAGGUGACAAUUAUCAAAGACAUAAUUCACAUAAAUAAAUUUGUCUUUUUUCUGAAAGUUUAAACUUUAGACGAGAUGAUUCAAUAUGAUAUUAUUGUGAAAAUAAUUAAAGACAUAAUUCAAGUCUUGUGACCAUCUAUUUAUGAAAAAUUGUGCACUUGAUUUCGUCCCUAAAAUUCAUAAUAUUUUGUUUACUCUAAUGCUGCACAUUCAUCUAACUUAUCUGAAAUUGAAUCUUCAUUCUAUGUUAUUUCUUCCAAUAUGCAGGAAGUUGGGAGCAUGGUACAACCCAAACUCAAAGAGGAACUAAACAACCACAACAAAACACCGAAAAUUUUAUUCACUGAAGAGCACGAGAAGUUAGCCAAAAAAGCCGAGGACUGGAUGAAAAAUACAGCAGGGUCAAGCAUGAUAGUGGCAACUCUAAUUGCUGCUGUAAUGUUCACAACAGCUUUCACAGUACCAGGUGGUAAUAAAAAUGAGACAGGAAUGCCAACAAUGCUGGAAACUCAAAGGAUUCCAUUCUUGAUUUUCAUGAUUUCGAAUGCUCUGUCGAUGUUCAGUUCAAGUACAUCACUGUUGAUUUUCUUGGGAAUUCUUACAGCGUGUUAUGCAGAAGAUGAUUUUCUCAAGUCCUUACCGACAAAAUUAAUAUCAGGACCGACGAGUUUGUUCCUUUCGAUUGUUACCAUGAUGGCAUCCUUUGGUUCUGCAUUGUAUUUGAUUCUUCAUGAGAAUUUGUCUUGGGUCACCGUUCCUAUCAUCGUCCUUACAACGAUUCCAAUAGUUCUUUUCUCCAUCUUGCAGUUUCCUCUCUUGAUUGAGAUGACCCAACGUACUUAUGGAGCCGGGAUAUUUGAUGAAUAUACGAAGAAAUCCCGUUUUGCUAAGUUCAGAGCAUGUUUGAUAAGGAGGAAUCCAUUGAGGAAGAAAAGACAUUAAAAAUUUUAUAGGUCUUACUAUAGAGUACUAUUGAAUAAGGUGUCCCAAAUGUGCUGUUAGCUCAUUUUGGUUUCUGUCAUUUUGAGUAAUGAUGUAUCCAUAGUGUUUUUUCUUCUGAAUAAUUUGUCAUUUUGGUUUCUGUCAUUAUUGGAUCUAAUUAAGUGUCUCGUAGAAUUCCGUUGUUUGAAGAGUCAUCUUGAAUUCUUAGUAUGUACAAAUAGAAGCACAUGUAGCAAUAUUUUGUAAUGCAAAUACGAAGUGAACUUUAGAUUAUAUAUCUCCAAAUUAUCUUGCCUUCAAACUGGUAUUAAAGCCUUGAAAAAGAAAAAAAAUAACGUCCAUCAAUCUUGUUUCUCUUGUGCCUCAUUUUAAUGGAGAAAAAAUUGAUUAAUAUUUCAUUCAUCAACCAUCCAUAAAUUUAUUUAUCCAUAAAUAAAUCCAAUCAUUCAAAUAAAUGCAUAAAACAACCCUAGGAAUCGCUCAACUAUAAAAUCAUGCAAUAAAUCAAGAAUUAGAAUUACAACACACGAUUCUAGACCUAUACUCUAUUACCACUUUUUGAAAACUGGUCCGUUAGGAUUAGAAAAAAAAUAAUUCAAAAUAAGUUUAAUAGACCAGAUCUUUACUAGAUUACUAUGUGUUGCAUUUCUAAUUAAUUGCCACAUUAGUGUUUGGAUGAUACACCUAUUCUGAGCAAUUAAUUUCUUUAUCUUCUGUAUUGAGGUUGAUUGAUUUGCAAGCUUUAAAAUUAGAUCCCAUCGAAUACUUACUCCUUCCUUGAUCUACAAACUUCUAACACUGAGAUCUUAUCUCUGCUCUUCUCCACAACCUGGUUGCACCUGAUUUAUGGGACCAAUUAUCGAAUUCCUAAUCCUCAAGAACUCACAAGAAAAUAUUAUGAUAUCAAGAACUCUCUCAAGUAAUGGAAUUCGUAUUGAAUAUGUACGUUCUUUCACGGUCCAUUAGAUUUAUUUAUGUAGAACUAAAUAGCCUUGUUCAUUUAUCCAACACGAUUAGGAUUCAAAUUAUAAAGGAACCACGUUAUAUAAACAAUAAAAUUCCUUUUAGGACUUGUACAAUCCCGAAUUUUGACUCAUCAAGAUCGUGUUCUCUUUUGAUCAAUGCCUGACUUUAGUAAAGUUUGACCUAUUCAACUAUGCAAUCUGUCAAUUCAAUUUUUACUAUAAUUAAAUCAAAAUUUUUAUCUGAAGCUAUCAAAGGCACCUAAUUGGACCUAUAUAAUUCAAGCUUCAGAUUGUUUGGGCCCAUUAACUCGGAAGAAAGAUCAGAAAAUAGAGAAAAAUUGCGAAAUUCCAAGUUCUUGCAGUUCCCUCUCUUGAUUGAGAUGACAUAUCGGACUUAUGGAUUCGGGAUAUUCAAUAAACCUAAGAAGAAAUCCUAUUUUGCUAAGUUCCGAGCAUGUUUGGCUUGGUGGAAUAAAUAGUGUUUGCCACUAUCGAGGAAGAAAAUAAAUUAAAGUCUUAUCGAUCAUACUAUAUAGUACUAUUGAAUAUGGUGUCCCAAAUGUGCUCUUAGUUUAUUUUGGUUUCCGUUGUCGUAAUUGUUGAUGUAUCCAUGGUGUUAUUUCAUAUGAAUUCCACUAGCUGAAAUAUUUUCCUUUUAUCCACAUGCCAAUGAUGAACUCUAUUUCACCAUUGUUGUGGCAUUAAAUUAGACUAUUUGUGCCUAUUCUGUUUGAAUAAACUAGUUUGAACCUCACAUAUUCAAUAAUGAUUCAUGUAUUGGAUCUAGUCAGUGUCUCAUAGAAUUCUAUAGUUUGAGGAGUCAUCUUGAAUUCUUAGUAUGUAUAAAUAGACCCCUAUGUUGCAGUGUUUUUUAAGGCAAAAUAAGAAGUGAAUUUUAGAUUAUAUAUCUCCAAAUUAUAUUGCCUUCAAACUGGUAUUAGAGCCUUCAAAUAAUAAUAAUAAUAAUAAUAAUAAUAAUAAUAAUAAUAAUAAUAAUAAUAAUAAUAAUCUUGUAUUCCUUGUGCUUCAUUUUAAUGGAAAAUUUUGAUUAUUAUUUCAUUCAUCAACCAUACAUACAUUCAUCCAUCCAUGAAUAAAUCCAAUCAUUCAAAUACACACAUAGAACAACUCUAGGAAUCGCUCAACUAUAAAAUCAUGCAAUAAAUCAAUAAAUAGAAUUACAAUACAAGACAAUUUUAGACCUACACUUUAAUACCACUUUUUGAACUGGUCACUAGGUUUAGGAAAAACAAAGAAAAAAAUGAAAAUAAGUCUAAUGGACCAAAUCUUCACUAGAAUACUGUUGUUGCAUUUCUAAUUAAUUGCCACAGAAGUGUUUCGAAGUUAAACCUAUUCAAAGCAAUCAAUUUCUUUAUCUUCUUGCAUGAGUAUUGAUUUGCAAGCUUCCUUCUUAAUCCCAAAAGCUAGCUUAAGAGGUGAUGCUUUUUUUUACACUUAUAAACUAACCACCAGCUCUUUUCAAUUAAAAACAACAAAGAAUUUGUAAAACCAGCAAUGAUAUAUGAGAUGAAAUGGAAGGACCAACUUAAUUCUUUUGUGUAUUACAAUGGCUUUAUAUAGUAGAGCUUAGUAUACAAAAAUAUGGAAUACACUAAAGUUAUGGAAUUUACAAUUGUUAUGAUUGACAGAAUUGUGGAGAGGUCAAUGGGAUGCUGAGAUCACGUUGGAGGUGAUUGUGGAAUCCAUACUGAUAUGGAAUGAGUAGUCUUGCAUGGAGGAGAUCAAGGAGUAUUGUGAUUGCUGCGAUUGCUUGGUUUAACACCCCCCCUCCCCGUAAAGUGAUGGGGAUGAUCAUCACCAUCAGUUUGGACCGAAGUACACCAAAACGAGCGGUUGUUUUCCCCCUUUGUGAAGAUAUCAACAAUCUGAUCUUGGGUGGAAAUAUGUUACACCUGAAUGUCUUUAUUGAGGACCUUUUCUCGAAUGAAGUGGUAGUCAAUUUCCACAUGUUUCGUGCGGGCAUGGAAAAUGGGAUUAGAGGCCAAGGCGAUAGUGCCAAUGUUAUCACACCAUAGUGUAGGAGUGUAUGGUGGGAAGACACCAAGUUCCUUAAGGAGCAUUCUUAUCCAAUAGAGUUCGGCUGUGGCGAUGGCCAUGCUUCUAUAUUCGGCUUCAUUGUUACUCUUGGAGACAAUUGGUUGUUUCUUGGCAGACCAUGAUAUCAAAUUUUGACCCUAGAAAACUGCAUAUCCAGUAGUGCUGCGAUGAUCAUCAGGAUUACCGGCCCAAUCUGAGUCACAAAAAGCUUGAAGAAUAAUAGAUCCUUGAGUGAAUAGUAGAUCGGUAUCAAUACUACACUUUAGAUACCGAAGCACUCUUUUGACAACAGGCUAAUGAUGUUCAUGUGGGGAAUGCAUAAAUUGACAAAUUGAUUUACGACAUAUGCAAUAUCCGGUCUAGAGAAAGUACAAUAUUGAAGUGCCCUGCCCACUCUUCUAUACUCUGUUGGAUCAGACAAUAAAGAACCUUCUAUAGAAGAUAACAUCGGACUAGAUGUAGUAGGGACCCAAGGGGCUUUGCAUCAGUCAUCUUGGUGCUGUGUAGUAAAUUUAUUUUGUACUGGGCUCGAUGAAGAUAUAGGCCUUGAGAAUCUCUUGAUGCUUGAACACCUAAAACGAAACUCAAAUCUCCAAGAUCUUUAACCAUGAAGUUAGUUGAUAGAGAUUGAAUAAAAGUGUUAAUGGCAUGUGAGCUUGAUCUAGUAACUAUAAUGUCAUCAACAUAUAUCAACACAAAUAGUUUCGCAAUCUCAGUAGUAUAGACAAAAAGUGAGUAGUCAGCGGCUGAUUCAACAAAGCCAUACUCAAGUAGGUGUUGGGACAGUCAUCUAAACCAAGCUCUCGAAGCUUGUUUAAGGCCAUAAAGUGACUUAUGAAGCUUGCAAACAUAAUCAGGACGAGUCUCAUCGAAAAACCUCGUGGUUGUUCCAUAAAUAUCUCUUCAUCAAGAUAGCCAUGCAGAAAAGCAUUUGAAAUGUCUAAUUGUUGAAUAGGCCAAUUAAAUGAAACAGCCAAAGCUAACACAAUGCAAAUAGAAGUAGGUUUUACCAUAGGAGAAAAAGUGUCUGUGUAUUCGACACCACACUGUUGAUCAAAGCCUUUUGUGACCAAACGGGCUUUAAAUCGUUCAAUGCUUUCAUUAGACAAUCUCUUGAUUUUAUAGACCCAUUUGUUGCAUACAACAUGUUUAACGUGUGGGCGAGGAUAAAGUGACCAAGUCCCAUUCACCAUUAGUGCAUCAAAUUCCCAUCCCAUUGCUUCACGCCAUGCUGGAGAGGCAACUGCUUGUGUGUAAUUGGAUGGUUCAGUGUCAGUGAUAAUAGAGGAGAGUACCUGCAAGGGAUACUUGGUCGUAUAAAACAUUGUAAAAUCAGGAAAGGCCUUAGGUUUUGAGUUUCCAGUCAUUGAGUGGGUUGUUGCCCGAUUGGGGUAUGGGACAGGGAUAGGGAAUUCAUGUGAGGUAAUUUGUUCUAUAGGCUGGGUUUCAAGUUUUUCUGAAUUUGGAGUUUCAAGGUCUUGGGUUUCAAAUUGUAGUGGAGAAAUGGGAUUCGGGAAAAGGGCUUGUGACUGAGUGAGGGUCUCAUGGGUACGUGAUGCUAUUGGGUCGAUGGCAAGAGUUGAUGGAAUAGGAAUAUUUGAAAUUGAAAGAGGUGAAGGAGAAAGUAUACCAGGCAAGCUCGAGCUUGACGGCGUAGGAGAAGUUUGGACUUGACCAUUUGCAGGAAAAUGUUUUUCAUCAAAAAUUACAUUUCGUGACACAUAAACAUGUCCUGUAGCUAGGUCAAGAUAGUGGCAACCUCUUUGUUGACUAGCAUAUCCUAUGAAAACACAUACUUUGCUUCUAAAGGACAAUUUAUGAGGCUCAUAUGGUCUUAAUAAAAGGAAACAUGCUGAUCCAAAUAUGCGAAGGUGAGAGUAUCGGGGAACGGUUUUAUGGAGCAUGUAAAAAGGUGUUAAAUUAUUUAAAACUUUUGUUGGAAGUCUAUUUAUUAAAUAUACUGAUGUCAAGAAUGCAUCUGGCCAAUAUGUAUGGGAAAGGUGCGACCGAGCUAAUUGGGUGAGACCCGUUUCAACAAUGUGGCGAUGUUUUCUUUCGGCUAUACCAUUUUGUUGAGAUGUGUGAGGACACGUUAAGCGAUGAAAAAAAAUUUUCUUGCAAAUUUUUUUUAAAUUGGGUAGAGAGAUAUUCACCCCCGUUAUCUGUUUGAAAUUGUUGAAUUUUAUAAGAAAAUAUAUUUUCCAAAAGUGCUUUGAAUUGUUUGAAAAUUCUGAAAACCUCAUUUUUAUAAAUUAAUGGGUAGAGCCAAGUGUAGCGAGAAUAGUCAUCAACAAAAAUACCAUAAUAUUUGGAACCACCAACUAAAUACACAGGAGAUGUCCAUACAUCAAAAUGAAUAAGAGAUAAAGGACGUGAAGACUGACAACUAGCCUCACUAAAGGGUAAUUGUUUAGCUUUCCCUAGGGGACAUGCUGAACAGAACCCUAAUUUAUUAGAUGAAAUAGAAUUUACUUAGACUGAGACAAUUGAUUUAAAAUAACUUGGGACGGGUGACCUAAACAAUCAUGCCAGACGUCUAAUAUAGUAGAGACACCAACUUUAGCAGGAAAGCAUGAAAUUUUUGAUAAACAAGAUUUAGUGUCUACAAUUGGGUAGAGUCCAUUCUUAACUUGCCCGUGAAGUAGGAGCCGCCCCGUCUUGUUCUUCUUCACACAAAAAUCAGAUCCAGUCAAUACAAAAUAGCUAUUAUUAUCAAGGCAAAAGCGAUUAAUAGAAAUUAAAUUGGAAGUGGCAUUCGGACAAUGAACUUGGUUAAGCGAAAAAUUGGAAUUGUUUGUUUUAAGAGACAUAGUACCUGUAUUUUAAUCACUAGACCUAAUCCAUUGCCAACAGUAAUGGUGUCCUUUCCAAAGUAGGGUUGCGAUGAAGCGAGAUUUGUCGUAGUAUUAGUGAUAUGGGCAUUGGCUCCACUGUCGCGUACCACAUCUAUUGGGCAAAUGCAGAAUUGCCUUUGGCAGCUAUAGCAGCUAGUUCGGAAGGUGGGUGUCGGCCUUGAUAAGAAAAAUCAAACCGGUGAUAGCAAUCUAGGGCCAUAGGCCCCUUUUUCCACAUAUUUGACAUAUGGGCUUGUUUUCAAGUGUAGGGGGCUGAUUAGGCUCAGCAUUCAGAGAGCCCACAUGAGUUGGGUGAGUGGUAUAUGAAGGUAAAUGGGCCUGAGUGGAGAAACCUGGGGACUUGGUUGGUUUCUUAACAAAGGACGAUCCCUUGCUUUGAUUAGCAACAAAGGCAAAGGUCUCUGUUGAAGGAAUGGGUUGAUGAGCCUCCAUGAGAGUUUCAAAGCUGAGAUGUUUCGCUUGGAAAUCCUCCAGGGUGAAGUCCUUUUCAUGGGUGGCGGAAUUGAAGGCGGUGAUGAAUGGAGCAAAGAGGGGUUUGAGACCAGUCAAGAGGUAUGUGAUGAGGUCCUACUCAUCGAUGGGUUUGCCGACAGCUGACAAUUGAUCUAACAACAACCUUGUUUCUUCAAUGUACACCAAACAGGUGUAGUUGCCUUGGAAAAUUGUUUGAAUUUGGCGCUUAAGGUGGACAAUUCGAGAGCGAGAGGUAGAGGAGAAACGGGUUUGGAGGGAGUCCCAAAUUUACUUUGAGGUCUUCAGAUUUAGGACGGUGGAUACUAAUUUCUCAGAGAGUGACGCAUAGAGCCAAUAGAGAAUGGCUGUGUCUGAUUUGGACCAAGUGUCAUAAGCCGGGUUAGCGACAUUGUUAGGGAGUAUCUUGGGAGGAGUGGCGAUGGAGCCGUCCACCAUGCCAAGUUUAUCAUGGCUUUUUAAGAAAGCCAAAAACUGAAUUCUCCAGGUAAGGUAGUUGGGUCCUUCGAGUUUGGGAAAUUGUGGUAUAUUAGUGUUUGAAGUGGCCAUUAGAAAUUAGGAAUUAUGGUGCGGAAGCUAUUUUGGUAGGAUCGAAAUAGGUGUGAGCCUUGAUGCUCUGAUACCAAGUUAAAAGCAACAAAGAAUUUGUAAAACUAGUAGUGAGAUAUGAGAUGAAACGGAAGGACCAACUUAAUUCUUCUGUGUAUUACAAUGGCUUUAUAUAGUAGAGCUUAGUAUAUAAAAAUAUGGAAUACACUAAAGCUAUAGAAUAUACAAUUGUUAUGAUUGAUAGAAUUGUGGAGAGAUCAAUGGGAUGCUGAGAUGACGUUGGAGGUGAUUGUGGAAUCCGUAUUGAUAUGGAAGGAGUAGUCUUGCAUGGAGAAGAUUGAGGAAUAUUGUGAUUGUUGUGAUUGCUUGGUUUAACACUUUCACAAUCGAUGUGGGAUAAUCUCAAUAAUCUCUCCCUCAUACAUUGAGCCUUGUGGUAGACUAAACCCCUAUCCACCUCACACAUCCGGCCUGUGAGAGACCAAACACGUCUAUCUCUCACACAAACCCGCAUCUCUUAUGACUAUUGGACAUGAGACUUGUAGAAAAGCUGAGCUUUGAUACCAGUGUUGGGUGGUAUUAGGCAUUCUCAACCCCAAAAAUUAAUUCAAGAAGUGAGGCUUAAUUUCCUAUACACUUAUAAAUUGACCACCAACCCCUUCCAAAAUCGAUAUGGGACAACCUCGACAAGUUAUUGUUCCUUCCUUGAUCCACAAGGUUCUAACCCUUGGAAUCUUCUGCAAAACCUCAUUGCACUUGAUUUCUGGUCAUUUUUCACGUCUAGUUAUAUAUAUAUAUAUAUAUAUAUAUAUAGACACACACACACAAACAUAACUAAAUAGCCUUGUUCAUUGUUCCAACACGAUUGGGAUUCCAAUUAUAAAGAAAACUUGAUAACCAAGUUAUAUUCAUAAUAAAAUUCCUUUUAGGACUUGGUCAAAUUUUAAUUCGUAAAGCUCAUCGUUGCUUUUGAUCAAUGACUGACGUGAGUUAAAGUUUGACCCAAUCAACUAUGCGACCUGUUAAUUCCAUUAUUACCAUAAUUAACUCCAAGUUUUUAUUUGAAGCUAUCAAAGGCACCUAAUCAGACAUAUAGAAUUCAAGCUUCCAAUAGUUUGGUCCUAAUAACUCCAAUCCAUAUUGUCCGGUCCAAUUACGAAUCUACACUUAUUCCGCCUAAGGCCCACAAUUGCACUCUCGAAUUAUAUAGAUUUGCAUAAGCAAUAUUAUCUCAAGUCUCCAUAGUUAUAUCCUUUUGACUUGCUAUCAAUAUGUUCGACGGACAUUUAAGAAUUGGUGCAGGAUCAAAAUGAACUUUUUCUCUUUUAAUUACUAUUUCACUUAAGCUAUCAUUUUCUUCAACGGUUUCUUUGCGAGCACAUCGUGGGAUUAUUCGGGUAUCUGCAAAUGGUGUGUUCAGAUUAAACAACCCACAAGAAAAUACUUAAGUUGGUUCAUUAGCAUAUUUGAAUAGGGGCGGUAUCAAAAAGUAAUAUCUGUUCAUUUGUUUUCAGCUCCAAAUUUAUUGAGAUGUUUGACCAUAGAUCUUACUCAUUGGCACAUCAAAUAUAAAAGUUCACAAAUAGCAAACACUACCUCUGUUUCGAAUUCUGUUAAUCUAUAAAAUAGUUAUUUACAGUUCAAUUUUUUGCACGAUCAUUCAAAAGACUUAAAAUCUAUCAAGAUGUCCUAUCUAAUGUUAUGAAUCCUGAUAUCGUCUCGCCACGAUCAAGACAAAUCGUGAAUUCCAAGUAGCCGAUCCUAUGACCUUACUAGACCAAAGUAUUAAUCUUUGCUCCUCCGUCUAGGAUAAUUAAUUCCCAAUCAGAAUACAAAUUGUGCAUGGCUAUACUUUUUAACACAAGUACCCUAUUUCUAUAUCAUCCAUCAAUGGAAGACACUCAGUUAAAUGUUCAAUAAAUGCAUCAAUUUGUUUAAGACACAAACAAAUAAUAAAUAAAUAUUUAACAUUCAGAAUUUUCGACUAUUACCGUAAAAUUCUAAUAUAUUUUGGGUACCUAUCCCAACAAUAAAUAUUCCAAGAUGUGGAAUUCGAGUAACAUAUGGGUUUAUGAUUCGUGGUUUUAACAGCAUUGAUGUGAAUGGGUUGGCUUUUCGUUGCAGGGCUAUUAAGAGAGAGAAGAAAGCAUAAAAAAUUCAACUCAAAAUCAAAUUCUGGAGUUCAUUAUUCGUCGUAUUAUGUGAAAGGAUCCAGGAUUAAUUAGUCCGGCCGGUGCCUUUUCGGCAUACACCGUAUAUCUUAGAGAGAUCGCAUUUCUUCGGGUUGGUAGUGAUGGAAUGCUUGCAAGUUCUUUUUUUAAAGAGGGUUUUGACAAUACAUGGAACCGAAAAAAACUAAAAAUGGAAGGUCAACAAAAAGUUUUUAUUUAUUUUUUAUUUUAUUAUUAUUAUUUUUUUUUAAAGGAGGAAAACAAAGGGAUGGUGAACCUUGCCUUUAAAUUUGCAUAUUUAUGUACAAUACAUUACAUUAAAAGACCAGUUCGAGUACGUUAUUGUUGAUGUUCUUGGGAAUUCUGAUGUUACAUAGAAGAAGAUUUUCUCAAGUCCUUGCCAACGAAAUUAAUAUUAGGAUCGACGUGUCUGUUCCUUUCGAUUGUUCCCAUGAUGGAAUCCUUUGGAAUCCUUUGAAGAGGCAAAGGCGACGAUCAAAUAAAAGAAAAAUCAAUGUGGUGAAGAAGUCUAUAAAAGCAUGGUAUACACGACAAGACAAAGAGCCAUAUUGUAGAUAAUAGACUUAUAACUUUUUAAUCUAAUAUGUAAAGGUAAUAUGCUUCAAUAGUUUGGCAAUAUAUUGUAAAAAGGCUCAAGUAUCGGCUUUAUACGCAAAAAAUUAUUAUUUUACCAAAAUAAUUGCAAAAUAUUUUUCAAGAUAACGGAUUCGAUCUUAUACAAUAAAAUGAUAAUUAUCUUGAAAAAUCAUAUAUAAAUUUCUCUCAAAGUAUUAUCUUUAUCAAAAGAUCGGAGAAAUUAAUUUCUGCCGUAGCGGACGUCCAGUAGAAAAAUGGUAAAAAUGUUUAACCGUUCUGACUUCUGAAAUAACAACAGCUAGUGAAACGUCCGGUAGGACAUUUUGGGUACAUAUCCCUACGUAAAUAUUCCAAGAUGUUGAAUUCGAGUAACAUAUGGGUUUAUGAUUCGGGGUUUUAACAGCAUUGAUGUGCAUGGGUUGGCUUUCCAUUGCAGGACUAUUAAAAGAGAGAAGAAAGCAUAAAAAUUCAACUCAAAAUCAAAUUUUGGAGUUCAUUAUUCGUCAUAUUAUGUGAGAGGAUCCAGGAUUAAUUAGUCGGGUACCUUUUAGGCAUAAACCAUAUAUCUUUGAGAGAUCGCAUUUCUUUGGGUUGGUAGUAAUGGAAUGCUUACAAGUUCUUUUUUUUAAAGAGGACUUUGACAAUACACGGAACCCAAAAAACUAAAAAUGGAAGGUCAAAAAACAAUUAUUUAUUUAUUUAUUUAUAUUUUUUUUUAAUGAGAAAAACAAAGAGAUGGUGAACCUUGCCUUUAAAUUUGCAUAUUUAUGUACAAUACAUUACCUUAAAAGACCAAUUCGAGUACGUUGUUGUGUUGAUGUUCUAGGGAAUUCUUACUGCACAUUAUAUAGAAGAAGAUUUUCUCAAGUCCUUACCGACGAAAUUAAUAUUAGGAUUGAUGUGUUUGUUCCUUUCGACUGUUCCCAUUAUUAGAUCCUUUGGUUCUGCAUUGUAUUUGGUUCUUUAUAUUAAGUUGUCUUGGGUUACCGUUCCUAUCAUCGUCCUUACAAUUAUUCAAAUAGUUAUUUUCUCCAUCUUGUAGUUUCCUCUCUUGAUUGAGAUGACAAAUCGGUCUUGCGGCUUUGGGAUAUUCAAUAAACCUAAGAAGAAAGUCUGCCAUUGCUAUGUUCCGCUCACGUUUGAUAUGGUGGAAUAGAUAGUAUUUGACGCUAUUGCAGAAGAAAAAGAAAUUAAAAUCUUAUCAAUCAUACUAUAAAGUACAAUUGAAUAAAACAUCCUAUUGUGCUCUUCUUUCAUUUUGGUUUCUGUCAUUUUAAAUGUUUAAGAUAUAUUCCUCUUGUUUUUUCAUAGAGAGCUGCUGGACUACCAAACCCCUUUCUCAUAGGGGUCUUACAGACCCUCACACAAAAGCAGGUGGUGUCGGUAUUUUUGCAAUUUUUUAUUACAAGUGGGUCUGACCUACGGCCCACAUCAUUGUGAGGAGCCUGUACAAGGCUUGUGAGCAUCAGCCUGGUAGAGCAGCAUUCUUCUUUUUCAUAUGAAUUCCAUUGAUUAACUCUGUUUCUCCAUUGUUGUGGCAUUUAAUUAGACGAUAUGUGCCUAUUCACCCAAGGAAUAGAGGUUUUCUUUGUAAUUGUUUGUACUUUUCUUUUUUUGUUUUUGUUAUUGUUGGAUUUUGAUAUCCAAUGAAUUCGAGUGAUGAUAUUAAAAUGAUAUACCUUAGCAUUGGCUCGAUCAGAAAACAACCUGGGUCAUUCGAAGCAACUUACUUAAUUAAGAUUGCUCGUGGCCCAAGACUUUAGUUGGCCCAUGUGAGUGUUAGCCCAAUUGGUGGUGACAUCAGAGUGAGCCCAUUUAGCAUUUGGAUGGUUGGCCCAUUUUGUGGUGAUUGAGACUUUGGUUGUUAGCCCAUUUACAUGUUUGGAGGAUAACCUAAUUGAAGGCAUUAUAUCCAUCCUAUGCAGCCGGGUGUUUUGUAGGUUAAUUCGGCGUAGUGGAGAGAAAACAUGAGGCAGCCGUCUGGAGGGGGAAAUUGGAGUUCAACCAUUACUUCUUCUAUUUUCUUCCUCCUUUGUUGGUGCAAGUUGUUCACCAUGUGAGGGUGGGUGUGUGCAAUAGAGGCAAGAGAAAUAGGUAGCAGUUAUGGGAGAUUUUGUGUUCAACCAUUGCUACCCUUUUCUUCUCCAUCCCUUUGUGAUAUUGCUACAACCACCAUUGUAUCUCCACCUCUAACUAAGCCUAAGUUGUUUCGGACAUAGAACUUUGGAGAUGCCAAUAAAAUUGUAAUAAAAGUACCAAAUUGCUCGUUAGCUUAUAAAACGAGGAUAGUAGGUGCAAUUUUCCUCUUUUAAAAGUUCAUGUUGCAUGUGUCAUUAAAUUAGUUGAUAGCGUGAACGUUAGAUAGAGCUAAGAGAUAUCUUCUAAGAAAUGAGGCAAUAACACCAUUUCACCAUUUGUGGUUCAUGUUGACCUCGAAAUGAGAUUAAUAAUUAUUAAGCAAUUUUGUUGUCAAACGAUCUCCCCGGGCGAUGAUGUAACCUCGGUUGUUUAUUAUCAAUCGGCCUCAGCCAAAUGACUGAUUAGUACAUCGACACAAUUAUCGAGACAACACAAUCCACUUUAUUAUGGACCGUUCGAAGCAACCUAUUUUUAUAGUGUUGCUCACGGUUCUCGCUCCAUUCCUUGGAAGGCUAUAUUAUUAUUGUUGAAGCCCACUUAAUUGAGUCGAGUCUCGUUUGUUGGUCCACCACUUAACCCUAACCUAACUUACCUAUCUGGACAUUUUACUUGGCAUAUAAUCCCUCUCUUGUCUCGGCCUCCAUAGAGUGCAAUUUUCCCUUUCUCUUUGUGAGUCUCUCUCUCGGCCUCUCCUUUCUCCCUCACUGUGACCUUAGUGGUUAACCUUUUUUGGGCACAUUAUUGUGUUUCUCCUUCUCCAAUUGGUAGAAACCGGAAUGGGGACGACAAGUGGUGGUGUUGGAGUUGUCUCAACGGUGUUAGUAUUGAUGUUGUGGUAAACUGAGCCCGAUUUUGCACGUGGUGGCGGUGGAAAUCAACCCUACAUCUGGUAUCAGAGCAGUAACAGCUUUUCCCAGCCUGAAAAUCAGCAAAAAUCGGCGACAGUCGCGGGUUUGGACGAAAAAAUCGUGGCUGCAACCCUCAUUUCCGGCCAAUCCAGUCACUUUCCGGCGAAACCGAUCCCAUAUUCCGGACCAGCAGGCUGAGGUGCCCCUUCGUAGUGGUGGCGGCGGCACAUGGCGGCAAUUCCGGGCGAACUUCCUUCGGGCAGUUUGCUCAUUUUAAUCCCCUGAACGCACUGACACUGUUUAUUUUUUGUUUCAGGUUAUACAGAAAAAGUUGGACAAUUUUGCCCCCGGUGGAUCGACGGUUGAAUCUGCAUAUAUCUACUGAAUUACUUUAGGCCAAGAUUGCGGCCCUAAAGCAGUAGAUUCGCAUCUCUCUCGAUUAUACGGACUCGGACACGUCCGCUCUGGUAAAUUAGCUUAACCCGUUAAUUUUUCAACAUUAGCGCGUCACCAUGUGGGGUGACAAUAGGUUGGGGGUUGUCAUUGCUUGGCAAUCAUUGCUUGUGCUAGAAUUAGGGUUACGUGCUCUUAAUUGAUCUUUUUUGAUUGAGUAUUUGUUUUUGGUUUAAAAUCAGUCUUGUAAUUCUUAGUGAUCAAAUUAUUAUGGGACUAGUUAUCUGCUAGACGUAUUUUUUGCUGCAUUGUUAUUUUCACUGAUUACUUAUUCCGUUAGAAAUAUCGUGACUUUACCCUUUCGAACAUUCCCUUGAUCUAAGACCGCGAGUCUUACGAAACCCUGGGAAUCUAGAACGGUGUAUAUUGUCUGUGACCCCUAGGACUACUUUGUGUGGUUUGAUUGUGGUUUGUGCAUUUUUGACUAUUGUGUGAAGAUGACAACUCACAGUUUUGAUUUGGGAAUUUUUAACGGAAAGGGUGACUUUGCUAUUUGGCAACAAAAAAUGAAGGGUAUUUUAGUCCAACAAAAGGUUUCAAAAGUCAUUGAAGACAAUUUUUCAACUGAUUUUUCACAAGAACAAAGAGAAGAAGCCGAUGAGAUUGCUUAUACCUCAAUUAUCUUACACUUGUCUGACGCUGUUUUAAGAAAGGUGGGUAAAUUAAAAAAUACUAAAGAAUUUUGGAAGAAAUUAGAAGACUUGUAUUUGCUUAAGUCUACAUCUAAUAAACUUUACCUGCUUGAUUGUUUUUUCAGUUUCAAAAUGGAUCCCUCAAAGGAUCUUGAUGACAAUCUAGAUGUGUUUAACAAAUUGGUGCAAGACAUAGUUAAUUGUGAUGAGACUGUGUCCGAAACUUAUAAGGCUAUAAUUUUGCUCAAUGCAAUCCCUGAUUCCUAUAAGGAAGUUAAGAACGCCAUUAAGUAUGGUAGAGACACGUUAACACCUGAAAUUGUCAUAGAUUCCCUUAGAAGUAAAGAAAUGAAAAUUAGGGCUGAAAAACAUGAUAAGAGGAAUGGUGAGGUACAUAUGAUGCGAGGUAGAACUCAAUUUAGGCAAAAUAGUCAUGAGGGAUAUCAAACUAGUGGCGACUCAAGUGGUAAUGGAUGGAAAAAAGAAGAGCAAAGGUAGGUCUAGAUCAAAAUCUAGGACUAAGGCGAGAAAAUGCUAUGGUUGUGGAAACACAGGGCAUUUUAUAAAAAAUUGUCAUAAGGAGAAGGGUAAGCUAAAAGCUACGGAGAGAGAUGAGGUAAAUGUGUUAGCAUCUACUUCCGAUAUAAAUGGUGGUGAGGUCUAUAUGAUUACAAGUCCAGCUGCAUACACUGCUGAAUUAAAUCUAACUGCUAAUUCCCGCAUCCAUGAGUGGAUACUUGAUUCUAAUGCAUCUUUUCAUGUGACGUCUGAAAAGAACUGAUUUUAUAAGUUGCAUGAAUCUAACGUUGGGCAUGUUGUGCUGUGUGAUAACUUUGCCUCUACUAUUGCUGGAAUUGGGGACAUAAACGUAAAAUUUGACAUGGGUUUUGUGUAUACGUUAAAAGAUGUUAGAUAUAUUCUUGAAUUGUCUAGGAAUUUGGUUUCAGUAGGGAGACUUGAGAAUGAUGAUUUUACUGGUAAAAUUGGAAAUGGUAUGCUAAAAAUGAUCAAGGGUGCUUUAGUUUCCAUUAAGGGAAUUAAGAAAAACGAUAUAUACAUUACUACUAGGGAAGUGAUUAGAGAUGUGAAUUCCUCUAUCUCCUCUGCCAAGAUUGAUCACACACACGGCACAAUAGACUUGCUCACGUAGGAGUCAAGGGACUUAAGCUACUUGAUGAAAAUGGUGCUUUUGGUAAUGACUGUGUUAGAUUUGCCAUUUUGUGAUCAUUGUGUGCUUGGUAAGCAUUACAAAACUUCUUUCUCCACGAGUGUUAAUAGAGCUAAAGGCAUGCUCAAAUAUGUGCACUCUGAUCUUUGGGGUCCUGCCAGUAACCCCACAUCGGGUGGUAAUAGGUAUUUCCUGUCUAUUAUUGAUGACUACACUAGGAAGGUGUGGGUCUAUCUUUUGAAGGAUAAAUCUGAGACCUUCAAUAGUUUUAAUAAUUGGAAGAGACAAGUGGAAAACCAAACUGGCAAGAAAAUCAAAUUUUUAAGGACAGAUAAUGGCCUAGAAUUCUGCAAUAAAGAAUUUGAUAGUAUAUGUAAAGAAAACGGCAUAACUAGACAUAAGACCGUUCCCUACACCCCUCAGCAAAAUGGGGUAGCAGAAAGGAUGAAUAGAACCAUACUUGAUAAAGUACGUUGCAUGAUGAUCAGUUCGGGUAUUCCCAAGUCAUUUUAGGGUGAGGCUGUUAUGACAGCUUGCUAUUUGAUUAAUCUUAUACCUUCUGCUGCAUUGAAUGGUGACACUCCACAUGAGAGAUGGUCGGGUAAACUGAGUGAUUACUCAAUACUUAGAACUUUUGGCUGUGCAGCUUUUUCUCAUCAAACUAAGGGUAAGCUGGAACCUAGAGCUAGGAAGUGUGUUUUCUUAGGAUACCCCGAGGGUGUUAAGGGUUAUAGGUUAUGGAAUAGAAGCCAAAAAGGAGUUAAAAUUAUCAUAAGUAGAGAUGUCACAUUUAACGAAAAUGAGAUGCUGUGUAUUAAAGGAAAAACUGAACCUAAGAGUGAAGUAGAAUCAGGUGAAGAGAGAGACCAGUUUAAGGUGGAGUUAGGAAAACUCAGUCCACCUACCCCUAUUGUUUCAAAUGAGGUGGAGACUCAAACUCAGGAACCCGAAGUGGAGAAUAGUAACGAAAUAGUGACAGAAGAACACUAUGAGGAAGAAAAUCCUUUAGCUAACUAUAACUUAGUUAGGGAUAGAGAGAGGAGACAAACGAGAGAAUCUAGAAGGUUUGGUUUUGAAUCUGAAUUAGCUUUUGCCCAGGCUAGUUAUGAAGAACUAGCUGAUAAAGAGCCAAAGACUUUUGAAAAAGCAAUAGGCAGUGAUCAAUCUAAUGAAUGGCUUAAGGCAAUGAAAGAAGAGAUGAGUUCUCUAUAAAAGAAUCAUACUUGGAAGCUAGUACCUAGACCUAAGAAUAAAUCAAUUGUUGAUUGCAAAUGGGUUUUUAAGGUUAAGGAAGGAACUAGUAGCUUGAAACCCCUAAGGUUUAAAACUAGGUUAGUGGCUAAAGGCUAUACCCAGAAGGAGGGCGUUGAAUAUAAUGAAAUUUUCUCACCAGUUGUUAAGUUCACCACUAUUAGGGUCAUGCUCACAUUAGUUGCACAAUUUGACUGGAAACUUGAACAACUUGACAUAAAAACUGCUUUCUUACAUGGUGAGCUUGAUAAACAAAUUUUCAUGAAUCAACCUAAAGGUUUUAAGGAUAAGUCAAAACCUGAUUAUGUGUAUUUUCUGAGAAGAUCCUUGUAUGGGUUAAAACAAUCUCCUAGACAGUGGUACAAGAGGUUUGAUUCCUUUGUACUCACUAUAGGGUUUCAAAGAAGUAAAUUUGAUCACUGCCUGUAUCUUUAACACAAUGAGACUGAUGAUAAUUAUCUGUUUUUGUUGCUCUAUGUGGACGACAUGCUUUUGAUUGGAUCAUCCUCUAAGUGGAUAAAUAACAUAAAAACAAAAAUAAGUGGUGAAUUUGACAUGAAAGACCUAGGUAAGGCUAAGAGAAUCUUAGGUAUUGAAAUUGAAAGAGAUAGGUCAAAUUCUGUUUUGUUUUUGCAUUAGUCUCCAUACAUAUCCAAAGUAUUGAAGAAAUUCAAUAUGAGUGAAUACAAACCUGUUACGUUGCCCCUUGCUAAUCAUUUUGUUUUAUCUAAGAAACAAUCUCCUUGCAAUGAGCGUGAAGCUGAAUACACGAGUAAAGUGCCUUACUCAAAUGUGAUUGGUUCCAUAAUGUAUUUGAUGGUUUGCACUAGACCUGAUUUAGGUUUUGCUAUUAGUACUCUUAGUAGAUAUAUGGCUAAUCCGGGACUUGAACAUUGGGAAGCGCUAAAGUGGUUGUUAAAGUACUUGAAUGGUACUAGUAAUGUAGGCUUAAAGUUUAGAGCAAAUAAUGAAGGUACAAAAUUAAAGGGUUUUGUAGAUGCUGACUAUGCGGGAGAUAGGGAUGGUAGGAAAUCUACUUCAUCUUAUGUGUUUACCUUAUCUAAUUCAUGUGUAAGUUGGAAAUCACAGUUACAACAUAUUGUUGCACUAUCCACUACAGAAUCAGAAUAUAUUGCUACCACUAAAGCUAUUAAAGAAGCUCUAUGGCUUAGAGGUCUACUUCAUGAACUGUGUGUUCUAAAUGACUAUGUGGUAGUGUAUUCUAAUAGUCAGUCAUCUAUACAUUUAUGCAAAAACCCUGUGUUUCACGAGCACACUAAACACAUUGAUGUUAGACUCCACUAUAUUAGAGAUAUAGUAUCUCAAGAGGUGGUAAGACUUGAGAAAGUCCAUACCCACUACAACCCAUCUGAUAUGGGGACGAAGGUACUGCCACUAGUAAAGUUUAGGAGUUGCAAAGAACUUCUAAACAUUGGUACAGGUAAAUGAUUUCCAAUUUUAUUUUUUUUCUAUUAGAGGUGUCACUAAUGGGAGACAAUUUUCUUUGCAGGUCCUUUGACACCAAGGUGGAGGUUGUUAGGCAAUUUUGUUGUCAAACGACCUCCCCGGGCGAUGAUGUUACCUCGGUUGUUUAUUAUCAAUCAGCCUUGACCAAAUGAUUGAUUACUACAUCGACAUAAUUAUUGAGAGAACACAUUCCACUUUAUUAUGGAAUGUUCGAAGCAACCUAUUUUUAUAGUGUUGCUCACGGUUCUCGCUCCAUCCCUUGGAAGGUUAUAUUAUUAUUGUUGAAGCCCACUUAAUUGAGUCGAGCCUAGUUUGUUGGUCCACCACUUAACCCUAACCUAACUUACCUAUUUGGACAUUUUACUUGGCAUAUAAUCCCUCUCUUGUCUCGGCCUCCAUAGAGUGCAAUUUUCCCUUUCUCUUUGUGAGUCUCUCUCUCGGCCUCUCCUUUCUCCCUCAAUGUGACCUUAGUGGUUAACCUUUUGUGGGCACAUUAUUGUGUUUCUCUUCUCCAAUUGGUAGCAACUGGAGUGGGGGCGGCAAGUGGUGGUGUUGGAGUUGUCUCAACGGUGUUAGUGUCGAUGUUGUGGUAAACUGAGCCCGGUUUUGCACGUGGCGGCGGUGGAAAUCAACCCUACAAUAAUUUUUUUUCACUAUCUAGAAUUUUCUCCUUCUGGUUUUAUGAUCAAGCGAGAGCAAGAAAUGAAAAUGAGAUUAAUAAUUUUUUCUCACCUAUCUAGAAUUUUCUCCUCCUGGUUUUAUGAUCAAGCAAGAGCAAGAAAAGAAAAUGCUAUUUAAAAGGAGAAUAUUUUGAUAUUGCAUUCCUUUCUUUGUCGCCAAUUAUGUUAUUUAUAGAUUUCUAAUGAGGUCUUAGAGUUAAUUAAGUCACUUUCACUAAUGACGUGGCAAUCAUUCAUUAGUUGACUUCUAACUAAAUUUGCUAGCUUUUCACAUUUUAUUCACGAGUCUGUAUAUUUCUCAUUCAUUGGCUCUGAAACCAUACUUUAUAUUUUUACUCAUGUGUUUUGGUAAUGGUUAUUGUCGUGGAAUAUAUAAUGAAACUAGUUAAAGAAUAUUUGCUCACUUAUGUUAUCUUGAGUUUGCAUGUGAUUUGGUUUGCCUUGAAAACGUUUGCAGGUAGAAAUAUAGGUUCUCCGCUAAUCCUUUGUAAAUUUUAAUUACAACAAAUAUCUUCAAAGUUAGAAUCUAAUGAUUUAUAUUAAGUUUUAGACUUUAUUUAAUUUCUACGACAAAUAUUUAAUUAUUUUAGAAUUUAUUUUGAUAUUAUGAGCCUUUAAAAAUUAUUGUGACAAACAAGCCUACAACAUGGCUUGUUUUGUGAGGUUUAAUUGAUUCCGAGUGAAAUAAGGUCAAAUGAUUAACAAAUGAUCCUCGAAGUUCAAGCUUAGGUAUUUUUGUUAAGUGCUAAGCUUGUGAACUUAAGGCAGGGAUUUUAAUACUAAAAAUACCUAAGGAUAUCCCACUCACCAAUGGCAGUUGAUGUAUGGCAUGAUGAAGGGAUGUGUAAUGAUUACUACAGUUCUUUACAAAUAUCAAUGGGGAUGUUGCAUACUUCAAGGUACGUAGGCUGUUAGGGGUGAACACGGUUCGAUUUGGACGGUUUGAAAAGUUUCAAACCAAAUCAUUUAAAGCGGUUUGGAAUUUCCAAACCAAACCAAACCACUUCAAUUUCUAAACCAAAUCAAUCCAAACCAUUUUUUUUUUGGUUCGGUUCGAUUUAAAACCACAGUUUAACAAUGAAAAAAUUUAUAUCAAAUAAGUUAAAUCGUAAAUAUUAGUCUAAAAUUUCACAUUAAAACAUAAGUUGUAUUAUUAAAAAAAUUACAAAUCAAAAUGAUAUAAUUAUAAUCAUUAUAAUGCAACAACAUGAUAUAAAUAUUUUAAACUCUUAAUCAAUACUAAUGGCAUCCAUUUACAAUUGUAAUACACAAUUCAUUCUUUUCAUAAAUAUAAAAAAUAUAGCAUAUGAAUUCAUUGAUUAUAAUUAAAUGAUAUAAAAUAACUAAUACAAGAAAAUGAAUAAAAAAUAAAAUACAAUAAGACCUAGUUACUGUGACUUUUUGUGAAUCAUUCAAUGCUUCUACUCCAUCCAAAUAUUAGGAAUUACUUUAAGGAAGCCCGAUAAUUAUUAGAACAAAACAACAUAACUACCAAUAAAAACAUAGAAAAAGAUUACCAAAAAAAAAAUUAGGAUAAUCUGACUUGAAUUUAGGCAAAAUUUAAGAAAAUUAUUAGUAGAAGGAAAUGAAAUGUGCAAGUUUGAAUUAAAAUCUAGAUUUAAUUGUCGGUUCAAUUAUAAUGGAGAAUCCAUAAAUAGGGUUUAGUAGCAAUUGUUCAACACUUCACCCAAUUUAAUGAUUUUAUACUCAUAACUGCCGACUAAUGUGCAUAUGGAUAUAAUUUAAUUAAUUAAUUAAGAUGUAAAAUUGUCGAAUUGAGUUCAAUUGAAUUAUGACUAAUAUAGAUAUAUCUUUUUAACUGAAAUGUGUUAAAUUUUAAUUGUUUUAAAUAAAAUUUAAACUAAUUUAUUUUCAGAUUUUUUUGAUAAUCAAUUUUGUGGUUUGAAACGAUUUGCAAAUAUUGAAACCUAAACCAAACCACUUAAAAAUGGUUUGGUUUGGUUCAAAACCUAAACGUUGAUGGAUUCACGUGGAACUAAACCAACAAUUUCAAAAAAAAAAAUGAUUUUGGUUCGAUUUUGCAGUUUUAUUGUCCAACCCUAGGCUGUACUCAUUUAAUUCACGUGUUACUGAAACAUGAUUAGAUUUGUCCCUUUGAAUUAUUUCUAGGCACCUUUUUUUUUUAAUCCAAUGGCUUGUUCCCUCGAAGAUUAAGAUCAAACUUGACAUGAUCCAAUGCUAUUAUCUUUCAUCAGAAAAUAUAAAUAUAACACCUCUAUUAUUUGUUACGAGUACUUAUUCUUUAAAAACUUCUAUUUUCUUUUUUUCAUUCGUUGCUAUCACGUUGCAGAUGAUAUGGUGAUUCUGGUGAUUAUUAUUUGCUCCUUAAAAAUCCUUCGAAUCCUUUUUACGUACAUAUUUUGUGCUUUUGCUUCUUCUCGUAUACUAUUUUUCCUCUAUUCGUCAUUUAGUGUAACCCGGUAAACUUUUAUCUAAAAUUUUUUAGGAAAUUGAUUCUGUAGAAUGUCUUUCCAAAAUAGAUCCUAAGUGUCAAAGCUACUUGCUCUAUAUUUAGGGAUGAUGGAGUAGACUGGCAGGGCCGGACCUGAGGCGAAAUUCAGAUUUUGGGCCCAUAAAUCAUAGCAAGCAAUUAAUUUUUUCAUUUAUAAGAGAUUUAAGGAACUAAAUUUGUCAACAUAAAAUCAAAAAAAUGAAAUAUUUAAAAUAUGUAUAUUAUAAUCAAAUAACAAUAUGAAAAUGUUCUAAAAGAUCACUUAAAUACAACUCGUCUUGCAGUUUUCGAGGCAAAAAUAUCGAUCAAUUUUGUAUAGUCGAGUUGUUCAACCAUUUCUUUUUCAGUUGAUAACAUGGCUAAACCAUUCAAUCUUUGCUGUGACAUAGUUGAUCGGAUAUAAGUCUUGAUCAAUUUCAACUUGGAAAAACUUCAUUAUUUAUACAGAGUGACGCCGAAAGAUGAGCUAAGUCCUGAAAAGAGUGAAAAUGCAGUCACACUACCUUAUUCAUGCUGAAAUUUAUGGUAUGUGGACGUAUAAUUUGUGGAGUCUAAUCAUAUUGUGUAAAAUCUAUCAAUUACAGAUAAAUAUAAUGUUCAUGCACAUGUAGAAUAAUUUGUAGGUAGUAAUUUUGCUUCACGUUAGUGAAGACUCAAUUCUCACACUAAGCGUGAAGCGCUGGAAAUCUCUGUUUGGAUACAAUUUAUAAUAUGGUUAAUAAAUUUGCUAAAGUCAAAUAUUAUUUUCAAACACACAUUUAUAAUUAUCAAUAAAUUUAGUGGAUCCCGCUAGUAUUCCUCUUUACAAAUUGAUUUAUAAAUUUGUCAAACGGAGGCUAUAUAUUUUCUGAUUUUAUUUUAGUAAAAGUUGGAGUCGCAAUUGAGAUUAGGGUUUAAUCCCCAUGACAUGGAUACCUAAUUCCGACUGUUUUGCUUACUGCAGAUGUUGCUUCUAUGCUAUUGAAAAGUAUCCAAAGUCGUGUGUUACCCCAGAUCAUGUUGGCAAUUUUGCUCUCUGAAUAUUGGUUCAGAAACCUUCUGCAUUUCCUAGUGGGACUAAACUGGCAUUUUGGGAAAGUACAUAAAUGCUCUCAUAUUCAUUUCAUUCACAAACAAUAUACCAUGACAACACAUCUAGAUAAAUUUUAGUUUCUUUUUCAUGCUGUCUAGUACAACAUUACAAACUUGCUAUAAAUGUACAUGUUGAACGCGAUCAUUUCGAAAAGUAUUCCCCGUCGUACUUUUUACACAUGGUGUAAGAGUACAUUCACCUUGGGAAAGUCAUGACAAAGAGCACGUAGAAAUGCAAAUCUCAAGUAUUAUUGUUUGUAAAUCAAGCGAUGAAGAUAUAACGGAAACGAUGGAACAUGGAUGCCUAACUAUAACUAAUCGAGGUAUAUCUAAUUGCACCACAUUCCUCCCCUUCUUGUUCAGGUCUUAUUUACACACUCUAAAUUUUAUUUAGUGGUAUAAUCUUCCUACAUAUAUAAUUUCCGUUACACACUUUAAUUAUAUAUAAUUUCUAUUUUGCUAAGUUUAGAGCGUGUUUGAUAUGGUGGAAUAAAUAGCAUUUGACACUUGAGGAAGAAAAAAAAAUCUUAUCAGUCAUACUUAGCAGUAAUAUUGAAUAUGGUGUCCCAAAUGUGCUCUUAGUUCAGUUUUGUAUCUAUCAUUUUAAAUGUUGAAGUGUCCAUUGUGUUUUUUUUCCAUAUAAAUUCAACUGGGUGAAAUGUUUUCCUUUUAGCCACAUGUCAUUGAGGAAUUCUAUUUGAUCGAGGUAUAUCUAAUUGCACCAUAUUCCUCCCCUUCUUGUUCAGGUCUUAUUUACACACUCUAAAUUUCAUUUAGUGGUAUAAAUUAGGCCAUGACGACUCCUGGACCAUCCCUCGCUCGGCUCAGCCAGUCCAACCUGGACCUAAGUCUCUUUUUAAAUACACAUGGGCCCAUGGACCUUCAAAGUUGAGCCAAGCCAACUGUAGAUGUGGGCUGAUCAUGCCAUGGCCUGUGAUGGGACUGGCUGUACUUUCAUGCAUUAGUUGGCUCUAAGCUUUGAUAACCCAGUUUGACACCUCUAAGGAAAUCCUUGGUAUGUAUAAUCUUCCUACAUAUAUAAUUUCCGCUACACACUUUAAUUAUAUAUAAUUUCUGUUUUGCUAAGUUUAGAGCGUGUUUGAUAUGGUGGAAUAAAUAGCAUUUGACACUUGAGGAAGAAAAAAAAAAUCUUAUCAGUCAUACUUAGCAGUAAUAUUGAAUAUGGUGUCCCAAAUGUGCUCUUAGUUCAGUUUUGUAUCUAUCAUUUUAAAUGUUGACGUGUCCAUUGUGUUUUUUUUCCAUAUAAAUUCAACUGGGUGAAAUGUUUUCCUUUUAGCCACAUGUCAUUGAGGAAUUCUAUUUCUCCAGUAUUGUAUUAGACCAUAUGUGCCUGUUUUGUUGGAACAAAUCAAAAUUGACCCUCACAUUUUCUAGAAUAAUUCCAUUAUUUGAGGAAUAAUCUUGAAUUUUUAGUAUGUAUAAAUAGAACCACAUGAUGUAAUAUUUUGUAACGCAAAAUAAGAAGUGAAUUUCAGUUUAUAUAUCUCCAUAUUAUCUUGCAUUCAAACUGAUGUUAAAGCUUUGAAAAAAGAAAAAAAAACAUAUAAACAUUUAAUGAAAAAAAAUUAUAUACACCAAACACAACCUGUCCAAUAAUUUGGUUUCCCCUUUGCCUCAUUUAAUGGAAAAAAUUUGAUAAUUACUUCAUGCAUCAACCAUAUAGACAUUUAUUUAUCCAUAAAUAAAUCAAUUAUAAAUGCAUAGAACAACCCUCAAAAUCACUCAACUAUAAAAUCAAGCAAUAAAUCAAGAAUUAGAAUUACAGAAAAUAAACAAUUCUAGACCUACACUCUAGUACCUCUAAUUAGAACCGGUCCACUAGGGUUAGGAAACACAAAAAAUAAAAAUAAUAAAAUAAUAAUAAUAAUAAUAAAAUAAUUAAAAAAAUCUAUUUAUUGCAUUUCUAAUUAAUCGCCACAGAAGUGUCUAGAAGUUACGACUAUUUCAAGCAAUUAAUUUGUUUAUCUUCUUGCUUGACGUUGAUUGAUUCGCGAACUUCCAAAUUAGAUCUCAUCCAAUAAUUGUUCUUUCCUUGAUCUACAAGCUUCAUACCCUCUUAGGUAAUGGAAAUUGUAUUUUAUUCAAAUUAUAAUUGAAACUUGUUAUAUUCAUAACAAAAUUUUAACUCGUCAAUAAAAAGAUUGUGUGAAAUUUCUUCUUUCAAUUAGACUCACUAGGCCAACUAUCCCCCAAUAAAAAGAUCCAGAUUUUGCUGCUUAACACUUGGGCCACCACGACUAGGCCCAAUUAAAGUAGGCCAACUAUUAUCUUGUGAAACUUAAGCUAAAUGGCUACUGUAGACUAUGGUAGACCGUGGGCCGUAUAAGCAUCUAACCCAUUUAAAGAUGACCCACUUAUGUAAUUUGCUCUAAAUAAAAUGUUUCCUAUGUAUGAAAAAAACAUUUUAUUUGAGUAAAUUACACAAACUCUCUAGGCUGCUCUGUUGUAUAAAUUUUCCUAUUUUACUAGAACACCUCACAAAAUAUAAUAAAAAGUGUAGCAUAAUCCGUUAUAUUUUGAAUAUUAUUUGUUUAUUUAAAAGAUGAGAGAUUUUACCCAUCAGAAAAACAAUAUCCCAAAGUUAGGAUAAAUGUUUUCCUCCUAAAUUGGUAUUUUAUUUUUAUUUCAGUAAAUAAAUACUUUUACUUUGUCAUGGCUAAUUUAACUAAAGGACAAAAAAUGGAAAAACUGAAAACAUUUCAAUUAGGAACUAAUUUUUUUUCUUUUUCCUUUUUUGGGUAAAUUUUGUUUGUCUGCACAAUGUAAAGCACAUUGUUAGCCAUACAAGAAGUUGAGAAUAAUUUCUUUGAAAUACUCCAGUUCUGUGAACAGCAAAGAAGAUUAAAAAAAGGAAAGAAGACAAAAAGUAAAACUAAAUAAAUAAAUAAAAAAUGUACCUUACUUAAGCAUAGAGUAAUUCUAUAUUAUGCAUCUAUAAAGACUGAAUGCCCUUCUUGAUGAUCAUAGCAUACUUAAAAGUGUUAUCCCAGUGAGAGAAGAUGACAUAAUUAGAGUCAAGUAAGAUGAUUUUAAUUUACUUUGCUUGAUUUGUUGUGUUUAUAGUUUUUUUUUUCUCAAGUUUCCUUUUUUUAAUGAGCUCUAUUAUUGAAUUGCCAGUUCAAUUAACAUUAUCGAUAUUGUGCUUUGAAUAAACUCGUGAAGUAAUCAAGAAUAUAUUACUUUUUGAGGUCCCUUUACAAUGCCGAGCAAUUCAACUUUCUUGAACAAUUUGAAAGCACUGUUUGUCACCCAACAUACAACACUGUUUCAUUUAGUCAUCAAUUCUUUUAAAGUUUAUCACUAAACUUUCAUUUUGAUUGGCGAACAGAUAGAUGACAUAAUCUAGCGGGUCUAGAAUUGUGCCGGAGAAGCUAACUGAGGGUAACUUUAUAAGAAGUUGAGAAUAAUUUCUUUAGGAAUACACUAGUUCUGUGGACAACUGUGAAGCACAUUGUUGGCCCCCCAAGAAGUUGAGAAUAAUUUCUUUUGGAAUACACCAGUUCUGUGGACAGCAAAGAUGAAUAAUACACCAUUCUGUGGACAACAUUGAGUGAAGCACAUUGUUGGCCCUCCAAGAAGUUAAGAAUAAUUUCUUUCGAAUACACCAGUUAUGUGGACAACAAAGAAGAAUAAUACACCAGUUCUGUGGAUAACAAUGUGAAGCACAUUGUUGGCCCUCCAAAAAGUUAAGAAUAAUUUCUUUGGAAUACACCAGUUCCUCCAAGAAGUUGAGAGUAAUUUCUUUUGGAAUACACCGAUUCUGUGGACAGCAGAUAAAUAAAAAAUGUACCUUACUUAAGCAUAGAGUGAAUUACAUCUAUAAAGACUGAUUGCCCUUCUUGAUGAUCAUAGCAUACUUACAAGUGUUAUCGCAGUGAGAGAAGAUAACAAAAUUAAAGUCAAGUAAGAUGAUUUUAAUUUACUUUGCAUGAUUUGGUUGAGCUCUAUUAUUAAAUUUCUAGUUCCAUUAACAUUCUCAAUAUUGUGCUUUGAAUAAACUCGUGAAGUAAUCAAGAAUAUAUUACUUUAUGUGGUCUCUUUACAAUGCUGGGCACUUCAACUUUCUUGAACAAUUUGAAAGCACUGUUUGUUACCCAACUUACAGCACUGUUUCACCUAGUCAUCAAUUCUUUUUAAAGUUUAUCACUGAACUUUCAUUUUAAUUGGCGAACAGAUAGAAGUCAUAAUCUAGCGGGUCUGGAAUUGUGCCGAAGAAGCUAAUUGAGGAUAACUUUAUAAGAAAUUGAGAAUAAUUUCUUUUGGAAUACAUCAGUUUUGUGGACAAUAAUGUGAAGCACAUUGUUGGCCCUUCAAGAAGUCGAGAAUAAUUUCUUUUGGAAUACACUAGUUCUGUGGACAGUAAAGAAGAAUAAUACACCAAUUCUGUGGACAACAUUGAGUGUAGCACAUUGUUGUCCCUCCAAGAAGCUAAGAAUAAUUUCUUUCGAAUACACCAAUUAUGUAGACAGCAAAAAAGAAUAAUACACCAGUUCUGUGGACAACUAUGUGAAGCACAUUGUUGGCCGUCCAAGAAGUUAAGAAUAAUUUUUUUGGAAUACACCAGUUCUGUGGACAACAAUGUGAAGCACAUUGUUGGCCCUCCAAGAGGUUGAAAGUAAUUUCUUUUGGAAUACACCAAUUCUGUGUUGAGUCUCAAAGGUGAUGCAAGAUUGAGAUUUAAUGACAAUAAUGAAAUAUUCAAGAUCGUACCAUGAAAACAAGAUUAAAGUAAAGUACAAAAAAGAAACUAAGCAGAGGAACGAUGAAUUUUAUUUUAUCCGACAAUAUGGAGAGAAUAAUACAAGACAGUAAUAAUGCUUCAUCUUAAACUGACAAAGGAGUCUCUAAUUUAUAGGCCACGUCCAUAAACCUAAUGGAAUCCUAAAAGGUAAGAAAAUAUACUAGAAUCAGGUUAAACCGCGUAAAAGGAAAAAAUCUUGGAUGUAAUUUGAUUUCUUUCCAAAUUCAAGCCAAACGUGAUCUUCCAAAAUUUCAACCUAAUUUUGAGGCAUUAAACCUAACAUUCUGUGGACAACAAAGAAGAAUAAAGAAAAGGAAAGAAGAUAAAAAGUAAAAGUAAAUAAAUAAAAAAUGUACCUUACUUAAGCAUAGAGUGAAUUACAUCUAUAAAGAGUAAGCCCUUCUUGAUGAUCAUAGCAUACUUACAAGUGUUAUCCCAGAGAGAGAAGAUGACAAAAUUAAAGUCAAGUAAGAUGAUUUUAAUUUACUUUGCAUGAUUUGGUGUGUUUAUAGUUUUUUUUUCUCAAUUUUCCUUUUCAUCUCAAGCUCCAUUAUUGAAUAUCUAGUUCAAUUAACAUUUUUGAUAUUGUGCUUCGAAUAAACUCGUAAAGUAAUCAAGAAUAUAUUACUUUUUGUGGUCCCUUUACAAUGCCAGACACUUCAACUUUAUCGAACAAUUUGAAAGCAUAGUUUGUCACCUAACUUACAGCACUGUUUCAUUUAGUCAUCAAUUCUUUUUUAAGUUUAUCACUGAACUUUCAUUUUGAUUGGCGUACAGAUCAAAGGCAUAAUCUAGCGGGUCUGGGAAUUGUGCCAGAGAAGCUAACUGAGGAUAACUUUAUAAGCUGGAAAAAUUGCUUGCCAAAUUAUUUGGUUGGGAAUGGGCUUUGGGGUGUUGUCUCUGCUCAGGAGAUUGAACCAGAUAAGACAAAUAUACAAGAGCAUGAAAAAUGGAAGAAAAAGAAUGCUUUGGCUUUGCAUGCAAUUCAACUUUCAUGUGGACAAGCAAUAUAUUCGAAGUUUAUAAAUGCCGACAUUAAUGCUGACUACGUAUGGACUCAGUUGGUAGAAAAAGGAGAUCACGACAAAGAAAGUCGAGUCGACGAUAAUGGUAAUUCCUCAAUCUUUGUGAUGAACUAGGUCAUCUAAAAUUUUAUCGUGUUAUAAGAAAUGUGAAAUUGCACUAUAGGUUCUCAAUCAUUAAAAAUGAGCAAAGAACAAUGUGGUGGAGCCAAUCUUCCCUCUUAUUUAGUAAACUCUGUAGUUUACACAACUCCCUCACAUUCAGGCUGACUUCAUUGUUUGUAGGGUUGAGUGAGUACCUUGAAUACGAGCCCCUAUACAAGGCAAUUAAAAAAGGUAAUUGGCAUGCUAUAGAAGGUUUCUUUCAGGAGAAGACACUGCCAUUUACUGAAAGUAUUUCAUCACACAAAGAGACAGCUCUGCACAUGGCAACUUUAUCUAGACAGACUGAAAUUGCGAAAAAACUUAUAAAUUUGAUGGGCCCAAAAGAGUUAGAACUGAAAAAUGAACAUGGAGCUACGGCCUUAUCUUUUGCUGCAAUCUGUGGUGCAACAGAACUGGCCGAGGAUAUGGUAAGCAGGAACAAAGAAUUAGUUACAAUAGAAACUACAGGCCAAGAAUAUGGGCAACUGCCUGUGAUUGUGGCUGCAUUGUAUAGACAGAAGGACAUGGUUCAUUAUUUAUACAAUAAGACGCCAAAAGAUGUGUUGAGUCCCGAAAAGGGUGCAAAUGGAGUCACACUACUUAGUUACCUUAUUACUGCUGAAAUUUAUGGUAAGUGAAUGCAUAAUGUGGAGUCUAAUCAUGCUCUAUGAGGAUAAAGCCCCUUGUACGAUGGAUAUUGACAUGGAAUUGUGCCAGGAGUGAGAUGGCAUAAUGAUUGGCAAUGUUAAAAUUAUUUUUUGUCUAACUGCCAAUCACAAUUUGCCUAGUGUGAAUUUAAAAUUCCACGGCAGCGUAGCAUGAUCGGCUCUUUGUUAAUUUCGUCAAUUGCAGAUAAACGUAAUAGUAAUGCGUAUACAAGGAUUUUCAAUUUUAUUGGUGGUAAUUUUGUUUCACAACGUGCUUCUCCAAUUGAGCGUGAAACACUAAAAAUUUUUGUUUGGAUACAACUUAUAAUAUGCUUAAUAAACCUAGUUAAAGUCAAGCAUUAAUUUGAAUCACACAUUCAUAAUUCCUAUUCAUUAGUAUAAAAAAUUUAGUGGGUCCCAGUACUAUUCCUCUUUAUAAAUUGAUUUAUAAAUUUGUCAAAUGGAGGCUAUAUGUUUUCUAAUUUUGUUUUAGUAAAAGUUGCAAUCGCAAUUGAGAUUUGGGCUUAAUUCUCUAGACACGUAUACCUAAUUCUUGCUAUUUUCUUACUGU